rnacentral:lncRNA from 1 species
CGCUCACCUAUGGCCGUACCCGUGAUGUACUGCCCCCCGUGAGCCCCUACCUACGCCAUUAUCUAGCUGCACCAAUGCCCAUCUAGCCCAAACAAUUCAGAUUCCAAACCUUGAAUCCCAUCGAUAAUGGUGAGGUGCGGCCCCGUGAUCCACCGCCGCUCCUUCUCGAUCCACCACCGCCGGUCUCCGAGAUCCAUGUGGGGAGACCGAGGUCCCCAAGAUCACUCGCGCCCGGAGCCUCCUCUGUGUGGUUCUUGGUGGCCUCGGCCGCUCGUCGUCGCCUCCGCGACCGAUCCAUGCGCAGAGCUACUCACUGUCGUGCAGCGUGAUUGCGGAUGCACGGAGAGGAAGAUCUAGGUGCCUCCCACUCGAUCUGGUACGUGCCUAGUUGUUUCAUCAAGCUGGAUCGAGAAGAGCCCAAAUGAGGAGCAAGAAUGGGGAGAAGAGUGUAGACCGGUCUUGGGACGCGGGCGACCACGGGAGCCGCAUCCUCAGUCCUCACCACCAUUUCCCCCCAUGAGAUUCUGUGCAAAGAAGACGGAGGGACUAGAUCCAUGGUUGCUCGUCCUCUGCCUCUUCAUAAUUUUUCCGAGAGCAUCCCCUCUCCAACAGUCCUAUUCGUGGGCAUUCGAUUAUGUUUUUGCUAGCUAGUAAGAACUACUGGGUAGGUUAAAUCACAAUGCAUUACUUUCUUCAGAUUUUUUUCUUUGGUAAUUUACUUGGCAUGUAUGAACUUCUGAUAAUUUUAGACUGCAGACAUAUGCAUUACUUUAUUAAGUUUCUUUUUUGUCCAGAUAUGAGCAUUUGCUUCCCAUGUAUGAACUUCUGUUUGCUCUAUUAAUGUAUUUUGUUGACAGACCUGCAAAAAAUGUACGUAUUUUGUUGACAGAGCUUUCUGUCUCCACAGCUGGCGUUUUGUGUAAAUUGCGAAAUAAUUGUUGGCUUAAAAAGAAACUUUUAUAGCCACUGUUUGCACUUUGUAAAAUAUUUUGGAAGAACUUUUGUAAGACGAGCAUGCAUUGUUAAUUUGGAGGAGCAUAGCCGGAUGCAGAACUUCUUAAUCGGAAGUACUGUGCAGACGAUACUUGGCGCACGAAAGUCGCACGGCAGUCGUGAUCAACGGUUGCAGCCCACUAAACAAAUGACAUGCAUGGCUAUGAUCUUGUGUCGUGCGCAGAUCGUCUCCAAAAUAUUGUCCCUGUAGUAGUGCUCCUUCUUAAUCACAAUCCACGCAACUGUCAUUUUGGAAUAACCUUUGAGCGCUAAUUGUACUUCGCACUAAUGAGUGAAAGCGGCAGAGCUAAGCACUAAUUUACUGUGUGUGUUGUUAUCAUGGGGAAAUGAAGCAACAGAACUAUCUCUAUUGGUAUUGUCCAUUUCAAAUUCAAACAACACCCAAUCUAGCGCUUGCCAUCCUAACCCUUACUGUUGUCUCCUCAUAGAGUUAAAACUGCCAUGUAUUACAAAGGUUGAUUUAUUUCCGCAUAAUAUAUUUGCUCCUUUUUUUAGAAUAAAUAUAUCCUCAUGAAUAGAUCUCGGAAAUAUAUUUGCAGUGCACCAUAGGAAAACUCAUAUACAUGUAGUUGUUUCGACCUUGGUUUACAUGGUUACAUGCCUACGAACUUGCUGACAUUACACUUCUGCUUGAGCACCCUCUCCUCCCAGUACGGGCCCUCGGAACUACUCUGCUAGUUCGUCUUGCUCGCCAGGUCUCCUCGAGGACACAUACUACUUCCACGGACAUCCGCAUCCAACUGUCCAAGGCGGCUUAGGGGCUUAGGUUGAAGAACUUGGUGAUACAUGCCCGAGUUUGGAUCUCAACAACAACUUUUUAAGGUUUUUAACGGAAUAUGUAGAAUAACUUCAAUGAGACACGCAAGAGUCUUCACAAAUAAGUGCUCCACACUUUAGUGAUGCGCCGCAUAGAGCGUUCGUAUUAAUCAAUGACUUCAUGUUCUAGUUAUCCGCACUUUUUGUGAUAUGACCAGUAGAACUUUUCAAGGUAAUAGUGUUCCCAUUAUAAUUAGAUGGUUCUAUAUUGCAAUUCACUGGGCGAUUGCACAAGGAUAGAUCCCCGCAUGACAAACUUUAAUAUAGCAUGCCCGGUGCUUUCGUGUUCAAACACGAAGGACUUUACUGAAAGCACCGGGCGAUUGCACAAAGAUAGACCCCACUUAAAUGAACUUUAAUCUAGCACAUCCGGUGCGUUCGUGUACAAACAUGAAGGACUUUACGUAAUUCACUAGGCGAUUGCACAAGGAUAGAUCCCCGCAUGACAAACUUUAAUAUAGCAUGCCCGGUGCUUUCGUGUUCAAACAUGAAGGACUUUUAUUGAAAGCGCCGGACACAAAGAUAGACCCCCACUUAACGAACUUUAAUCCAGCACACCCGGUGCGUUCGUGUACAAACAUGAAGGACUUUACGUAAUUCACUGAGCGAUUGCACAAGGAUAGAUCCCCGCAUUACAAACUUUAAUAUAGCAUGCCCGGUGCUUUCGUGUUCAAACACGAAGGACUUUACUGAAAGCACCGGGCGAUUGCACAAAGAUAGACGCCACUUAAAUGAAUUUUAAUCUAGCACACCUGGUGCGUUCGUGUACAAACAUGAAGGACUUUACGUAAUUCACUGGGCAAUUGCUAGAGGAGGACGACGACGACGAGUGCAUUCCUCUGGAUUUUCAGAGCGAUAAUCCUUCCUCAAGCGAAGAUGGAGAGGAAUUUGGUGCUACAGAUUCAAGUUCCUGAGGCCGCCGAGCUACCCAACCACGGCCACCUGGUUUGCGCACCCGCCGGUCGGUUUUGGAGCGGAUCCGGUCGGUCUUGAGCUCGGCCGGCUGUGGGAGGCCGGGCCGCGCCAUGGACUGGUCGGGCACCUCGCCGGAAGGCCAUGGCAGGGCCGCAAGGCCACAUGCAGGCAGUGGCUCCUCCUCUAGCCGCUCGGAUUUGCACCGUCGGUGGUCUGUCGGCAGAUACACGAAUGGCGGUCGGCCGGACUCGGUGUUUGCCCAAAAGCUCGACGGCGCACGCCGUUGCCACUCAUUAAGUGCGACCAUUGCCCAAGGAUAGUCGUGCGCCGCGUGUCUACAACGCCGGAACAUCCCGGAUGGGUGUUCAUCAAGUGCUUAAACGAUGGGGUAUGCGCUUUUUUAGCUUCGAUUUGUGCUCUAGAUUUGACUAAUUAUGCUAACUUCAAUUUUUAUUGUGUAGAAUGGAUGCAAGUUUUGGUAUUGGGAAGAAGAGUACAUCGAUAUAUUGAUAGAGCGAAAUUUAGUACAUGUUCGUGCACUUUUAGCUAGUAUAGAGGCUGUAAAUGAGACAAGUGCACUUGUUGCUAGAUUAGAGGCUAGACACGAGACUAUGUGUGAGGAAGCAACAUCGACUUCUGGCUUGAAGAAGAAAGGAGGAUGCCAGAUCGAGCCUCCUCCACAGAUCAACAACGAGUGCAUCGAGAAGGCCCUAACCCAACUCAAGGGAGCAGUUAUGGAAGUUGGGUAUCUUCUAAAAUGUAUUCUUGUGAUUUUUGUUUUCUUUAAUCUUGUUUUAUUAGUCAAAAUGUGAUGAUGUAUUUUUCAUGUAUCAAAAAUGAAUGAUAAAAUAAAGUGUGCUUCUUGAAAAUAAAAAAAGCACAACAUGUGCUUCCUGAAAAGGGCAAAUGACAGAUGUGCUUCCCAAAAUAAUAAUGAAAAUGCACAAUUGUGCUUCUGGGUUCCGGUUUUCUUUUCCGAUUUCAGUUUUUUCUUCUCUUUUGUUUUUUUGGUUUUUUCUCAGUUUUGUCAUUUUGUUUUUUUAUUUCUGGUUUUUCCUCAAGUGACUUUUGGAAUGGUUUUUAUGUCAGUACCAGAAAUCCAAUGUGUUUUCCUAGUUUUGAAAAAAAUCAUUCCAAAGGUCACUCAACGAAAAAAAGAGAAAACAUUUUGGAGAAAAUAAAUUUACGAAAAAGGGGAAAACUCAAUGUUUGCUACAACUGGCGCACAUGCGUGCGUCGCUUGUGAGUACCACAGAAGGUCGUAGUGACUUUGCAAGAGAUACCCCUUAAUUAGGGAUUUAAGAUAAACCAUCGACUGAGUACGUGGGCAAAUCUUGGCGAUCCCCUAUUGGCAUGUUUGGUAGCCUACAUCACCCCCAAACAGUCCUAGUAGGUGCAAGAAAAACCUGUUUGAUUGCAUACACGGAGGUCUGGCUCAUACGCGCACAAACAUCAAAGCAACCCAGAGUCUGGCUCGCUAGGAACGUUCGAAUUGGUUGUUUCCAGCAAGCCAGGCUGAAUCGGGUGCAAAAAUGGGGCAUGAUGUACAUGACGGUGCAGGGAAAAUCUAGGCAGAGAUGACGGGAGACGAAAAUCCCCCACCGUAGGAUGGCAGAAAAUCUAGCAUCUCCCCCAUGUACUCGAUAACCUCUAGCCGCCAGUGUAGUGCCAUACACGUUUCGAUACUUGCUUGUGUACUUCCAAAAUUUUAAUCUAAAAUGUGCCAGAGUUGUUUCGAAAUCAAUAGUUUGAGCUAGAUGAGCUAGCUAGGAGAGGUUGAAACUACUGCUGCACACACCAUAGAAAGUAAGGGCCUCUCGAGCACCGUCCCCCAAUUCAGACUCACUAUCCAUCUACGGACGCGUCACGGAUAAGGGAGCCGUCCAUGCAACGCUAUACCUCAAAUGCCCGCUUCUAUUAAUUUUUAAAAAUAGCAUUUCACCAAAUCUUGCAGUUUUGAUCUAUGAAGUGCGCAACUACAUGGACAUGGUACACAUUCUUCCGCCGAACAACAUGACCAUAGAAAAAUCACUUUAUGCCCAACAAUGGCACGAGAAAAAAAAAUUGAAGAAAAGAAAACGCAUCUUUGCGCCAAACUAACGGCAUGCUAGCCGCAUCCUUCCGCCAAAAACUACGAGUGAAUGCAUGAAAAAAAAAUGACUAGUAGCUUCCGCCAAAUUUCAAACACGCUAGCACCAUCCUUUUCCCAAACGCCUCUAAUCACCUUCCACCAAAGGCUAAUAGCAUCACAGUGGCCUUUGGUCAUUCAGACGGAGAGGAGAGAGAUAUGUGAUGGCUUUUGAUCCGCCAGGCGGAUGUCCAAACUCCCAUAAACUUAUCUCAGGUUUGCUUUUGAUUUACGGGAAUUCGGACGCGUGAGUAAUCCACGGAUGUUCGAGGCAUCGCGUUGGAUGACAUUUGCGGGCUGUUUUACGGCUCGGCGUUGAAGAGCGCGAUGGUGAACUGAAAUGGCCGCGAAAAUUGCACCCGGGGUGCUCACAAACCCGAUGCCCACCCGAUCAUGAGAGUACGGGCGUGCCGUACGCCUGGGAUGCGCCCGCACGUCCUUCCACAACCCAUGCACGUGCCCUGAGGCGACCGCUCGAUGGAACACUACGCAGCGCCGUACGUGAUCGACCAAGACGGAGCAGACACCCGCUGUCCCUUCCAUUUUGGAACCGUGUGCUUGUUGGGACCGGGUGCACGUCGUACCUACUCCGUCGGCGUAUCUCGGUUCUCGGAAGCCGUCGCCGUCGAUGCAUCUCGGUUCUCGGAAGCCAUGGCCGUCGCCGUCGGGGUUACGUCAAAAUACUUUCGGUUUCCACCGUUGCAUUACCGCUUACGCACGCACAUGCAUGCAUGCGUGCCCAGGGCCGGAAGGCCCCUCCUUCCUGCGAUCGGCAGGCCAUUGAUCCCAUGUUCGUCACGGCCUCACGGAUCUCGAGAUGCGUCCACCUCUCACACGUAGGUCGGCCCGGGUGGUUGUUUCGUUUGACGGGGCCUUUGCAAGGGCCACGGCCAGGAAGCGCGGAAUGCAAGCGGUGGCUCCGAACCCCUUCAAAUCUGUAGCUUCCAGCCGACCAGAUCGGUACAAAAAGGCUUCCAUAGUCGAUCCGUGACACUUGACCAACGCUUAGGCCAAUUCCACCGCGCGACUCCAAACGGACAUCCGUUUUGUUCGGAUUCUGUUCGUUUGGAUAGCGAUUUGAGGUCGUGUCCGGGCGUGUUUCGGGAUGCGGUGGCCGUGCGUCCACCGCGCGGACGCAUCCUUUUGCCCUAUCCUGUCCGUCAGGGUCAAAAAUGACCAAAUUUUCAUCAAAACUAGUUUAAAAUCCAAAUAUUUGUCUGAAAAUUAAAAUAGUUUUACAACCCAAUUGAAAUUGUCUUUAAUAAAAUAUUUCUACAACCAAAUCGAAAUUGUCUUGACUAAACAUAAAAUGGACCAAUACAUCUAUUGGUUGCCAAUGUGAUCCCACACGUGCUCAACCAAGUCAUUUUGAAGAUUCAAAUGAGAGUGUCAAUCACGCAUCUCACGAUGGAAUUGAGCAAACUAUUCAAAUGUGGCCGGGUCUUGGUGCAGGGGCUCAAUAUUUUCACCUUGAUAGUCAAAUCCUUGGUCGAAGAUACUCUCAUCACGCUCGUCAUCGACGAUCAUGUUGUGCAUGAUCACACAAGCAGUCAUCACCUCCCAAAGCUUCCUUUCAUCCCAUGACAGUGCAGGGUUUCGAACGAUACCCCACCGGGAUUGAAGCACACCAAAAGUACGUUCCACAUCCUUUCUAACACUCUCUUGCAUUUGAGCAAAUCUCUUUCUCUUCUCACCUUGGGGUUUCGAGAUUGUCUUCACAAAAAUUGACCACUGAGGAUAUAUACCAUCUGCUAGAUAGUAUCCCUUGUUGUAAUGGUGGCCGUUGAUCUCAAAGUUGACAGGUGGGGAGUGGCCUUCUGCAAGCCUUGCGAAGACUGGAGAACGCUGCAGCACGUUGAUAUCAUUGUGAGAACCUGCCAUGCCGAAGAAAGAAUGUCAUAUCCAAAGAUCCUGUGAUGCCACCGCUUCUAAUAUGACAGUGCAGGCCUUGACAUGCCCUUUGUACUGGUCCUGCCAAGCAAAUGGACAAUUCUUCCACUCCCAGUGCAUACAAUCUAUGCUGCCAAGCAUGCCUGGAAAGCCUCUAGCUGCGUUGGUCGCCAACAAUCUCUCUGUAUCAGCGGCAGUUGGCUGCCUCAAGUACUCUGGGCCAAACACCUCGAUCACAACCUGGCAAAACUUGUACAUUGACAUCAGACAUGUUGUCUCACUCAUAGGCACAUAAUUAUCCACCAGAUCGCCUGGAAUUCCAUAUGCAAGCACGCGGAUGGCCGCGGUGCAUUUUUGGUAAGAGGAGAAUCCAAGCUUGCCAAGGGCAUCCGUCUUGCACUCGAAGUAUGGGUCAUGAGCAACCACUCCCUCUCGGAUACGAUUGAACACAUGCCUUGCCAUUCGAAAACGGCGAUGGAAUUUAUCCGGCUUGAAGAGCGGGGUGUUGGCAAAGUAAUCGGCAUAGAGCAGGGCGUGCCCUCUCUCCCUGUUGCGGUUCAGGUUGGGAGCACGGCCAGGGAGUGACCCCCUGUAUCGAGGAAGCUGCCGUUGAAUGUGAUCGUGAAUGACCAGUGCAGCCACCACAAUAUUUUCAUCAUCUGACGACGAAUCGUCCGAUGAACAAAGAAAGUGAUGGAAGAAAAACUCGUCUCCACUGUCCAUACCUUUGUGGGCAAAAUGUCGAACACCUUGCGGGCGUGGUGGCGAAGCGAUGAUCACCUUGACGCAGCAGGGGUGGUUGCCGGCCGGCUACUGGUCGCUGUGGAGCUCUCGUCGGGAGCUGCCGAGGACGUCGUGCUGCGUCGCCGGCGGUCCUGUCCCCACUGCGGCCGGCAAAGACGUCGACGGCCAAACCUCCGAUCGACGGCCAAAACUACGGCCACAACACGGGCGUGGUGGCGGCCAUGCCGAGAAGUGGUUUGGUAGGGACGGCCGGAGGCUGCGCGGUGAGGAGGCGGCCGGAGAAUAGCGGCGGCGCCGGCGGCGGGACGGGGCGAGAGAGAGAGAGGGUGGAAGCAUUGGGAGUGGAGGGACUGCUAGUGUCCCCGACAGGCGGGCCAGGGGGGGACAAGGGCGUGCGUCCAAGCCGUCCGCGCGCAUUCGUUUCACCCCAAACCGAGCGCAAGUUUGGGCCGGGGAUGGGUCGAAAACGGACGGAAUCCGGACAUUUGUCCGUUUGAGGCAGUGCGCUGGGCUGCGCUAUUCGUCCGUUUUACCCCAAACGGACGGGGCGGACAGGAUAGGGUCACGCGGUGAAGUUGGCCUUAAGAGCAACUCAAUGGGGCGAUCCAUUUCGUCCGCCGCCGUUCGUUUGGGUUGACGUGGACAAAAAAGUCAGCCGAACGCGCCAACUCAGACGGAUGCGCAUCCGUUUUUGUCCGCUCGCCGACUCAUUCUCGGUCUAUUUUUGAGCUGGAUUUACGUCGGCGCGGACACAAGAUAGACACGCGAGCGCUCACCCUCACUCCUCCUGGGGUCCGUUGGUCGGUGGCACAUUGGGCUCUCCUCAUCCAACAGCAUACCCUCACCCGCCUGCUUCGUCGCCGACGCCGUCGGCCAUUUUUUCAAUAGAAAAAGGAUACACAGAUAGUUCUAGCAUAGACAGAUAGAAAAAAGAUCAACUACUUGUCGUUUUCCGACUCCGACUCGGUAAUGUCCUCCUCCGAUGUCUGAAUGUAGGCGUCGUUCUCGGAGUCCCAGGACGACGCUUCUCCUAGCUUCAUGUUCAAUUGAGCGGCCUGCUUCCGCGCACGCUUGGCCUCCCGAUAGGCGGCUCGCUCCGUCCUCCUCGCCUCCCUCUCCGUCCUUCUUUCCUUUUAGAACUGGCGCUCGUCGAUGAUGUCCUGCGGGAAGCGUUUGCACCACACCGCCAUGGCUUCCACGCCCAUCUCGGCGAUGGCGAGGCGACGCUGCCGUCUUCGGUGGUCACGACGAUCCUCGUCGGUGAAAAGCCAUGGGAGAGGCACGAGAUCCUGCGCUCGCUGGCUCGUCGACACGUCGGAAAAGUUCAUCUCCCGACGAGGUCGCAGGAGGCGCCACGCCGCCUCCUUUGCGGUGUCGAAGGUGCCGAGAAUGAGGCGUUUCUCACCAAAUCAGAUCUCGAAGGAGAAGGCGCCGGAGCGGCGCUCGCGGACUCCGUGAAAAUCCGAAGCGCCCAGGCGGCGCAUCACAUGAUGGCAUAGAGACGGCGAGACUAAUGAGAGGGGGCGAGACGAGUGGGCGGCAGACAGGGUGUGGAGGAAGCGCCUUCUUAAUAACGAGUGCCGGCCGCGCCAAAAUCAGCACGCGAAUCUUUCCCGCGCGCUGGAGCGCCAAAACCAGUGCGCGCGGUCAUGAAAUGGGUCGGCGUGUUGGGCGCACUACGGACCCAAAUCUAAAAAUGGCCUAACGCCGGACGAGCGGCCGACCCAAACGAAAAAAAGACGAAUAAAAAUGUCGUCCGUUUGAAUCGGCCUGUUGGAGUUGCUCUAAUAAAAGAAUGGCCAGAUCGGCUGGCUCAACCCUGAUGAUGCCUUCACCUUUGAUCGAUCAAUCACGCGCGCUCAAGGCUAUCCCCGCAUUUGAUUUGAUUUUAGGCCUUCUUUGAUGUAGGGAAAAGUAUAUUUUUUGUCCCUAAACUCUUUCGAAAAUAUAAAAAUAGUCCCUGAAUUUUAAAAUCAGCAAAACUUAAUGUCUCAACUUUUCAAACCGGAUUAGUUUAGUCACUCUUACCGCUUCGAGUGGUUUCAAUCUGAUGUGGACAUGGUUUUGACCAAAAACUUGAAACGUCACCUAGGUUUGACCGCCACGUUACACUCCAUGUCAUUUUUUUCAAAACGCAGUACAUGUCACCAAGGUCCCCAAUAAUCUCAGGCGUGGCGAGUUCGGAUGAGAAGCCGGACAGCGUCGUCCAUGACGCUCAUGCGGCGGAGAUGAAGCGCUCGAGCGGCCAAAGGAGCUCGGCGACCCAGGGCAUGGCGUUGGCAGAAGAGUGAUUUGGCCUCCCUGUUGCACGGGCCGUCGAGCUGCAGCCUGCGCCUGGCGAGACACCGCUAACCUUCUGGAUAGGAGGCCUGAGCAGGAGGAGGAGCUCGAGGCGGCGAGCUCGGACAAGCCCUCCGCGGGCACCUCCACUGACGGUGUUGGCCAUGCAUCCGAUCGUUUGUAGCGGCGUGUAAGAUGCAGUCCAGGGAGCAACACAUCACGCCUGUGUGUAUUUUGGGCAAGAUUGGAUCAGCAUGUUCGUUGUGUUUCGCUUGCAUCUUCGGCGGGCUGAAUCAAUACAUACAUUCACAUAUAUUCCAGUAGCUAGUCUGCACUUCGUGUUCUGUGGAAGCAUCGACUGGCCGCCACACGCAUGCAAAGCGGGCCAAGCACCUUAAUCUCGCGCUCCUUCCUGGAGCAUGCCUGCAGGCGCCGCCGUAUUUGCUCGUUGCACACACUGCCGGGCGCCGUCGACACGCACUGCCGCUCGCUGAGCAUUAUUUUCUUUCGAAACGGAGACAAAAUUUUUGCCACAUCAAUUAAUUAAGAAGAAGAGAAUUGACCAGUUAAUUUCGGGCGAAAACCUACACAAAUAAAGCACGGACUAACUACUCACAUGGCAAGAAAUCCCCCAACCAUACAGUCGGCCAUUGCCAAACUCUCCGAAUGCAUAGCAUCCACAAACCCUGACACUACUACUACGCCAAGUGAAUCCCAACAAGAACACCACAACACAAGACAUCAUGCACCUCCCAAUCCAAGAGGACAAGCCGAGAGACCGAAGAUCAUCCAUCAAGCAACCAGAGAUGCCUUGCCUAUGACGUCACUCUUGCCUUUGCCCAUCUUCUUUUGUUUGCCCCUUAUUGGCGUUCCUGACAUGAGGCAAGCAAUCGACCUGUCCAAACCAGGUCUAGCAGCCUCCACGCUAGCGAGCAAGUCACAAAGUUCCUUCGCGAAGAGAGCAUUUCAAUUUGGAGUUGGAGUAGGUGCCAACACACUUGGCUCAAUGGCCAUGUCACUCAUGGGCAUCACCUUCUCGAUGAUCACAGAUGAGGGAAGGGCAUCAACAUCUGGAACUCCGCGCUUGAUGACUAACGCUUGACGCUCAAUGGACUUGGGCGAGCGAGAGAUCGCACCGUCCAAAUCACUACUCUCCUCAGCAUCAACUAUCUGGCUCGACUCCAGGGAUGAUGUUGGUGGCAAAGCCACACUCGAGUUCUCGGGAGGGUCUACCUGCAGUUGCUCGACACACAAAGGCAAAACCGGGCCCCCACACAACUCCCGAAGCUCGGGCAUGAUCCGUAGCAUCAGAGUCACAACCACAUCAUUGUCAAGUCCCUCAGAGGCUAAUGGCGGUGAGCUGGCCCUAGCCCGAGGGGAGAAACGACCAUGUGUUGGAAAUAUGCCCUAGAGGCAAUAAUAAAUUAGUUAUUAUUAUUAUAUUUCAUUGUUCAUGAUGAUCGUUUAUUAUCCAUGCUAGAAUUGUAUUGAUAGGAAACUCAGAUACAUGUGUGGAUACAUAGACAACACCAUGUCCCUAGUAAGCCUCUAGUUGACUAGCUCGUUGAUCAAUAGAUGGUUACGGUUUCCUGACCAUGGACAUUGGAUGUCGUUGAUAACGGGAUCACAUCAUUAGGAGAAUGAUGUGAUGGACAAGACCCAAUCCUAAGCCUAGCACAAAGAUCGUGUAGUUCGUAUGCUAAAGCUUUUCUAAUGUCAAGUAUCAUUUCCUUAGACCAUGAGAUUGUGCAACUCCCGGAUACCGUAGGAGUGCUUUGGGUGUGCCAAACGUCACAACGUAACUGGGUGGCUAUAAAGGUACACUACAGGUAUCUCCGAAAGUGUCUGUUGGGUUGGCACGAAUCGAGACUGGGAUUUGUCACUCCGUGUAAACGGAGAGGUAUCUCUGGGCCCACUCGGUAGGACAUCAUCAUAAUGUGCACAAUGUGACCAAGGAGUUGAUCACGUGAUGAUGUGUUACGGAACGAGUAAAGAGACUUGCCGGUAACGAGAUUGAACAAGGUAUCGGGAUACCGACGAUCGAAUCUCGGGCAAGUAUCGUACCGCUAGACAAAGAUAAUUGUAUACGGGAUUGAUUAAGUCCUUGACAUCGUGGUUCAUCCGAUGAGAUCAUCGUGGAGCAUGUGGGAGCCAACAUGGGUAUCCAGAUCCCGCUGUUGGUUAUUGACCGGAGAGUUGCCUCGACCAUGUCUGCAUGACUCACGAACCCGUAGGGUCUACACACUUAAGGUUCGAUGACGCUAGGGUUAUAGGGAAAGUAUGUACGCGGUUACCGAAUGUUGUUCGGAGUCCCGGAUGAGAUCCCAGACGUCACGAGGAGUUCCGGAAUGGUCCGGAGAUAAAGAUUGAUACAUAGGAAGUAUGGUUUUGGCCACCGAAAGUGUUCCGGGCAUCACCGGUAGUGUACCGGGGACCGCCGGAGGGGUCCGGGGGUCCACCAGGUGGGGCUUCCAGCCCCGGAGGCCUACAUGGGCCAAUAGUGGGAAGGGACCAGCCCCUAGGUGGGCUGGGGCGCCUCCCACCAAGGCCCAAGGCGCCUCCAAGAGGGGAAGGGGGCAAACCCUAGGGCAGAUGGGCCCUAAGGCCCACCCUAGGUGCGCCUCCCCCUCUCCCCCUUGUGGCCGCCACCCAAGAUGGGAUCUAGGGCCGCCGCACCCCUUGGGGGGGGGGGAACCCUAGGUGGGGGCGCAGCCCUCCCUCUCCCCCUAUAUAUAGUGGAGGCAAAGGGGCAGCCCAACACGCGAUUCAAUCUCCCUGUUGGCGCAGCCCUACCCCUCUCCCUCCUCGUCUCUCGUAGUGCUUGGCGAAGCCCUGCUGGAGUCCCGCGCUCCUCCAUCACCACCACGCCGUCGUGUUGCUGCUGGAUGGAGUCUUCCCCAACCUCUCCUUCUCCCCUUGCUGGAUCAAGGCGUAGGAGACGUCACCGGGCUGUACGUGUGUUGAACGCGGAGGUGCCGUCCGUUCGGCACUAGAAUCAUCGGUGAUUUAGAUCACGACGAGUACGACUCCAUCAACCCCCGUUCACUUGAACGCUUCCACUUAGCGAUCUACAAGGGUAUGUAGAUGCACUCUCCUUCCCCUCGUUGCUAGAUUACUCCAUAGAUUGAUCUUGGUGAUGCGUAGAAAAUUUUGAAUUUCUGCUACGAUCCCCAACACCAUGAAGCUCGUCUCCCUUCUCAGCGUCGAAGCUGCCAUCGGGCACAACCAAAGGGUGCAACACAUGAGUAGUGUGCAACACAGGCGGCGUCAGGGAGAGCCCGCCCAGUGCAGCCUCAGCUCGCUCCAUGAAGCUCUCCAUCCGCAACAUCCAACCUUUCAUAGAGUCAAUGACAUCACGCAGAGGCUGGACCGUUUUCUCAAGCUGAAAGGAAGCCAUACCAAGGAGCUCAGAGCGCAGCAGCUCGGCCUGCCUCUCCAAAGUGGGCCGCAUCGAGGUAUCCGUCGGGGCCAUUGAUCCAGCAGGAGCAGAAACGAUCGAUGCCCAAGAAUCACAACAAAAUGUCUUUGAGAGGNNNNNNNNNNNNNNNNNNNNNNNNNNNNNNNNNNNNNNNNNNNNNNNNNNNNNNNNNNNNNNNNNNNNNNNNNNNNNNNNNNNNNNNNNNNNNNNNNNNNNNNNNNNNNNNNNNNNNNNNNNNNNNNNNNNNNNNNNNNNNNNNNNNNNNNNNNNNNNNNNNNNNNNNNNNNNNNNNNNNNNNNNNNNNNNNNNNNNNNNNNNNNNNNNNNNNNNNNNNNNNNNNNNNNNNNNNNNNNNNNNNNNNNNNNNNNNNNNNNNNNNNNNNNNNNNNNNNNNNNNNNNNNNNNNNNNNNNNNNNNNNNNNNNNNNNNNNNNNNNNNNNNNNNNNNNNNNNNNNNNNNNNNNNNNNNNNNNNNNNNNNNNNNNNNNNNNNNNNNNNNNNNNNNNACUCAUGCGCUCGAUGACCGUUCUCAAGGCAUCGAUAACAUCUAAAAGGAUCUCGACAAUCCGCUGCACGGUGUCCAGGAAAGAGACAUCUGCAACAUCUACCAUGAAGCCAAGCAGGGACGGGACGGGUAGCCAAAGUAGGGGCUUGUGACGCCUGGCGUUGCACAUCGCGCCGCGGGAGCACUUUCUGCCAACCUUCGCAUGUAUCCGCUUCACACGCCACGUCCUGCCGAGCAGCCGAAACCAAGGAUUUGGUAGCCGGCGGUGGCGUCGGUUGGGCCAGCUCAUCAUCGUCGUCGUCGUCUUCUUCGCCGUCAGUAAGGGAGCUCCACGAGACAGGUAGCUCUGAGUCAAAAACCACACCGCGCCAGCAGAAAAUCACCCUAAGCGAGACGAGGGAUUAAACUUAUCCGGUUUUGAAAGUUGAGGGACUAAAUUUAUCCGGUUUUAAAAGUUGGAGAACUAAGUUUUGCUGGUUUUGAAGUCGAGGGACCAUUGCUAUAUUUUCAAAAGAGUUGAAGGAUGAAAACUUGUCCCUUUAAUUUAUAGUGUAGAAAAAUUAUAGAAAUAGGAAAAUCAUUUCGAAUAGUCCACUUCGCACUGGGCGUGGAAAGCAGUGCAGGGUCGACCAACGUUAACGUCUGAUUAAACGCCACGAUAUACUGCCAUUCAUCCUAAAAAAUAGUAUAACAUCAUUCGGUGAGUCCGGCCGGUUCGGGUUACUCUCAAUAAUUUCUUCUCUUUCCUACGCAGGCGCGCGCCGAUCACGCGGUUGUUGAGCGGACUGCGACGGUCGUCCGUGGAGCUAGCUAGCUGCGUCGCCGCUGGUAGUGGUGGCUUUCAGGUUUUAAUUUCGUGGCACGCCUCGUCCAUGAUGAUUUGAUAUUUAGUGUCGCGUUUUUAUUUGACUAGUAAUAAUAUACGUGCAAUGCACGUUUUUAUUAAAUAGAAUAUUAGUUGCACGUUAUAUUAUGUAAGAUAUAUCUGUUGCACGUUGGUAUUUAGUAGUAUAUCAAUUACUUUUUCGCGGGAAUGGUAGGAUAUUAAUUACAUGACAAAUUUCAUGGAAUAGUGUUGAGUCAAAACGUGUUUAUAACCAAUGGCAGUGAUGGAUAAUUAGAGCGUUAAACGUGUUUGGUGCUCACCAUUGAAGAGAUUUGAACCGUUAGAUAACAUGAUUUGACGAUUGAGAUGGUUUGGAUCUGUCCUUUUGGGUCUUUUUAUAUUAGUAUAGAUAUAGAUAUAGAUAUAAGUAUAGAUGUUGUGUGGAUCGUAGCUGCCUGGACAUGUCAUCUACAGUAGAAGUAAACCAAGAAUUUUUGGAAGCGGGGAACUGGCCCGAGAUGGAGGGAGGGUGCGCGGUUUCUACUGACCCCCUUUGGACCGCAAAAAAAGAAAAAGGAAAACAGACAAUCGAAAAUAAAUAGACGAUUAUGGUUACUUGGUCCGAAAUAAUAGACAUGUCAGUACAGAUACAUUGUGAUCGCUGUCCCUUGUCGCCGUGGUCACUUUUUCGCCGGGUUCGUCAUGGCUCACGACAUCAAUAGCUACAUGCAGUCGACACGGCUGGUGCUAUCUUCAUCACAUCUAAAUGUUUUAAGAGUCAUCGGCGUGGGCGAGCCAGGUUGCGUGAAAACCUCUUCCAUUUGCACCACUCCAUCGGUACUUCUGCACGCACGCAUGCGUGCCAUAUUCGGAAGUUACGUAAAACUUUUCUAAUAACCCCCUUGGUAGGUGUAGGAUUAUUGGGGUCGGAACUCGGAAGAUUAUUAUCAUAGUUUUAAAUAGCCGGUUAUAGCUUCGCUAUUGCUCCGCUAUAGCUGUUUGAGGAUGUUGCUGCUAAAUAAUUUCAUGUACAAUAUAUUGUUAUAGCUCCGUUAUAGCCCGCUAUAACCCAGCUAUAGCUGUUUUUAAGGGUCACCGCUAAAUGUCAUAGUUCGCUUUUUAAAACAUUGAUUACUACCCCUUCCUGUUGCGAUGAUGAUGUGAUGAUUAGGUUUCCCGGUUAAUUUGGUUGUCGUCCUUUAAUCUGUUGAAACUUUUGUAGCUAGUGUGCCGCUAGGCCUUUCCUGGCUAGUUUUGGGUAGAUUGAAGUAUCCUGAUGUGGUGAUAUAUAUCAGUGGUGUGUGAUGACUAGGCUUGCUAGACUGGAGCAUCCUGAUGUGGCUCUAGAUUAAUUAAUGAUGUAAUGGUUGGUUUGUUGCCCUGUAAACAACUCCAUUUUCAUGAAAAUGAAAAUAGGGCCGUGUGGCCCCUUUGAUCUGAAAAAAAAAAUGAUGAUGAUGACAUAGUCAGCAAGUGGUCAGGGAUUCUACUGUGUCCGCCUCUCACAUUGUUGCAAGAUGCGGCGGAGAAGGAAGCGAAAUGCAAAUCGGCGCUGAGCUCCCCUCUACCUGUGUCCUCUUCCCCGCCAAGUCAAGCUGGAGUGUAGAACGGCCCAAUGUUGUAGCUUUCCGGAUCCAAGCGUGGCAAAAUCGAACAUUUUAACCGCAAAGCCAAGUUAGUAAAAGUGUUGAACUGUUCAAUGCUGUAGCUUUCCAGAUCCAAGCGCCGCAUAGGGCUGGAAAAAAAGCUCAAAGUUCAUGAACUAAACGAGUAGCUCGUGACUUGGCUCGAAUCGACUUGAACUCAAAGAAUAAUGAGCCAAGCUGAGCUUUAGUUUAAGAUUAUUUAUAGACCAAAUUAAAUGAGCCAAUCUCAAGAGUACUCAUAUAACUCGCUAGGCUCGGUACAAAAGAUCAGCUACUCUCAAUACAAAAAAGAUUAGCCACUCAGCACCCUAUGUUCUAGGCGCGCAACAUAAGGCCUAGUCUUUGAAGGCCCAGGCACCCAAAAAACUCAAGUGUUACAAAAAAUUACUCCCUCCGUUCAUUUUUGUAAGUCGUUUCAGACAACUCAAAAUAGGCUGUUUUGCACAUUGUCUGAAAUAUCUUCAAGGUCUUAUAAAAGUGAACAGAGGAAGUACUAUUGUUUAAUGAUAUAUAUGUUUAAUAUAUACAUAAUUAUUUUUAUAACAUUUGAGGAUUUUAUGUUCAUAUCUUUAACGAGUUUAACAAGUUAAACGAGAUAGCUCGCGAGUUAUAUGAGUCGAGUCAAUCUUGAAUCUAAGCUCGUUAUAAUAAUGAGUCGAGUCGAGAUAGCUCGUUAACAAAACGAGCUCUAGCGAAUCGAGCCGAGCUGGCUCGACUCGGCUCGAAUUCCAGCCCUAGCGCCGCACAAUCGGCCGUUUUAACAUGGAGCAGGCGCUUGUUCGGCUGUUCGUUCGUCAUCACCACUGCAGCGCUUCUCUGAGCUCGCGGUCUUUUUCGAGAAGAAAACAUGAGCUGUGUCAGCGGGAGAAAUGAAAAACCACGCAUGCCUCGUGCUUGCGUGCGCUUCAAUUUCUGGGAAGCCGUCCUCAUGCUGCGACUGCGACGAUCGCGCGGUAGACGUACGAAUGAAGCAAGCACAAGAGCCAAAGAGGCUUCGCUCAUCGAUGACACCGUACCGAUGAACGGCUAACGGAUGAUUAUUAAACUAUGCUCGCCUACUAUAACUAGCAAACGAGCGGUUGUGAGCGAGUGCUAGCUAGAUCGGCUGGCUCAAUAUUACUAUAAUGAACAGGCAAUAAUUGAAUUUGGUUUUAAAACUUAAUGAGCUUAAUGUACAAUAUAAUGAGUUUCACGAGCAGCUUAUUAAUACAAUUAUAGUACUACUAGAUCAUUUUCUCAUCGACCCUUCCCACAAGCGCCUCCAAGACGACUAGGGUUUUCUCACCUCUCACCGGCAGUACUACCGAUCUACCUCGUCUUUUCUAGCCUUAAGGUCUUGAGGCGUGGUGGAUCCUGCCCUUGCCUAUAAGAGGACUUUUGUUUCGUCCUUAGAUAUUUUCUAGAGUUUGUUUAGCGUUUGUGUCCUACUCAGAAAGCCGAGACGGUGGCGACUUUUUGAAGAUGAAAUGAGACUCUCCACACCUAGCCCCUGUCCCGGAGGUGAGUCCAGCAUCGCCGGAGGGCGUAUGGAGGUGUGUCUCCUAUGAAUCUCGUGGGAUUCUGUUGAUAUUUGUUUUCAUUGGAUCUGCUUGGAUCUGAUCUUCGUUCGUUCGCGUUUGAAUCUUUUUGGUCUACACUUUUCUUCAUCGAUGACGGUUGUGUUUUCUAAUGUGCUGGUCCUUUGGGGUCUUAGCACGACAACUUACUGAUUGUUUACUAUAACAUGAUUUGCCCGGCUCCAGUGAAGGAGAGGCGAUGAUGGCGGCAUGUCUUCGACUCGUUCCAGUGCUUUUAGUGUUGUUAGGUGGUCUAGUGACAUGGAUGUAAUUUUUGUUUUUUAUGUUCUUUAUACUACCAUGAUAUGAAUAGAUAAAAAAAAGUCGACUUUGCUAAUGUCACUCUGUUUACAUAGUACAUACGUAGAUGCUCAUACAUAUGCAUAUAUACUCGUCCCUAUAAAUGCACACACGUACAUUCUACCCCUAUGAAUACCUCCGAAAGGCUGAGCCUACACAUCAUGUUGGGAUUACGAAGUCACUACAGAUGCUUUCGUAGUCGACGGAAACGUUUACUACCAUAGUACGAACACCAUUGUAAAGCCUAAAAUAAAUCUAAAAAUAUGAGCACCAACGCCAAGUCUAGCACUUGAAUUUUGAUGGGUUGGUUCCACCAUAAAGAAUAUAAAGAGCAUCUACAACCGGAUCUCAAACGUCUCAUCUUACAGUUCGUCACUGUCGGAACACAAAAAAGAAGAAAAAGGCCACCCAACCGGACCCCCCUCCCCCCUCCCUCACUUUAUCCUCAUGUGACCGGUUUGUCCGUGAAUCUCAUCACACCAAAUAUGAAGAGGAUAUGGAGAUGUCCAGGCAGCCCUCCACGUAGGAUGCGGCCCAUCACAGACCACCUUUUAAUUUUAUGUAUUCUUUUUUCCUUUUUGUUUUCAUCCUCAUCGAUCGCACGAAUUUAAUCGGACAAUUCGGGAAGGAUGUAGAGAACAAUGAUUGCACGCAUGCAUUAAUGUUAAUGAAGGCUCAAAAUGAGCGUGUCUGAUCACUGACCAACCGGACACGUUGGCAUAUACUCCCUCCGUUCCGAAUUACUUGUCGUAGGUAUGAAUGUAUCUAGAUGUAUUUUAGUUCUAGAUACAUUCAUUUCUACGACGAGUAAUUUGGAACGGAGGGAGUACUUGGGGAUCGAAAUUAGCCAAUUCUGCUUGUCAAUGCUCUAAGCAUCUGAGAUGGCCUCAGUUCCCAUGGGCAAUACUAAAAAACAGUCCGCUUUCACUUUUGAUCAAAUCACGCGUCAGUAUGGACAAGAGGAGUGCUAGACGACUGGUGCUAGCAAACAAUAUGGCCCGGAUCCAAAACCCACCUGGAUGCGCCGUGGCCUUGCCCGACGCACCUGCGCACUCACGCACGCACGCACCUGCUCCCCGUUGGAUGGACGCGCAACAGCGACGUGGUGCUAGAUCUCGUCCGACCCCGCCGGCGAAGCGAUGCUCAUCGGCGGCGUCGCGUUGGCCACACCGGUCGAGCUGACAGCCUUGUCAGCUGGCGCCUCUUUUCAGAAAGAAAAAUGAAAAAGACAGCCUCGUCAGUUCAUUGUAGAUUGCUGGGUUUCUGAAUGAGCUUCUCCACUCGAUCUCCGGCCGGAUGGGUGUGGUGGGCGUGGCGGGGCGCCGAUGGUUGGUGCGUGUGGAUGGCUCGGCUCAGGCGCUAUGGACCGUCCGCAUAAACGAGCUGAUUAGGCACGGGCGUCCUGUGUGUACACUGACCGUCCAAAAGUUUCGUCGGUAUGCCCCCGGCUGGCUCCCGUACGUGCAGCUACCGCCCGGCAGGCAGAUAUAGCCAAGGCCAUGCCAGCGGCAGCUCCACAUAAAUGAGCUGAUUAAGCACGCGCGGGGCCUCCGCUAUAUACAUACAUACUCACCACCCGGCACCCGAUCGACCGCAAACACGCAAGCAAAAGACCACCAGAAAGAACCCGGAGGAGCUGAAGCUGCGCGGAGCGUCGUCGUCGUCGAGCGGAGCGCGCCGGCCAUGAGAGGGGACGGGGAGGAGGAGGAGGAGGCGUCGGCGCCGCUGCUGCAGCCGCUGCCGGCCAAGGGGGACGGGCAGAGGCGGGGCGCGCGGGUGGCGCGGGAGUGGUGGGACGAGUCGAAGCGGCUGUGGCGGAUCGUGGGGCCGGCCAUCUUCCAGCGGGUGGCGCUGUACGGGAUCAACGUCGUCUCGCAGGCCUUCAUCGGCCACAUCGGCGACCUCGAGCUCGCCGCCUUCUCCAUCGCCUCCACCGUCAUCGCCGGGUUCAACUUCGGAUUCCUGGUGAGCAAGACCUUCGUUCAUUCAUGCUUGCUCCGCCUCCUUGCCCGAUCCAUGCCUUCAAUUUGGAGCUAGCACGCACGCACCGGUUGAUUCCUCCGUCCCUUGCGCACGCCGGGAGAUGGAGACAACGGAGUAGAUCCAUCUCAGAAGCAUAGCCACAGGCUCGUUCCAGAAACGACAAGCCGAGAAAAGAACAGGGUGGAUCGGCUGGCUAAGAAGUAAGAACCCCACGGCAUUUGAUUCGAUCGCCGCCUUGUUUACCUCCAUCGCCGCCAGCUAAUUUGAGCCGCCCCGCUCUGUAGCUAAGCUGCGCGUAAACCAGUGCAGGCAGGGUCAACGUUAACGCCGAAAUCGCGCGCGCGUAUCCUAUCAAGUAUCAACACGCCCCAGCUGCUCGUGCUAAUCUGGAUAACUUGUCCACUCCUACUCCGUCUCCAUUUCCCAUACGCGCGCUGCCACGUGGAUGUUGGAUUGGGCCGACGGCCGCCGGCCGACGAACACGGGUGCAUCGCCGCUGGGAGCAGCUUUCAGGUCUUCAUUUCGUUUAGCGGGGCAGGAGCAGCAGCAGUGCUGUUUUUCGAGGGAGACAGUGCGGGCCUGCUCUUCCACGAUUGGGAUAUCUAGCGUCGCACUUGGAGCUCCUCUCGUGCAACCAUGCAGUAGCUUUCAGAUCUUAAUUCCAUGGGCUUGCUUCCUUAUUUGAUAUUCGAAAUAAAUGAAACGAUGAGUAAGAUCUUACGUAGAAGAAGCACAAUCGAUCGCGCUCGUUCCGGAAAAGACAAGGGGACAGGAUCGAGUAAAGAAACCAGGAACGUGACGGCGUUCGUUUGUUGGUUGCCAAAUUGGUUUGGGACUAUGAACCGGUCGACCUUGCUUGCACCCCGCCCUAAUGUAUUGCAUGGUCAGCUCUGACGAUGGAACCGCCGCCGUAUCUUAUCAUCAUAUCCAGCUCGUGGCGUCUUGCCGCCUUGAGUAAUACUAUUUUCUCCGUCUCAAAUUACUUGUCACAUAAAUGGAUUAUUCGUCUCUGUGACAAGUAUUUUCGGAUGUAGGGAGUACUAUACACGUAGCAUGCCGACCACCAUCCCCCUUUUUUCCCGCUUCAUGGGCGAGGUGGGGAUCAUGUGGUUGGUGUCGCCACAGCUACAGCUUGCGUGCUACAAGUAACUUUCGGAUUUUAAUUUCGUAGCACUUAAGUGGGUAUACCUCACGGGCAGCUUUUGUUUUCUGAGGGGAACACUUUACUAUAAUCUUAUAUGUUGAUAGUCUUUCCUAGCCAUGAUGUAGUCAAGCUUUACUAUGUUUGGCUUGAGACAAAAACUUAUAUGCGGACUAAAAUACAGAGGGAGUAGGAGAGACUGCACUAGUUUCUGCUCUCUCUGGAGUCUGGACUGGAUCAGAAAACCAAUAGCCAAUAAUAUCCAGAGAUGUGUCCCUCUUCUGCAAGCCAUAGCAAGAGGAACCGUGUCCUGGUUGAGCACAUGUCAAAUUGAUUGCUGGACCGGGUCGGCCGCUAGCUGCCGCACCGCACACUGUAUCUCGUGCAGUUUUGUGUCCACGUACGCGCCUGCCGCUGCUGACGCCGUCACGCACCGGCCCCUGACACCGAUCAGGUCUACUGCAUUGUGGUGGCCAGUUCGUCAUGGCUCCCGGCAUCACAUGCCCAUCGCACGAUCAGCAACACGAGUAGAACUAUUUCGUCACGGUGAAAAUGUUUGGUACUGUAGUAAAAAGAAAAGAUCUUCAGGCUAGCUAUGGUGAAAAACAGUGUGCUGUUUGGCCGUUCCGUGAAAAUGUUUGUAAUCACUGAUGUUUACCAAUGGCCGUUCCGUGAGCUUCAUUGUGUUUCUGCUGACUGGUGGUGACACUCACAGCUGGGCAUGGCGAGCGCGCUGGAGACGCUGUGCGGGCAGGCGUUCGGGGCGAGGAAGCACCACAUGCUGGGCAUCUACCUGCAGCGCUCCUGGAUCGUGCUCUUCCUCUUCGCGCUGGCGCUCACGCCCACCUACGUCUUCACCGAGCGCCUGCUGCUCCUCCUCGGCCAGACGCCGGAGCUGUCCCGCCUCGCCGGCGAGAUGAGCGUGUGGCUCAUCCCGCAGCACUUCGCCAUGGCCAUGCUGCUCCCGCUCACCCGCUUCCUGCAGAGCCAGCUCAAGAACUGGGUCACCGCCGCCACCGCCGGGGUCACCCUCGCGCUGCACGUCCUCGUCACCUACCUCCUCGUCACCCGCUUCCAGCUCGGCUACGCCGGCGUGGUCGUCGCCGCCGACGUCGCCUGGUGGCUCGUCGUGCUGGGGCAGUUCUUCUACGUCGUCUGCGGCGGCUGCCCGCUCUCCUGGAGGGGCUUCUCCGUCGAGGCCUUCGCCGACUUCUGGGACUUCAUCAAGCUCUCCACCGCAUCCGGCGUCAUGCUCUGGUAAGUCUUUUUGUCACACUUUUUAGAAGAGUGCACGUACCAAUUACGUAGAGUAUAACGAACAAGUGUAUACUACUCCCUCUGUUCCUAAAUAUUUCUUUCUAGAGAUUUCAAAUGAAACACCACAUACGGAUGUAUAUAGAUAUAUUUUAGAGUGUAAAUUCACUCAUUUUGCCAAUAAUAAUAAUAAUAAUAAUAAUAAUAAUAAUAAUAAGAAGAAGAAGAAGAAGAAGAAGAAGAAGAAGAAGAAGAAGAAGAAGAAGAAGAAGAAGAAUAUAGGAACGAAGGGAGUACAUUCUAGCCACUGAUUCUUUGGCAUUUCUUUGCCAAUCCGCAUGCAGCAUGGAGAACUGGUACUACAGGGUGCUUGUGUUGCUCACGGGGUACCUGCCCAACGCUGAGAUCGCCGUGGACGCCCUCUCCAUAUGCUUGACGAUCAACGGCUGGGAGAUGAUGAUCCCGCUAGGGUUCCUGGCAGCCACUGGGUACGUACUUACGCACGCACGCACGCACACCGAAUUCAACAAUGAGUACACGGCCGAGUGUUGCAUCGUUCGGUCAGAGACUCAGAGUGGACUAACAUGUGUGCCUGGCAAAUUUUUGCGUAAAAUUUUGCAGUGUUCGGGUGGCAAACGAGCUCGGCGCGGGCAGCGGCAAGGGCGCGCGCUUCUCCAUCGUCGUCUCCAUCACCACCUCCGUGGUGAUCGGGCUCGUCUUCUGGUGCCUUAUCCUCACCUACAACGACCAGAUCACGGUCCUCUUCUCGUCGGGGAAGGCCGUGCUCGACGCCGUGCACAACCUCUCCAUGCUCCUCGCCUUCACCAUCCUCCUCAACAGCGUGCAGCCCGUCCUCUCAGGUACAUACAUUUCCUUCUAUAGCUCAAAAUCCAGAAAUGCCACUGAAGCUCUUUGUAUCAUUGCGCUUGUGUUGUAUUGUAACUAUGGGUGGUUGCAUUGCAGGGGUGGCUAUUGGUUCUGGAUGGCAAGCACUGGUCGCCUAUGUCAACAUCGGAUCCUACUACCUGGUCGGGGUGCCCAUCGGGAUCAUACUGGGCUGGCCGCUCGGCUUCGGAGUUCGGGUAGGGAAUGGAUCAUCACAAGGGCGGAGAAACAAAAAUGAACAGAAGAAAAUUUGCAUCUUCUGAUCAUGCAUGACUUAAAUUUUGCAGGGAAUUUGGUCUGGGUUGAUUGGCGGGACUGCUGUUCAGACGCUGGUGUUAGUCUACCUCACCAUGAGAUGUGAUUGGGACGAUGAGGUAAGUCAGAGCUCCUCUUUUCUGCUCUAUAUAUGUCUGGUUUAUCUUGUCAUGAAAUUCAACAGUCUAUUAUCUUCUUUUCUGUUAUCACUUUUUUCGGAACAAUCAUUUUGUUGUUGGGAUUCUUUUAGCUCAUUGCUUGUGUGAUUGCAGGCUAAGACUACCAGUGCACGAAUGAGAAAAUGGGCCAGCACAAAAUGAAAGCCACUCGACAAUAUUGUUGUCAACUUUCAGCUCCCUUUGACACAGGGGAAAAGGAGCUCAGCAGCACAAGGAUCGGAAGCAAACGCUCAGAAUAUGGGACGGAGGAAGUAGUUAGUUCAGAAGAAAAUGUGGGCGUUUAUUUGACUAGGAAGCAAGCAUGCGGCCUGUUUCUCAAGAUAUCCGCUGGUCAAGAAAAUUCAGUGUGCUAUCAGUGGGCUCAAAACUAUGUAUUUCUACGAUAUCUAAAAGCAUAGCACAGAGAGAAAAAGGAUGAAUUGAUGUGCUAGAAAUUCAAAUUCCACCGACCAAAGCAAAACAUCGAGACAUUGAUUUGAUGGAUCUUGUUCUAUUAGUAUAAUCCUUGGAUGAUAAUUGUACCUGUCAUGACCUGUUUUCUGCACGAUUCACCCGAUCAGAUCAUAACCGCUAGAUUUUCGUAACCUUGCGCAAACAAAUCACAUCCAAGAAAAAAUAUGCAUUUUUUUGAGAGAGAAAAAAGCAAUUUUUAUCUAACGUUUUUGCCAUUCUCAGUCAGAUGAUAUAAUUAGCCAAAUCCCCUGUCAACUUCUCCAUCAGAAUUGUGUAGAUUUUUCCUUUCUGGUUGUCCUUUUUAUGAUUGAUUUUACACACUACUGUUUUGUGGGUCCUUUUUUUUUCAAGAAACUUCAAAUAUACAAAUCUUCAAUCAUGGCAGUACAACGGACACCAAGAAUAUUAAAAAAUUAUAUCUAGAUUCAUAGACCACCUAGCGACGACUACAAUCACUCAUGCAAGCCAAAGACACACCGCCGUCAUCGCCCCUCCCUCAUCGGAGCCGGUCACAACUUGUUGUAGACAAAAGGGAAGUCGUCGUGCUAAGCCUCCAUAGGACCAACGCACCAGAACAACAACCGUCACCGAUGAAGAGCAAUUUAGAUCAGAAGGAUUCAACAUGAAAACACUUUAACAAAGACCAGAUCCAAGCAGAUUCACCAAAGUCAAUCACCGACCGAAUCUCGCGAGAUCCACCGGAGACACACCUCCACUCGACCUUCGACGAUGCUAGACACACCACCGAAACGGGGGCUAAUCAGGGAGAACCUUAUUCCAUCUUCAAGAAGCCGCCGCCAUCUCGUCUUCUUGAGCAGGACAUAAACCCUAACAAAACUUGAAGAAGGACCUAAAAACGGAGUGCUGAUAUAUCCAUUUGAGAAACAAGCUUGGGACAAGUUUUUACGGAUGAAGGGAGUAUUCAUUAUUUGCUUAGGAGUAGUAUAUGUGUGAGUCUUCUUAUAUAGUAAUCAAUGAGAGCAAAAGGCACACAUAUAUGUAAUGACUAUGCCUAGUAAAAUCAGUACAUUACAUAUUGUUCAAAAUUUGAAAAGUUUUACCGUUCUUCUUUAACUUGGUCGGCCCAAUAUUUUCUUUGUAGCUCUGUCAUUGUAUAUAAUAACAACAAAAAAUAUACUUAAUUAUAGACCAAUAGGGUAAACUCUCCCCCUCCGUACUUCACCAACGAACCCGUGGAUUCGCCUCCCCUUUGCCUGUCGCUUUGGCAGUCGGUGGCAUGAAGGGGAAACUAGUGCCUUCAUUUCGUUAGUAGUCUUCACAGAUGCAGCGCUCGGGCGGAUGUCGGUGCUUCUUCUUCGAGUUUGUCUACCGAGCUUCAAUCAUCCCCGAGUCCGUCUGCCUAGACGUAGUCAAAGAAGCUUCGGCGUGGAUUCUUGCCAUCUCCUAGGGUCGGCAAGGUUAGUGUAUUUCGUCAUGUGGCAAGAUUUGGUGUCAGGUGCUUCAAAUCUAUGCAAGGGUUCAACUGCGGUGCCUGCAACUCCAUGCCGCUAGGACUUAGGGUCAUGUGCACAGAGACUUUCCGGCUUCAUCGACAAGGUCAAGCCCGCUACGGUAAGGGAGUGGUGACAACAUCGUGUCGGCGGUUCGUUCGGCGGUAGUGGUCGCUCAGUGGUCUCAAAAUCUCAAUGUAAUUUUAUCUAUGUUUGAGAUGCUUUAUAAUUCCGGUGAACUUUUAAAAUAGAUCUGAUGGUUUAAGAAAAAUAAGUAGCAUAGUAUUGAUUCCAUCUUAUUUUUAUAUGUUUUAACCUUUAUUUCAUUAUGUCUUUUAUGAUAAUGUGUUUUAUCAUAUCGAACAUAUAAUUUUUUGAUCCUAAAAAAAAAUCUACUCUCUCCGUCUUGUGUUAAAAACGUUCUUAUAUUUUAAGACAGAGAAAGUGAUUUUGUAAAAUUACCGUGUUUUCACUGGCACAUGCAACAGUCUCUGCCAAUCAAAGAGGGUCCAUAGGCUGUUUCGGAGCAAAAGUUUGACUACCCGGUCAACGAGUAAAACGCUUGCCCUUUCACGCAAAAAAGAGAAGAAAAAAAGGAGUAAAAUGCUUACCCAACAAAACGCGUUUUCCAUUUCCAUUUCCGCUCGUUUUACAGGCUGCUCAGACAAAGCUCAGACCAGCGCCGCCGCCGGCCGGCCGGAGUCCGACCCCCGAUCGAGGUAGGCAGCCAGCCCCCUCCCGAGACCCGGCCGUCCGCGACCUCGUCUCCGCUGCCGCUCGUGCUCCCCAGACCAGCGCAACGGCGCGAGGUCAAACCCACGCCCCAAAACCCCAAGGGAGGGCCUCCUCCCUCCCCAAUGCUCCCACCCCUCCUCCUCCGCCCCAAGUCAACCCCUGCCUCCCCACGCCCAUGGCUCCGCUCCCCCUCCCCCUCCUCCUCCUCGCGCUCGCCGGCCUCGCCGUCGCCGCCGCCCAGCCCNNNNNNNNNNNNNNNNNNNNNNNNNNNNNNNNNNNNNNNNNNNNNNNNNNNNNNNNNNNNNNNNNNNNNNNNNNNNNNNNNNNNNNNNNNNNNNNNNNNNNNNNNNNNNNNNNNNNNNNNNNNNNNNNNNNNNNNNNNNNNNNNNNNNNNNNNNNNNNNNNNNNNNNNNNNNNNNNNNNNNNNNNNNNNNNNNNNNNNNNNNNNNNNNNNNNNNNNCAGCCCGGCCAGCCUUUCCCCCCGUCUCCGCAGCAGUCCACCGACGCCUCCGACGGUAAAUCCGCUCUCCCGCUCUCGUUACCGGAUUGGAAGGCGGUGAAAUGCCCGCGGCCUCACAGAUCUCUCUCCGUGCCCUCCUCCCCUCGCAGCGGCCGCCCUGCUCGCGGUGUUCCAGCGGUGGGGUCUCCGGUACGGCCCGACGGCGAGCCCGGGGGACCCGUGCGGGACGCGGGACUGGCCCGGGUCCUUCGCGAGGAACGCGUCCGUCGGCUGCCGCUGCGACGGCUCGCCCGUGUGCCGCAUCACGCACCUGUUCGUGCUCCCUCUUCCUCGCUCGCUCGAAGCCUCUGGCCGUUUAGUUUUCAAGUUUUCAGGCGCCUCUUUGCGUGUGGACUGACGGGUGGCUCUGGAUGAUGCAGGAACGUCACCGGAUUCUCGAAUCUGACCGGGAUCCCGCCGGAGCUCUUCAGCUUGACGGAGCUGGUCUCUCUGUGAGUUGUGGCAUUGAUGUCUGUUACUGUGCAAACUGCUUACUCUAGGGAAUGCUAGAAUUAACCCGCUGUAGGAGCAUGGAUGCACAGCAUUGGUUGGAAUGUGCAUCAUAUCAGUUACUACGUCUGACUAAGCACUCAGUAGUUUGCUCUUGCAUCGUAAAUUCAUAAUGGUUUACUGCAGAAUAUAUAGUGGUUACUUUUUUUUGCGGGUGAAUAUAUAGUGGUUACUGAAAAGAUUAGGUAUACAACCAAGGCCUCCAUGCCUAACAUAUACUCCGAAAAUGAUUAGGUAGUAUGGAACCUGUCUAAAUGUACACAAAAUCUUCUACUUUCAGAACCAACUAUUAUUGUUUAAAUUUGAUGCAACCUGGUUUAGCAACAACAUAGUUUUUUUUUCUUUCUUGUAUUAUACCCUCUAGCAUCAAUACUGCAAAGAGGCUACACUUGUGUGGUGAUAAGAAUUAUCAAUAUGAUUGAUAGCCACUUACUCAUCAUUUCCUCCUGUAGGGAUUUGAGCAAUAACAACUUAAGUGGUUCUAUACCUCAAGAAGUUGCCAAUCUCUCCAAACUACAAACAUGGUGAUGAAAUCUUUUACCUCCCCUUACAAAUGGGAUUGUAAAUUUGUUGUAUAACUUCAUUGUUAAGUUUUCCUGUAUCUAUCAUCAAUCUAUACCUGCAUUGCAAGUUCAUGUUGCUGAACUAGUGCAUGUUUGUUACAUCUUACACAAAUAAUUAGUUAUACUGCAGAAACAGUCUGUAUUCAGACUGUCUCAGUUGCAACUCUAUACAUUGGCGAAGAUAUUUAUUAUGUUUAUUAUAGCUGACUGAAUGAUCUUCACUUAGCUAGGCACUUCAACAACAACAAACUCAGUGGGCUUUUACCUAAUGAAUCUUCACGUUUGGGGAGUCUUCAAUCCCUGUAAGUAUGCCUCAUUUCCUUUACUUCCUUAUAUACUAAGUAGAAAUCUAAUUAUUUGGAUUAAGUCAAUCUGGAGGGUAGUACAUUAUAUAGAGUAUGUUUGAAAAGAAUGAUUACAUGACCUUGCAAUUACUUAUGCAGGUGGAUGUUCGAUAAUUACAUUGAAGGGCAACUUCCAGAAUUUAUUGCGAAUUUUACCAAUAUCAUAGAUCUGUAUGUAUGAGUACUUGUUUAUUUUCAUUAGGUACAACUACUUCUUUCUUUGCAGUCUUCUUAAGCUAAUGCACUUGUCUUGCCAGGAGAAUAUAUGGAACGAAACUUCGAGGGCCUAUUCCAAAAAACUUCUCUAAGUUGACCAAUCUGAAAAUUCUGUAAGUCACUCUGGUGGUUUAACUUAUUAAAUAUCAAAGAAUAAUACAACCUCUGUUCCAAAUUACUUGUCUUAGAUUUGUCUAGAUACUAGACAAAUCUAAGACAAGUAUUUGGGACGGAGGGAGUAGAAUAUAGUAGUGACCUCAAUUUAUUUUUAUCAUUAUCAUACUCUUAAGGGAGUAACACAAAAGGACUAUAUAUAUGAAAAAUCAGUGACAUACAAUUUGUUAGAAGACACAUGAAUCUGUUUUUCAUCUUAAUAAAUAGUUUAUAGCCUUGCGUUUAACAGGGAAUUUUUUGCAGGAUGCUUGGUGAUCUUGAUGGUGGAAAUUCUACUUUCGAUUUCAUAGCAGAUGGGGCAAAUAUUUCAAUAUUGUACGUCUGCAACUGUCAUACUGAACUAUACUUUGGUUCCAUGAUCAGUAUAAUUAUUAUUUACUAAUGUUUUUUUAUGUUAAGCAGAUCACUGAGAAAAUGUGGAAUUGGCCAGUUUCCUAGUAACCCCCCAAAUCUACCCAAUCUAACAUACCUGUGGGUUUUCUGAAACUUCUGCUUGAAGGCAUUGCUUUUGUUUAGCUAUGCUUGAUAGUAGUAUAACUCUUUAUGGUUCUGAUAAUAUUUUAGACAGUUACCCUAUAAUAUGCUGCUACUGUCUUAAAUCUUACUAUUUUUAUAGUUCCAGACAUUGUUUUCUAGCCUGAUUUUGUAUGAUGCCAUUGUCAUAAAUCUUAAUAUUAUCUAUCUCCAGCAUCCAUUGUCAAUCAUCAAUAAGCUAUUGGUUUAGUAAAUGAAACACUGUGAACAGUAUUUAGGCAUACCUUCUAACUUGCAAUGUAGUCUAUGUUAGGCGGACAACUAUUUCAGAUGUUGAAUUUUUCAUUUUAACAUUUUAAAUGUGUUUGAACAUUUGUUUUCAUCUUGGGCAAUGGAAGACCUGAGAAUAGUAAAAUGUUCAAUUCCCUAUGCAGCCACAUCUAUUUUAUCUUGUUCUUAGCUUUGUUGUAAUGCCUGGAGGAAGCUAUGCAUGAGAUGGAUCUUUUUGGUUCAUAAGUAAAAUCCUUCAUAUUAAAUUUUAUACAUUUUGCUGGUAUUUCAUAGUUGUACCUAAUUCUCAAGUUCGUGGCUGCCUUAUAUAUGCAGAGAUUUGAGGUCAAACAAUUUAUCAAGCUCAAUAGAACCAUUGCGUCGUUAUGGGAGAUUAAGCUACCUGUAAGUUCUAGUUACGGACUUACAUUUUGCAACUUCAAAAGUAAAUUGAAUUAGGGGUAGAUUAGUUGCCUAAUAAAGUUUUUUAACCUUUAUUUGCCUAAUAAAGUUGGUCGUGUUUUCAAGGAAAUUUUAGAAAACCUUGUGCACAUAGAGCAAACUGCUUCAGGAAACAAUAAAAAGGGCAGCCCGGUGCACGUAGCUCCCGCUUGCGCAGGGUCCGGGGAAGGGUCCGACCACUUUGGGUCUAUAGUACGCAGCCUUUCCCUACAUUUCUGCAAGAGGCUGUUUCCAGGACUCGAACCCGUGACCUCAUGGUCACAAGGCAACAGCUUUACCGCUGCGCCAAGGCUCUCCCCUUCUUCAGGAAACAAUACAAAUUUAAUUCUUUUCGUCUAAAUGAAAAGACAGCCCUCCUGCCUGUUUCCAAGAAGAAUUCAAUUAAUCAACAAUUUUGAGUUCUUGCAAGUUGCAACUUCCAAGGCAUAUAAUUGUUGACCUUUAAACUGUAAUAUUGGCCUCAUAGCUCUGCAUCUACCGAAGAUAGGUGCCAGAUGUCUUUCAUUGCACCUUUCCAAUAUCAAUCUCCUCCACACUAGGUGCCUUGCUGGCUUGUGUUUCUGCCCUGGUUUUGCAUGUCUCCUUGUCUAGUUUGGCAUACAUAUAUUACUAUCUGAUUCAAAUGGAGAAUAUUAGUCAUGCAAGGUCAUAGCAAUAUGACUUCAGGUUAUGGGAAGAUACUAUCAAUUCUGUUAAGUGUUAUGUCUAUUGCUGAUAAUUACUUAAUUAGUCAAUAUUGGCACAACCUGAUUAAGUUAAUUUGGGUGUAUCAUGGUCUAUUUAUCCUUUGGUUGAUGAAAUGAACCAAGCUUUAAGUAUCUCAUUUAACAUUUUGAUAUGCAGUAAUAGCAAAGAAAAUGAAUUGGGGCUUGGGUGGGAUGGGAGCACUUUAUUGUAAUCUUAUUGCUAUUGUACCUACUUUCUCCAAGUUUUUGUCAGUGCGUCAAAUUUAGGACUUUAUCACUUUUGUUGUUCCACUUAUCUAAUAAAUUUUCAUCCUUCUAGAUAUAUGGGUGAAAACAACUUUAGUGGACCUCUGCCUUCUGAAAUGUUUCAAUCAUCCCGUGGUUUGUAAGUAUGUUCACUUGUUCUGCAUUUGUACUUGCUGAUGGAUACCUUUUGCUUAUAUCAAAGAUUCCCCAUGGACUGUGGCUUACCAAAACCUCUCAACUAAGCUUUAGUUUAGAGUGCCGUUUUAGUUUCUAAAAAGGCCUCUAUUCUUUUUUUGAACUUUAAAAUACAUGCAGUUGAGUUCUAUUGCUUUUUAAGACAACAUACUUUGUCUAACACUUCUUUAAAAUCUUACAUAAACUUCUUCCAUAUCAUGUACUCCCUCCGUCCCAUAAUAUAAGUAAAAAACGCUCUUAUAUUAUGGGACGGAGGGAGUAUCAUGUACAUCCAUUUUCCGUAGCAUGGGGCAGCCAUUGUACUCGAAUGAAUAGGACCUUUUUUUUAGCUGCAGACUUAAUAAUGGUGCAUCACAUCUGUUCAUAUUGACUGUCCUUGUCUUGGAGUGUGGAAAAUAUUGACACCUCAGGUUAUAUUUAACAUGGAUUCUGACGUAUCUUGAAUUCUGAUACCAUGUUAAUCCGUGAGAGAUUGCGCAAAUGGGAUAUUUGUAUUGCAUCAAGGCCCAAAGUUAUAAUAUAUGAAACAGAAGAUACAACCCUUGACUUAGACUACAAAACCACUUAUACCCCUAACAUGCACAUGAUAUUACAGAUCAAACUUGGAACGUAGCACAGCUAAACAAUUUUUAGNNNNNNNNNNNNNNNNNNNNNNNNNNNNNNNNNNNNNNNNNNNNNNNNNNNNNNNNNNNNNNNNNNNNNNNNNNNNNNNNNNNNNNNNNNNNNNNNNNNNNNNNNNNNNNNNNNNNNNNNNNNNNNNNNNNNNNNNNNNNNNNNNNNNNNNNNNNNNNNNNNNNNNNNNNNNNNNNNNNNNNNNNNNNNNNNNNNNNNNNNNNNNNNNNNNNNNNNNNNNNNNNNNNNNNNNNNNNNNNNNNNNNNNNNNNNNNNNNNNNNAUCCUUAAAUUCAAGCUAAUAUGCAUGUCAGUAGCUGAUUAAUUCCUGCUAAAAUAGUGUAAUUUGAAGGGCCGGCCCUCCCCAACAAAGCUAAUCAACGCUUGGCCCCCCCUUAUUCAACUUUCCUGGCUCCGCCACUGUCUGAGAUAGUGGCAUAUAUUAAACAUGGGAUCUUUGAACUACUGGAUCUGAAGUGGUCUAUAGAAACUAGAAAUGAGUGGCCGUGAUUGAACAACAACAACAACAACAAAGCCUUUAGUCCCAAACAAGUUGGGGUAGGCUAGAGGUGAAACCCAUAAGAUCUCGCAACCAACUCAUGGCUCUGGCACAUGGAUAGCAAGCUUCCACGGACCCCUGUCCAUAGCUAGCUCUUUGGUGAUACUCCAAUCCUUCAGGUCUCUCUUAACGGACUCCUCCCAUGUCAAAACCGGUCAAAUGAGUGGCCGUGAUUGAAUCAAGGAGAUUUGCAAGAGAUUGGUAGGAAUUGGAUUUGUGGUAGCAAGCUAGCAACUUAGCACGACAUAAUAGUAUAUAUAAAAUUACACGGGCAAUCUCAGAAUUAUUCAACUGCAAUAUGUUCGAAAUCAAGACUGGGGCAUUAUAGUUCCAUUAUGUGCUUUCUUUUGGCUCGAUGGUGUCAUCUAAUUCUUCAAGAUCAGCCUACAAUUCUUUUUCUACAAUGGAGUCUGGUCUUGAACCUGUCUAACUCUUCUGAAUAUUGUUUUAAAUUCUUCAGGGAUGUUUCUUAUAACCCUUUACUUAAUGGAAACCUUCCUAACAACCCCCCUGAUCGCAAGUGGUCAAUGUAUGUAUUUCCUUACUUUUACUCAUUAUAUUAGGCAUUGGUGCUAAUAGCUAAAUUGGCAACAUUACUUAUUUCUUUGCAAACACAUUCUCCUGCGUAGAAACUAUAUCGGGACUUCAAUUGAUGCAAGCAGAACAAUUAACAGGUAAUCAAUAUUUUAAAUAAUUUGAUUAGUGGUCGUGCUUUGAUACUGUUGAUCAAACAAGUAACAACUCCAUUGUUAUUUCUUGCCAGCAGUUUUAUUUUUGUUAUUGUGAAUCUUCUCUUGCUGCCUGUUAUUAAAGAUUGAGAAGGUGGGCACAUAUCAUAUUUGAAUGGGAGAGCUUAUGUAACACCAUUGAUUGAGUACCAUUUAAUUUUCCACAUUUAAUGUAUGCUUUUCAGCAUUCAUUUUUUGUCCACAGCAAGAAUAUUAAAUAAUGCAAUCAUUUCGCUCCUGUAAGGCUGCGGCUGCUCUUUUCUCUUGACGCACUUCAGAAAUAAUCAGAUAUGUUGGAGAAUGGAAGGGCCGUGAAAGAGGAGACCAAAGUGCUACCGAUUUUUCCUUCUUUGUAGAUCAACAGGCCUACAUAUGCAGUAGAAUUUUGUUACAAGUUUGGCCUAUAUUUGCAUUUUAGAGAACAUCCUGGGAUAGAAUGAUUGGAAAAUUUAGGAAAUUUUCAACAAGGGUAAUGUCGGAAAAGAAGUGGUAGCAUUGAUGGCGGCCUUUUAGUACUUCUGUAUACAGUCCUGAGCUUGUCCUUGUAAUUUGCAGUAAAUUUUAAACUUUGUUAUUUUAAUAAUGUCCUGCUUCAUUUUCUCACCCUGCAUUGAAUUUUAAUAUGCAGUGAGAACCUUACUCUCCUCAAUUGUCUCCACAUGAAAGAAUGCAACAAGUUCAACACUAGUAAGUUAUAACAGAUCUUCACUGUUUGAUAUUUGAAGACGCAUUUCUUGCUAUUAGCUUCCAGUACUCAAUUUAUCAUGUAUUAAUAACGUCAAUUACUAUAUUCUAUUGGUGUACAUACUGUGAUGUUCUAUAGUUAUUAAGAUCAAAGACUUGUUAAAUCUUUUAAAAUCCGCACAAAUGUUUACUCAUCCCUCAUCUGGUCAUCAUUUGCAGAACCAAUAACUUCAUUCGCUGUAAACUGUGGCGGCAAGCAAAGGAUUUCUUCAGAUCCAUUGCCAAUUACGUUUGACGAUGACACCAGUAUCCUUGGGGCAGCAGGCUUUCAUGUUAAUACUGACAGGCAAUGGAUAGUUAGCCAUGUGGGUUCUGAUCCUUUUACUAACUCUUCUGGACCCGGUACCAUAAGUACAACUCAAGUUAUUCUGGGGACAGACAUGCCUGAUCUCUAUGAAACUGCAAGGACAUCAACAAGUGCUUUGUCGUACUAUGCGGUUGGUUUGUUGAAUGGGAAAUAUACAGUUCAACUCUUCUUCGCAGAGAUACUUAUUGAUAGCCAGUUAAAUAAUGGGACAGGAAGGCGCUUGUUUAACAUUGAUAUUCAGGUUUGGUCUCUCUCUCUCUCAAAAUUUUGACAUUUAAUGCCUCCAGUUCAUAUCAGCCAAACUGAAAUUGUCUGAUUUACUGCAGGAUCAGAAUAUCAAGAGAGAUUUUGACAUUACUAAGGAAGCAGGGGGGUUCGGGAGACCCACAAACAUAACUCGUGAAGUGACUGUGGAUAACUCAGUACUUAAGAUACAUCUGUAUUGGAGUGGACGAGGCACAUGCUGUAUUCCAUAUGAAGGAGCUUAUGGGCCUCUGGUGUCAGCAAUAAGAGGUAAGUAUAUCCACACUACAUAUACUGUAUUCAGCUUAUUUCACUCUCUGUUUAUGUGACAAUACGAUCCAGAGGUUGCGUUUGAUGAAUGUAGCAUCAGUAGGCAAUCGGGACAGUACAUUGGCUGACAAGGAUAAAAUGCUCAUUUUUCUGCAGUUUUUCGUCCUGAAAAGCCGAACAACAGCCCCCCACCAGCACGGCCAGUGUCUGCGCCAAGUAAUGAUGACAAGCGAAGAGGAGUGGUUGCAGGCAUUGCAGCCCUGUGUAUAGCUGGGGCGGUGAUCUCUUCGUCCGUCGUUUACCUCUGGUGGAAAUGGGUUGCGAUGUGAAUUAGCCUAUGUACUGUAUCAUAUCUUCCCGGAGCUUGGUUGGGGAACAUGGACGCCUGUACAGGAAACUGCCGCGUAGCAUGAAGAGGAGGGCAACAUUGGUGUACAGUUCGGUUUACGGUCAGGAUUUUAGGUCUGUAGCUUUGUUUUGUUUUCCACCCGUCGAUUAUAACUUGUAAGGACCACUCUAGUCAUCUCCAUUCUUUAUUUGUUCGUUCAAACUUAUUUCCAUGUAGUGCUGCCUUGUUGAAUGAGUAAUUAACACCUUGAGGUGUUCUUUGGAAUGUGGAAUUUCUUGUACCUGCUUGAUUGACUUGUUUCAUGUGAAACUCUUGCAGUCCAGAGUUCGGACCGUUGUAGGAUUUCAAUCCAUUGAAUUCUUCACCUCCGGAGGAUAUUUGUAUGUGUUGAGUAACGUGAUUGUAUUAGGAAACAUAGGUUAGACUAGGAAAUAUUCUGGCUUGCUUUGUAUUUCAAAUAGAUAAUGUACUCCUAUAUNNNNNNNNNNGAGGCUCAAGCAAUACAUAAAACUAUUCCACCAAACCUUUCUCUCCCUUCUAACAGUAUGGAAGGAACGCCACAUUUGAAUUUCCUAUGGAUUGUUGUCCUACAUAGACCCUUGAAACUUUUCUUUGUUUGACAAGAAGUAAAUUGCUCAAAACCAUCACAUCUGUGGCUGGGCUAAAUUGUCACUGUUUUUUUUGUGUGCCAAAAAUCAUAAAAGCCCACCAUUUCUGCGGUGAGUAACAAAUUACAUUGAUUUGGAGAUCAGCCAUGUCUACCCAGUUGGGCUCACCGCCAGUUCCAACGAACCACUUGCUUGUCGCAGAAGCGGUGAGUUAUUAUGAUUUUUUGGCAAAAGCGGUGGCAAUAUUCUUAUGUCAUGCACCGAGUUUUAAAAGAUAUGCAUGUUUUCUCCUUGUGGUGCAACCAGAUAACUUCUAUCAUUGCUAUUUCCAUGUCAUCACUUCCUAUGGUAUUUAGCAUGCUAUUGCAUUUCAGUCCUUUGUUUUGCAUGUUCCCGUGUUCUAAUAAAAUCUUCUAAUGGUUGAUAUUUUGCAUGUAUUUUUCUUUAUUUUGUAGCAAAUAGUUUCAUUGAGUAACUGGUGAUUUCGUAUUGUAAUUGCCACAAUGCAAUAUUUAUACACGAAUAUUCAUUUCUACUUUCAACUCCAAAUUUAGGCCAAAUUACCAUGGGAGAACAAAAAUGUCCUUUCUUUUACCCGAGUUCUCAGGUAAAAUAAACAUUGAUGAAAUGCACGGUUGUACCCCUAUUUAAGAAUUCAUCUGAUUAACCAGUUAACUUGCCGAUAAAUCCCUACUUGUAGGGUCAUCGAGUAGCCGAUAAACUGAUAAAUCGUCUGAUCAAUUAAUUAAAAUGGUCGAUUAACUUGCCGAUUAGUUUAUUAAUCCCUACUCGCCAACCAACCAAAUAACUACUCCCUCCAUCCCAUAAUAUAAGAGCGUUUUGACACUACACUAGUGUCAAAAAGUUCUUAUAUUAUGGGACGGAGGGAGUACCAAUUAACGAUUUCUUGUAUCAGAUCCGGCCUCCUCUCAUGACUGCCCCAAUUAGGGUUUCUCCACCUCCCGUCGAUCUAUUGAGGCUUCGGGGGCCUUAGGGCCAUGGAGGCCCAAUUGACCUCAUCCUUGCUAGCAGGAGGGUUCCUUCUUUGUUUUAAGGUUUUUAUAGGCCGAUUAGGAUUGUGUCCUGCUCAGAAAGGAGAGACGGCAACGACUCCCUGAAGAUGGAAUAAGGCCUUCCCCGCCUAGCUCCACCCCGAUGGUGUGAUGUCGUCAGAGGGCCUGUAAAGGUGUGUCUUCGGCCGAUCUCAUGGGAUUCGGGCAGUGUUGGUUUCGUCGGAUCUGCGUGGAUCCAGUCUUCAUUCGUGUGUCUACAUGUUGAAUUCUUUUAAUAUAAGCUUCUCUUCAUUGACAUCGAUUGUUAUUCUGGUGUGCCGAUCUUGCGGGGUCUUAGCACAACAACUUCCUGUCUGUCUAGUACAACAGGUUUUGUCUUGUUCCGAUAAAGGAGAGGCGAUGAUGGCGGCGCGCCUUUGGCUCGCUGCUUUGUAGUCGUCGCUACAUGAUCUACGAGAUGUAAUUUUUUUAUUUCUAAUGUUUCUUGUACUGCCAUGUCUCAUAUAAUGAAGAAAGGAAGGAUUCUGGCCAAAAGAAUAGAAAUAAACAUUGAUUAUUUAUUACACAAAAUUAGCUCGGAAUUUUGGAAUUCGAGAUGAAUUUGCUUCCUGCAGAUCUCCUUUUCGUUUCCACCCCUAAACUUACAACAAAACCCAAACCACAACCCUCCUCUUUACUUGCCUUACAAGUAGAUCCCUCGUUAACCUUCCCCCCCGACUCUGCUUCCUCCUCACUUCCCCCAAAUCCCCCACCCGAACCCUCGGAAUCCCUCCCUCGCCGCCGCCGACCCCUCCGCCGAUCUCCCCGCCGCCGAGAUGUCUCGCCGCUACGACAGCCGCACCACGAUCUUCUCGCCGGAGGGCCGGCUGUACCAGGUGGAGUACGCGAUGGAGGCGAUCGGGAACGCCGGGUCGGCGCUCGGGAUCCUGGCGGCCGACGGCGUCGUCCUCGUCGGCGAGAAGAAGGUUACCUCCAAGCUGCUCCAGUCCUCCCGAUCCGCGGAGAAGAUGUACAAGAUCGACUCCCACCUCGCCUGCGCCGUCGCCGGGAUCAUGUCCGACGCCAACAUCCUCAUCAACACCGCCCGCCUCCACGCCCAGCGCUACGCGCUCUCCUACCAGGAGCCCAUCCCCGUCGAGCAGCUCGUCCAGUCCCUCUGCGACACCAAGCAGGGCUACACCCAGUUCGGGGGCCUCCGCCCCUUCGGCGUCUCCUUCCUCUUCGCGGGCUGGGACAAGAACCACGGCUUCCAGCUCUACAUGAGCGACCCCUCCGGCAACUACGGCGGCUGGAAGGCCGCCGCCGUCGGGGCCAACAGCCAGGCCGCCCAGUCCAUGCUCAAGCAGGACUACAAGGACGGCAUGACCCGCGAGGAGGCCGUCGCCCUUGCCCUCAAGGUCCUCAGCAAGACCAUGGAUUCCACUAGUUUGACUGCCGAUAAGCUGGAGCUGGCCGAGGUCUUCGUGCAGCCCGGCACUGGGGAGGUGCAGUACCAGGUGUGCUCUCCUGACGCCAUGGGGAAGCUGCUUGCCAAGGCUGGGCUCACGCAGCCCGCGCCUGAGGCCUGAUGUGCUGGUUUGCUGUGGCCUGUGAUGCCUACUACUCUUAGACUGCUUAAUCAGUUAUGCUUCUGUUGUUUUAAGCCAAACUAUUUGACAAUUAUGCAUUUUAAUUUUAUGUUGAACAUGCUUGGUAUUUUCUUUAUCUGAUGGAUUGUCUUGUGCUAGGCGAAAAUUGUGAUCCUUGUGUCCCAUGCUUGAUUGUUAUUGUGACCAGGGGAUAUGGAAGAAUGCGCUUAUAGAAAACUGCAGUGAAACCUAUGUGUUUGACCAUGUUCUCAUCAAGUUUGUUUAGUGAACAAUCCCAAUUGUAAGGAGGUUCUGGUGCUUGGGGCCUGUGUUUAUAAAGUUCAGCGCCUUCAAUAGAUUCAAUACCUAUGCACCAUCUAGUUUGCCCCAUGGAGAAGUUAGUAAUUAUGUAUGAUGAUUGCAUAAAACAUCAUAUAAUAUUGUAGGUUGGAAUCUUGGUGGUCAAAUGUUUUCUUGUUGCUCUAUGUCUAGGUUGUCAUAGACAACAACAAUGAUCAUGUUAGAGCAAGACAAUGGAAAUAGUAGAAGCAUUGUAUGCUACCAACUGUUUACAGCCUGUACUCUGUUCCUUGAAGAAUUAGCUACUUACAAUAAGACAUAAUCUUUGGGCGAUUUUGAUGACUUCUCCAUGAUGACAAUAUCUUGCCAAUUUUUCUGGUAGCCCCCCAUGGGCCCAUUGCACGUUUAUCCUGUAUGUACCUUGCCUUGGAUUUUCUGGAUUGCUCUUGUGUACUGGUGUACUGAUUAGUUAGUUGUGUUCUGUUGAACAACAUGGGAGCAUAACAUGCUGCUAUGCAGUCUGUCAGAUCUAGAUAAAUUUCAUACAAAUAUGGGUGCUGAAUUCUGAUCAGUUCCGCAUUAUUCAAGCAUUUUAGGGGAUUUGAUGCAAGCAAGUAACACUAGAUAUAGUCUGAUUUUGAAAAUCUGUAUGCACGUUAUAGCGCUUGUAUUCAUCUGGUCAAAACGGUAAUGAACUGUAUUUCACUUGUUAAGGAACUCAAUUCUGUGACCUGGGGCUUUUACAGUUAAAAUCGAUAUUAUUGCACUAGUGACUGAGUGCUUCUGCCAAGUUUUAGUUGAGUGCUUCAUAAAAUUCCUGCUCUUCUUGCCUGCUAUUCCUAGUUUUAACAAUAUAAUGCUUGCAACCCCGCUGUGCUCAUCAGACCUGUUAUCUGUCAAGUAUUAGUGCCCUAAUUGGACUGCUGCUGGAGUGCUUAGUUAUCAAACUGUUUCUUCUCCAGCCCUGCAUAGUGUUGAUUCCAAACAGUUUCUUUCUCCAGCCUGAGUUGUUUUCUAGGGUAUUGGCCGGGUCCAGUAGAGUUUCAUGUUUAUCUAUCUGUCCUCGUUCUCGUCAUGUUUUUAUUUCUGAACCACGUGAAGUUACGAACGUUAUAUGGGUACAUUUCAUAAGUCUACCUACUGUAUGGGGAGCCGCUGUGGCCUUUUUAAUGCCAUAAUUUCGCUAGAGAAGCAAGCAUACCCAGCUCAAAGUUUGCCUGACAAACAAUGGUGCCACUGCCAUUGUUGUGGAGAGGAAACCUAUGGGGACGUAGCAAAGGCCAUCGCUGCUGAGGGAUGAAGGACGUCCAUCCGGCUCCUAUGAAGGGGCCUGGAAGACUCGGAUCCCUCGCACUCAGUUCAUUCCAGCAGUAGCAUAAUUCUUGAUGCUUCUCAAUCCCAUGCAGCUCAUUCAGAUAGGACGUGAUCGCUACUUGAAUAUGUGGGUGAUCUUCAUUCAUUCGUAACUAAGGAACAUGACUAAGAGUAUUGUAGUGGAACUAAGGAACAUGACUAGGAGACUUGUAGUGGAACUAUAUUUAUCCCUUGAAAUUGCUGAUGCGAGAUGCUUCGGUAGCUCGCCGCAAUGCAUUUAUCGCCUUGUGCACACACAUUUAUCUUCACUUUCAGCACAUGCACCACCUCUAUUCUAGUCAGUUUGAUUUGCUAUCUUCGCCUUUUAUGGCAGAAUCAUAUCUUUACAUUGUCAUAUGCUCAUAUGUCUUUGAUAUGAUUGCAGCAUACACAUAUGAAUGAUGGAUAUUACAUCAGGGGACACAUGAAUACCAGCGUGACAUCAUACAUGUCUCAUAUUGUCUUUACCGUGACAUAUGUGUACAACCAUUCACGUCCUAGUUUGAAUUUGGUUACUUUUCAUAUUACCAGGAAGGCUGCAUAGUUUGAUUCCUCAUAUUUAUCAUUGUUGGUGCUUGAAGAACCAUUAAUAGACAUUUGCAAUGAAGUUUUAGAACUGACCUCAAAUAUCACAUAUGGAUUAGAACUUGUGCAAGAUGUACACAAGAUCAUCCCUCAACUUACAUUGCAUUUCCCCCCUUUUGGAAAUAAUAAAAUGAAUGUACUUACACAUGCAAUACUUGUUGUACAACCAUGUGACGUUGACAUAUAUAUGGGGAGUCAACUAAUUGCUCCAGCCCAUUAGUUUGAUUCACACCAAAAUAUUCAUCUACCUUGUAUUACCUCGGAGAUGAAUGUGAUUAAUACUUCGUGAAGUGGGGUACUGAAGCAUUAUUAUUUGAGGUGGCUCGGCUAAUAUUUUGCCCCAAACUUUGUGAGGUGGGGAAAAAUCUGAAACAUUAUUUCAGCUGGGUGGAGGUAUACUGGUCAUUUGCCCUUAAUAUGAUUUAAGGGCAUCCUUUUCUUAUUUGGUUGUUUGGGUUGCUCUGAAAAUCAAUUUUAUUGUACGAGUGGAAGUGAUUGAGUGCUGUCAAGAUUUUUUGUACAGUGUUGUACAAAUUCCGGCUUAUCUUGUCUGCUAUUUCCAGUUUUCCAUAUCGCGCCUGUGUUCAUAAGAUCUGUUAUGUUUAAUUAUGCCCCAACGGGAUCGCUACUCGGGUGCUGGGUUUCAAACGGUUUCUAGCCCAGCUUGCGUUGUGUUCCGGUGUGCUGUGUUUUCAAACGGUUUCUUCCUACAGCUUGAGUAGUGUUCUGGGGUGCUGGCCUGGUCCAGUUGCUGCUGCCAUGGGAAGCUCGUGUUUCUCUGACAUGGUUCUCUUCAUGUUUGAUUUCUGAAUCACGUGAAGUUAGGGAUGAUGCAGUCCUAAUUUCUGAAUGGCCUCAAGAUCUGGAUGAUAUACGUGUACAUUUCUAUAGUCUACCAAUAGGAAGAACAUAUCUAAAGUCUACCCAAAUGCGUACAUUUCUGAUGCCAUGGUUUCGUUAGAGAAGAGAGCAUAUAUCCAGCUGAUUCCAACAACGGCCAUUGCCGCCAAGUGACAAGUUUUUUUUUUCGGAAGCAGAGUGACAAGAAUUGUGCAGGAUCACGUGGACAAGUCACUUAAUAAUAUUAAUAUAAAGCUGCUAGAUUCCAAGCGAAUACCUUUGUUUAUCUUUUGAAUUACACUUUGCGGGACAAUAUAAUGAGGUGUUGCAUGAGCCGGUGGGGCGGACCCUUCUAAGAUGCAACAUAACACGUGCUUUCAGAUUGGUUAAUUGCUCAUCUAGAUCCUAAUUUAGUUUGGGGAUAGGAAAUCCGGAUUUCUCGGUUCCUACUGUAGCUUCAUGAUUGAUGGCCUAUGAAUGGAACGCCCAACCGUCUCCAGUGGAGCUGGAAGGUACUCCCUCCGUUCCAAAUUACUUGUCGUGAUUUUAGUUUAAAUUUGAGCUAAAACCACGACGAGUAAUUUAGAACAGAGGGAGUAGAACAUAGCAGCAGUUAAAUGAUCCUCGAUGCUUUUUUUUGAGAAUACGUCAAUAGCGUACCUAAGCUUUAUAGAAGGGAGAAAUAAUUACAAGAGGAUUGUUCUGGCCGUCACCACAAGUUGGCGAAGCCAAAGAGACUCCCACUCCUACUCCUACCAUACACGACUACUCACACAAGUGUUGAACACUCGUUGCUCCUGCCGCUAGCCAAAGUUGCAGCUCUUGAUAAAUCCUCGUGGAGAGUUCCUCUUCCUUGCUAAUGCCAUGGCCACCAAAAACUCGCCCAUUCCUUUGCUUCCAAAUGCUCCAACAGAUCAAUAGCACUAGCGAAUCAAAUCCCUUUCGAUGCCCCUUGGUGAUCCGCUUCCUGGCAGCUGGCCACCAUUCGUGUAAUACAUCCGUCGGCGAGGGCAUCAUCCGCAUGUCGAUGCUUCUCAAGCCUACACAACUCAUUCAGAUGAGACGUGGUCGCUACUUCUUGAAUAUUGUGGAUGAUCUUCAUUCAUCAUAAUUAAGGAACAUGACUAAGAGACUUGUAAUGUCUAUAUUUAUCCUUCAGAAAUUGCUGAUGUGAAGGUGCUUCAGAAGCUCACUGCAAUGCAUUUAUCGGCUUGUGCACACACAAUUCUCUUCACUUUCAGCACAUGCGCCACUUCUUUCUAGCUGGUUUGAUUGGCUAUCUUGGCCUCUUAUGGCAGAAUCGUAUCUUUACCAUGUCAUAUACUCAUGCUUUUGAUAUGAUUGUACCAUCGCAUAUGAAUCAUAAAUAUUAUUACAUCUAGGGACACGUGAUUACUAGCAUGACGUCGUACACGUAUCAUGUUGCCUUUACCGUGUCAUAUGCUCACGCAACUUUGAUAUGAUUAUACCAUACACAUACGAACCAUGGAUAUUACAUGUAGCGGACACAUGAUUAGUAGCCUGACUCGUAUAAGUAUCAUGUGAUAAGUUGAUUGGAGAUGUCGUGUUAUUAUGGUGUACAAUCACCUUUGGCGUCUCAGUCCUGAUGUGCUGGUUUGUUGUGGCGUGUGACGCCCAGCUCUUAGAGCAUCUCUAGCAGACCCUGUAAAAACUCAUACUAUAGAAUCAUUUUAGGGUAUAACACAAAAUGUUUUCACGGUAUGAUGUUUGUGUCCUGCAAAAUAGCACAACACACCCUAAAAGCAAAAUGUAAAUUACAAUAGGCGCCCUAGAUCACCGAUGCCUCGUCAGUGCCUCGCUGCCGGCGACGAGCACCUCCUCCUUCCCUCCUUUCCUUUUUCUUCCAUUGCCCUCCUGGGUUCUCUCUCUCACGCAUUCCCUUCUCCCUCUACACAGGAGCACCGAACCCGCCAUGGACAGGGAGCUCACAGCUCGCGCAGCCCGGAUCCGCCACGUUCGCCCACACCCAACCAGAUCUGCCGUCCUCCGCCACAGUUUCGUCACCGCUGCCGUCGUAUUCUGGCUCGCUGCCGCCGGACCUGACGCCCGCAUCUCGCGUUAAGCCCUGCAUCGCGCCGCCAACCUCCUGCCUCGUGCGCCUGCACGGGGCAGACACAGCCAAGCCGUGCCUCGUGCGCUUUGAUGGAACAAAGGCAGUGUGAGGCUCUGGCUGCUCCAUGGCGACACGCGGUCGGUCGAGGGAGGUGCUACGGUGAGCUACCGGCGAGAGGCUAGCGGCGCCGGAAGCGCAGGGGCUAGAGCGGUUGCUCCUGAAACUUCCCUCCAGCCAACCGUUUUUUAGUGGGAGCUGAAAAAAGCCCCGAAAACUGAAGACCUAUUUUCCUUACUAGUACAAAUGCCCGUGCGUUGCAACAAGCGAAAUUUUUAAAACAUACGCAACACUUCUUAUAUCCAAUUUUGGCAAACGUCAGAAAUAAGGUUACACUUUUGUUAAGUACGUUUCUUAUUCCUAUUUUUGUAACAACGUGUGCACUUUUGUAGUUUUGAUACUGAGAUUGACAAGAUUGAGAAUACAUAUAGAUAUGUAAUAUAUUGUUUGGUUUAUCUUUAAGAAAUAAAAGUGUGAGCACGCACUACCUUCACUAAAAUAGGCUUCUUUUAUGAAAUUGCUUGAGUCUGAUGGUCUAUGUUGGAUACAUGUUCGACAAGUGUAGGUAUGUGCUGAGAGGAAGUUCUGUCAAAUCAUAGUUAAUUUUUUCAAAGAGCAUGAGAAUAAUUAGCAUGUACCGGCAAGAUGUAUUGGUAUUUUUUCCUGAUCAAAGCUUAUAAACACCCGCAAAGCUCUGGCCUUUGCUUACCGUCCUUUUGAUCUCAAUAAAGUAUGCACUUCCUUUAAUUGAUAGGAUUUCUUUUAAGGUCGUCUAGGGUUUGUCUAAUUUGGGAUUAAUUUUCUAAAGCUAGAGUUAUGCACGGGUACACGCACGACCGAAAGCACCACUCUGCCGGCGUGAGAUAGUCAAUAUUUAGAACAAAAUAUUGUGUGGCUAUUCCCCGCAAAAUAAUAAUAUAGAAUAAAUUACGUGGUUAUCUUUUGUUUUAUCUGAUUGAAGCUAGAUCAAGCCAACACACAAUGGCAAUCAGCACGUCAGAGUUUAGGGCGGCCAGAUCCGGUGGCAGGUUCAACAUUCAAGAAUAAGAAUUAUCAUCAAAUCUUGGCAUAGCAACAAUACCAUGGAUCAAAGAAAGUUGUAGCUUUGCCUCUGUGAAUUUAAAUAGAAAAAUAACUUAAAGCCACAAUAUCUCUCUCAAAGGUAAUUACCAAUGUUUAACAGAUUUUUGGAUAGGUAUGUAAGCAUCAGAAGCAGUAUAUAUAUUCUUUUAACUGGGAUCUUGUAUAGAAAGCAAAGCAUUAGUAUUAUCUAAACCUAUGUAGUUCCCUAAGAUAUCAUCUAGUGAAAUAUUUCCUUCACUCAGGGGCAAUUCAUUAUUCGGAGAUAAUUUCGAGCUGGUUGGUGACCGAGGUGCUGGCAAUGGAUCACUUUUUGUCCUAUUAUCUAACUUAGGAACCAUCGAUUCAAAACAUUCAGAGACUGGAGAUAAUGUUGAGAUGAUUGGUGAAGCGGGUGAUUGCUCCAAAACACCGGACUCCAUACUCUUUUUUUAAAGCUCGGUUAUCAAAAUCCUGAACAAUGGUCAAUUUAGUGUUGUCAUUCAUUUUCUGCAAUGAUAAAAAAAGAUAGUUAAAUGUUCUGGUAAUAUUGUUCAAAUCAUAUUCAAGAUUAUUACAAAGUUGAACCAAGAAGGAAUAAAAAAAAUACUUGAUCAAGACUGUUACAAUUCCUGUACCAAAUUUCUUCUAACUGGUAUAUGAAAACUUACUAUAUAUUUUUUCACAGAAGAGUUGCUCUAUUACAUGUACUGCUAUAGUAGAGGGAUUUAGAUUCUCUACUGUUAUUGUCUAAAACCAAGAAGAGAUAAUAAAAGUAAUAUUUGAUCGAGGCCAACCACUAAUGCGCACCUUCAGGCAAAAAAUUACAAAUACGUAGAGUGGAAUCAUAUAGUAUCUAUGACCGCGACAACGAUUUUUUUGCUAGAACUGUUCUUUUUUUUUUUGCUAGGACCGGUCAAAUUUUGUGGUGCGACCCGGAGACGGUGAGUCAUUGUUUUUGCUGGAAUACUACAUUAGUUUCUUAGAAGAAAACAUAAAUAGAGCAUUAACUAACAACAGGUUAUUGGAUCUUAACACCAAAACAGUCAAUUAAAUAAGUAUAAAAUUCAGAGGCUACUUCUAUGUAAAACUGUAGUUAAAUAGAAGCCUGCUUGGUUUACUUCUAUCACUUCUAUUUACUGUUAAGAAGGGCUGCAGGGUAAUUACAUGAACACCAGUGAGAAAUUGCACAGGGAAAGAAAUUAACAUAAUGGAAAUUCAGGUUGCCAACUCAACUGGAAAAACAGAAGGGCAUGGAAAAGCAACAUCGUGACCCGUUUAGGCAUUCACUUGUUUAGAGCUUACAGAGCAUGUACCAAAAACAUACAUAAUUAAUAAGUAGUACUUGAUGACUGAUGCAAAAUACUUGAUCAACAUCACCUUCAGUUCUGGGAUGUAGAGUGGAACCACAUAGCACUGGUCUCAAUCACUAAUGCACACAUUGAGCCAAUUAAGGACAGAGAUGUAGAGCGGAACCAUAUAACACUGAGACCUUGUCUAUUCAUCAAAUCAGUAGGUUUUUAAAAUUGAAAAGGCCUUUCCAAUAAGCAAAAACCAUAGAUAAAUCAUUGUUCAUGCACCUUGCCAAUUAGCACAAAUAGAGAUGCAAAUUAUCCCAGAGAGUUAGAAGAUCCAAUUAUUUAAACGGCGGAUGGUGCACUCAUACAUAAGAGAAAACCCAAGCAAAACUAAUUUAUAGACAUGAUAUAUAUAAUUCAAACAAGUAAACUGCAGUUGCAUGGCCGUGCCUGUGCAAGCCAUUGAAAACACAUAUGCACAUCUAGAAGGGGGUCCAAGAACAGAGAGAGACAGAGGCAGUAGGCUAGCAUAUUUUGUAGGCUAGGUGUUGAGAUGGGAGUUCGUAUUAGGAAAGGUCAAAGGAGUUCAAUGUGUUUAGUUCUAUAAACUGUGUACUUAUCUGACAAUUAUGGAGAAGAAAAGUGAAUCAAUCAACAAAUUUCAAACCAAUAAUGGACGCAAUUGUUUGUCCAUACAACCUCCAACACGUCCACAACAACAUAAUACAAGGCAAGACGCUGCUGAAGCUCAAGCUGGCAAGAGAAAGGCAAGAGAAAAUAAUUCUUAUAAAUUAGUGAAGUAAAAUAAAAGAGCAAUACCUUCAGAGCGAUUGAUUGCUAGCUGUCUGAAUCAACUCAUGUGCAAUUUGUGAUAGAGGCAGUACAAGCAUGUAUCCUUAUCCUGCUAUAUAACUGUAGUAUGGUAAAAAACAAACGAAUUUGUCGCAAACAGUCCAAGUAAUUGGACUGCAAGAUGAAGGUGCAUACAACAUCCAAUUCUGUUAGUGGUCUUCCUCACUGAAUUUUUUUGUUCUUGAAACAAGCGGGAUCGCUACUUCUUGAAUAUUGUGGAUGAUCUUCAUUCAUCAUAACUAAGGAACAUGACUAAGAGACUUGUAAUGUCUACAUUUAUCCUUAAGAAAUUGCUGAUGUGAAGGUGCUUCAGAAGCUCACUUCAAUGCAUUUAUCGGCUUGUGCAUACACAAUUCAUUUCACUUUCAGCACAUGCACCACUUCUUCCUAGCUGGUUUGAUUCGCUACCUUGGCCUUUUAUGGCAGAAUCGUAUCUUUACCAUGUCAUAUACUCAUAUGCUUUUGAUAUGAUUGUUUUCAUGGUAUGAUGUAUGGUGGCGGAAUAGAUCCCCUAAAAAUCAUUUUGGGUCAAAUGUGAAGCCCGCUAGUCAGUAGUUGAAUUUACAACAAGGUCCCUGCAAAAUAGCACAACACACCCUAAAAGCAAAAUAUAAAUUACAAUAGGCACCCGAGACCACCGCUGGCUCGUCAGUGNNNNNNNNNNNNNNNNNNNNNNNNNNNNNNNNNNNNNNNNNNNNNNNNNNNNNNNNNNNNNNNNNNNNNNNNNNNNNNNNNNNNNNNNNNNNNNNNNNNNNNNNNNNNNNNNNNNNNNNNNNNNNNNNNNNNNNNNNNNNNNNNNNNNNNNNNNNNNNNNNNNNNNNNNNNNNNNNNNNNNNNNNNNNNNNNNNNNNNNNNNNNNNNNNNNNNNNNNNNNNNNNNNNNNNNNNNNNNNNNNNNNNNNNNNNNNNNNNNNNNNNNNNNNNNNNNNNNNCCUUUCUCUUCCACUGCUCUCCCGAGUUCUUUCUCUCUCUCACGCAUCCCUCCCCCUCUCUCCACAGGAGCACCGAACCCGCCAUGGACAGGGAGCUCACAGCUCGCGCAGCCCGGAUCCGCCUCGUUCGCCCACACCCAACCAGAUCUGUCGUCUUCUGCCUCAGUUUCUUCGCCGCCGUCGUCGUAUUCUGGCUGGCUGCCACCGGACCUGACGCACGCAUCUCGCGUUAAGCCCUGCAUCACGCCGCCAACCUCCGGCCUCGUGCGCCUGCACGGGGCAGACACAACCAAGCCGUGCCUCGUGCGCUUGCACGGAAUGACGGCAUUGUGAGGCUCUGGCUGCUCCAUGGCGACGCGCGGCCGGCCGAGGGAGGUGCUACAGUGAGCUGCCGGCAAGGCUAGCGGCGGCGGAAGCGCAGGGGCUAGAGCGGUUGCUCCUAAAACUUUCCUCUAGCCAACCGUUUUCUAGUGGGAGCUGAAACAAGGCCCCGAACACUGAAGAUAUGAGGUACUAGUAGUUGGGUUCGAGCCCUAUUUUUCUUAUGGUUUGAUAGAAAUAUGUGGGAUCUGUUCGGAUCAGUUUUUUUUUGACACAAGCUGUAAACUGACGGUUAUUAUAAAGGCCGAGGCCUUUUACAGGAUCUCCUAGAGAUGCUCUUAGAUGGUUUAAUCAGUUAUGCUUAUGUUGUGGAAACCAAACUAUUUGACAAUUAUGCAUUUUAAUUUUAUGUCGACUGGUUAAUGAUAUUUUCUGUCUCUAAUGAGCUGUCUUAUGAUUGGUGAAAAUUAUAACUUUUGUGUCCCAUUCUUUGUUAUUGUGACUAGGGAAUAUGAAUAAUGCGCUUAUAAAAUCUACUCCGUCCAUCCCAAAGUAAGUGUCGAGGGAGUAUGUGUUUGACCACUGUUGUCAUCAAGUGUGUUUAGUGAACCAGCCCAAAUUGUAAGGAGGUUCUGGUGGUUGGGACGUGUGGUAUAAAGUUUAGAGCCUUGGAUAGAUUCAAUACUUCUAUGCACCAUCUAGUUUACCCCAUGGAGAAGCUGGUAAUUAUGUAUGAUUGCAUAAAUAAAACAUCGCAUAAAAUUGUAGGCUGGAAUCUUGGUGGUCACAUGUUUUAUUGUUGCUCUAUGGUAAUUCUAGGUAAUGAUAGACAACAACAAUGAUCAGACAAUGGAAAUAUUAGAAGCAUUGUAUGCUACCAACCUUUUAUUCCACCUUCACUUUGUUCCUUAAAAAUAUUAGCUACUUACAGUAAGACAUGAUCUUUGGAUGAUUUGGAUGAACUUCUCUACGAUGACCAUAUCUUGCCAAGUUAUUUUGGUAGCCCCCCAUGGCCCAAUCACAUGUUUAUCCUAUACGUACCUUGCCUUGGGGUUCUUGAUUGCUCUUUUGUACCGGUUUACUGAUUAGUUAGUUGUGUUCCGUUGAAUAACUUGGGAGCAUAACAUGCUGCUAUGCGGUCUACCAGUUCUAGCAUUUUGUCAUACAUACCUGAGUAUAUACAUGGAUGCCGAAUUCUGAUCAGUUCAACAUUAUUCAAGCAUUUCAGGGGAUUUGAUGAAGCAAAUAACUCUAGAUAUAGUAUGAUUUUGAAAAUCCAUUUAGUGCUUGUACAUAGUUGUGUUCAUCUAGACAAAAUGGAAAUGGACUGUAUUUGUGGUCACUUGGUUAAGGAACUCAAUUAUGUGACCUGGGGGCUUCCACAGUUAGCUUAAUACUAGCCGCCUUGUCUGGAAUACAGAAAUUUCUAGGAACUAGGUUCCCCUUUUUGAUAUAUUGUGGAGUUGAGAAAAUUAAUCAGGCAAAGUAGUGUUUCUCAUUAUUAUCAUUUGAGUUGGCUGGAGAUGAUAUUUUCUGAAUAUCUGAAACAUUAUUUCAGUUAGCCAGGGGAUAUACUAGUUGGUUGCACUCAUUCGUGAUUGAAGGGCAUGUCUUCUUAUAUUUUUUUCGGCUAUCAACAUGCUUUCUUAUUUGGUUGUGGGGUACUGUUAAAAUCAAUUAUUGCACUAGUGACCGAGUGCUGCCAAGUUUAAGUUUAGGGCUUCAUAAAAUUCCUUCUCUUCUUGCCUGCUAUUCAUAGUUUUUCCAAUAUAUGCUCAUCAGAAUGGUUAACUGUCAAGUAUUAGUGCGCUAAUUGGACCGCAGCUGGAGUGCUGAGUUAUCAAACUGUUUUUCCCCGGCCCUACAUAGUGUCCUGGAUUGAUGUGUUUCCAAACAGUUCCUUUCUCCAGCCCAAGUUGUGUUCUGGGGCACUGGCUAGGUCCAGUAGAGUUUCAUGUUUAUCUGACCUUGCUCUCUUCAUGUUUAUUUCUGAACCACUUGAAGUUACGAAUGAUACAGACAUAAUGAUAUAAUUGUACAUUUCUCAAGUCUACCUACGGGAAGAGGGCACACGACUACAUUUCUGAAGUCUACAAGAGGAGCCCCUGUGGCUUUUAUAACGCCAUGAUUUUAUUAGAGAAGCAAAAGUUUUCCUAAGAAGUAAAGGCCAUCGCCGUUGAGAGAAGAGAGACGUCCAUCCGGCUCCUGUGAACUUCAACGCAGCAGUAGAAUAAUCCUCGGUGUUUCUCAAGCCCAUGCUACUCACUCAGAUAGAACAUGAUUCUACUUCUUGAAUAGUUGGAUGAACUUCAUUCAUCAUAACUAAGGAACAUGACUACGAGACUUGUACUAGAACUAUAUUUAUCCCUUCGAAAUUGCUGAUGUGAAGGUGCUUCGAUAGCUCACCACAAUGCAUUUAUCGGCUUGUACACACACAUUUAUCUUCACUUUCAGCACAUGCAGCACAUCUAUUCUAGUCAAUUUGAUUUGCUAUCUUCGCCUUUUAUGGCAGAAUCAUAUUGUCUUUGAUAUGAUCAUAUGAUUGCGCCAUACACAAUAAAUCAUGGAUAUUACAUCUAGGGGGCAACACGAAUACUAGUGCGACGUCAUACAUGUAUAAUCUUGUUUUUAUUUGUGUCAUAUGCUCACAUGCCUUUGAUAUGAUUGUAGCAUACACAUAUCAACCAUGUAUAUUACAUUUAGGGGGCACGUUAUUAGUAGCGUGACAUUGUACGAGUACCAUCAUGUGAUGAGUUGAUUAGAGAUGUCAUGUUAUUAUGGUGUACAGGUACAACCACCUCUGGUUUCAUGUCCUAGUUUGAAUUUGGAUGCAUUUCUUGUUACAACAAAGGCUGCAUACUUUAAUUGUUCGUAUUUACCAUUGUUGGUGCUCCAAAAACCAUCAAUAGGACAUUUGCUAUGUGGUUUUAGAACUUACUUCAAAUAUGACAAAUGGAUUAGAUCUUAUGCAAGAUGUACACAAGAUCAUCAUCCUCACGUUGACAUAUAUAUGAGGAGUCAACUAAUUGCUCCAGUCUAUUAAUUUGAUUCACACCAGUGAAUCUCACACCAAGAUGUAAUUAUCACCAAUAUAAAACCUUCAUGUAAGCCAGGAGGUCAUAUAUGGCUCCGCUAAACUUGAUUGUGAUCAGGCUACUUUGGUUGGUGCCUCCAGAUAAGGGUCGCUUGUGAAAAUUAUGUAUUGCAGACAACUCUUAUCAAGAGCAGUUGGUGGACGUAGAAACUUGUAUCCAGAGACAAUCAUCCUGUCAGCACAACAUGAAAACUAGACGCUCCAAUAUAGAAUCACUCUUAUAUACACUUAAGGGGGUUUCACUUAAAAACUACCAGACACAUUCGAGCCAUGUCAUGGCAACAUGAUGUAGUCUAGUCUCAGGAGGCGCUUAUUGUCAGUCAUGAUAUACGUUCUAAGUCACUUCUCAUCGCAAAGAUCGAUACACACCACUCAUGGGUUCUUGGUCAAACAAAUCGCCAUGUCAUCGUUGAUGGUGAUGUUGGGGAACGUAGCAAUUUCAAAAAAUUUCCUACACACACGCAAUAUCAUGGUGAUGCAUAGCAACGAGAGGAGAGAGUGUUGUCUACGUACCCUCGUAGACCGAAAGCGGAAGUGUUAGCACAACGCGGUUGAUGUAGUCGUACGUCUUCACGGCCUGACCGAUCAAGCACCGAAACUACGGCACCUCCGAGUUCUAGCACACGUUCAGCUCGAUGACGAUCCCCGGACUCCGAUCCAGCAGAAUGUGGGGAAGAGUUCCGUCAGCACGACAGUGUGGUGACGAUCUUGAUGUUCUACUGUCGCAGGGCUUCGCCUAAGCACCACUACAAUAUUAUCAAGGACUAUGGUGGAGGGGGGCACCGCACACGACUAAGAGAUCAAUGAUCAACUGUUGUGUCUCUGCGGUGCCCCCUGCCCCCGUAUAUAAAGGAGCAAGGGAGGGAGGCGGCCGGCCUAGGAGGAGGGCGUGCCAAGGGGGGAGUCCUACUCCCACCGGAAGUAGGACUCCUCCUUUCCUUGUUGGAGUAGGAGAGAAGAAAGAGGGGGAGAGGAACAAGGAAAAGUGGGCUGCAUGCCUUGUCCAAUUCGGACCAGAGGGGGGGGGGGCUCCUUCCUUUUGGCCUCUCUCCUCUAUUCCCGUAUGGCCCAAUAAGGCCCAUAUACUCCCCGGCAAAUUCCCGUAACUCUCCGGUACUCCGAAAAAUACCCGAAUCACUCGGAACCUUUCCGAUGUCCGAAUAUAGUCGUCCAAUAUAUCGAUCUUUAUGUCUCGACCAUUUCGAGACUCCUCGUCAUGUCCCCGAUCUCAUCCGGGACACCGAACUCCUUCGGUACAUCAAAACUCAUAAACUCAUAAUAUAACUGUCAAUGAAACCUUAAGCGUGCGGACCCUACGGGUUCAAGAACUAUGUAGACAUGACCGAGACACGUCUCCGGUCAAUAACCAAUAGCGGAACCUGGAUGCUCAUAUUGACUCCCACAUAUUCUAUGAAGAUCUUUAUCGGUCAGACCGCAUAACAACAUACUUUGUUCCCUUUGUCAUCGGUAUGUUACUUGCCCGAGAUUCGAUCGUCGGUAUCUCAAUACCUACUUCAAUCUCGUUACCGGCAAGUCUCUUUUACUCGUUCCGUAAUACAUCAUCCCGCAACUAACUUAUUAGUUGCAAUGCUUGCAAGGCUUAAGUGAUGUGCAUUACUGAGAGGGCCCAGCGAUACCUCUCCGACAAUCGGAGUGACAAAUCCUAAUCUCGAAAUACGCCAACCCAACAAGUACCUUAGGAGACACCUGUAGAGCACCUUUAUAAUCACCCAGUUACAUUGUGACGUUUGGUAGCACACAAAGUGUUCCUCCGAUAAACGGGAGUUGCAUAAUCUCAUAGUCAUAGGAACAUGUAUAAGUUAUGAAGAAAGCAAUAGCAACAAACUAAACGAUCAAGUGCUAAGCUAAUGGAAUGAGUCAAGUCAAUUACAUCAUUCUCCUAAUGAUGUGAUCCCGUUAAUCAAAUGACAACUCAUGUCUAUGGCUAGGAAACAUAACCAUCUUCGAUCAACGAGCUAGUCAAGUAGAGGCAUACUAGUGACACUCUGUUUGUCUAUGUAUUCACACAUGUAUUAUGUUUCCGGUUAAUACAAUUCUAGCAUGAAUAAUAAACAUUUAUCAUGAAAUAAGGAAAUAAAUAAUAACUUUAUUAUUGCCUCUAGGGCAUAUUUCCUUCAGUCUCCCACUUGCACUAGAGUCAAUAAUCUAGUUCACAUCGCCAUGUGAUUUAACAUCAAUAGUUCACAUCACCAUGUGAUUAACACCCAUAGUUCACAUCACCAUGUGACCAACACCCAAAGGGUUUACUAGAUUCAAUAAUCUAGCUAGUUCACAUCGCUAUGUGAUUAACGCCCAAAGAGUACUAGGGUGUGAUCAUGUUUUGCUUGUGAGAGAAGUUUAGUCAACGGGUCUGCCACAUUCAGAUCCGUAAGUAUUUUGCAAAUUUCUAUGUCAACAAUGCUCUGCACUAAGCUACUCUAGCUAAUUGCUCCCACUUUCAAUAUGUAUCCAGAUUGAGACUUUGAGUCAUCUGGAUCAGUGUCAAAACUUGCAUCGACGUAACCCUUUACGACGAACCUUUUGUCACCUCCAUAAUCGAGAAACAUAUCCUUAUUCCACUAAGGAUAAUUUUGACCAAUGUCCAGUGAUCUACUCCUAGAUCACUAUUGUACUCCCUUGCCAAACUCAGGGCAGGGUAUACAAUAGGUCUGGUACACAGCAUGGCAUACUUUAUAGAACCUAUGGCUGAGGCAUAGGGAAUGACUUUCAUUCUCUCUCUAUCUUCUGCCGUGGUCGGGUUUUGAGUCUUACUCAACUUCACACCUUGUAACACAGGCAAGAACUCCUUCUUUGACUGUUCCAUUUUGAACUACUUCAAAAUCUUGUCAAGGUAUGUACUCAUUGAAAAACUUAUCAAGCGUCUUGAUCUAUCUCUAUAGAUCUUGAUGCUCAAUAUGUAAGCAGCUUAACCGAGGUCUUUCUUUGAAAAACUCCUUUCAAACAUUCCUUUAUGCUUUGCAGAAUAAUUCUACAUUAUCUCCGAUUAACAAUAUGUCAUUCACAUAUAUUUAUCAGAAAUGCUGUAGUGCUCCCACUCACUUUCUUGUAAAUACAGGCUUCACCGCAAGUCUGCAUAAAACUAUAUGCUUUGAUCAACUUAUCAAAGCGUAUAUUCCAACUCUGAGAUGCUUGCACCAGUCCAUAGAUGGAUCGCUGGAGCUUGCAUAUUUUGUUAGCACCUUUAGGAUUGACAAAACCUUCUGGUUGCAUCAUAUACAACUGUUCUUUAAUAAAUCCAUUAAGGAAUGCAGUUUUGUUUAUCCAUUUACCAGGUUUCAUAAAAUGCGGCAAUUGCUAACAUGAUUCGGACAUACUUAAGCAAAGAUACGAGUGAGAAACUCUCAUCGUAGUCAACACCUUGAACUUGUCGAAAACCUUUUGCGACAAUUCUAGCUUUGUAGAUAGUAACGCUACUAUCACCGUCCGUCUUCCUCUUGAAGAUCCAUUUAUUUUUUAUGGCUUGCUGAUCAUCGGGCAAGUCAACCAAAGUCCACACUUUGUUCUCAUACAUGGAUCCCAUCUCAGAUUUUAUGGCCUUAAGCCAUUUCGCGGAAUCUGGGAUCAUCAUCGCUUCCUCAUAGUUCAUAGGCUCGUCAUGGUCAAGUAACAUGACCUCCAGAACAGGAUUACCGUACCACUCUGGUGCGGAUCUCACUCUAGUUUACCUACAAGGUUCGGUAGUAACUUGAUCUGAAGUUUACAUGAUCAUCAUCAUUAGCUUCCUCACUAAUUGGUGUAGUAGUCACAGGAACAGAUUUCUGUGAUGAACUACUUUCCAAUAAGGGAGCAGGUACAGUUACCUCAUCAAGUUCUACUUUCCUCCCACUCACUUCUUUCGAGAGAAACUCCUUCUCUAAAAAGGAUCCAUUCUCAGCAAUGAAUAUCUUGCCUUCGGAUCUGUGAUAGAAGGUGUACCCAACAUUUUCUAUUGGGUAUCCUAUGAAGAUGCACUACUCCGAUUUGGGUUUGAGCUUAUCAGGUUGAAACUUUUUCACAUAAGCAUUGCUACCUCAAACUUUAAGAAACGACAGCUUAGGUUUCUUGCCAAACCAUAGUUCAUACGGUGUCGUCUCAACGGAUUUAGAUGGUGCCCUAUUUAAUGUGAAUGUAGCUGUCUCUAAUGCACAACCCCAAAACGAUAGUGGUAAAUCGGUAAGAGACAUCAUAGAUCGCACCAUAUCUAAUAAAGUACGGUUACGAUGUUCGGACACACCAUUACACUGUAAUGGUGUUCCAGGUGGCGUGAGUAGUGAAACUUUUUCACAUUGUUUUAACUGAAGGCCAAACUCGUAACUCAAAUAUUUUACUUCUGCGAUCAUAUCGUAGAUACUUUUAUUUUUCUUACGAUGAUUCUCCACUUCACUCUGAAAUUCUUUGAACUUUUCAAAUGCUUCAGAUUUGUGUUUCAUCAAGUAGAUAUACUCAUAUCUGCUCAAAUCAUCUGUGAAGAUCAGAAAAUAAUGAUACCUGCCGCGAGCCUCAAUAUUCGUCGGACCACAUACAUCAGUAUGUAUGAUUUCCAACAAAUCUGUUGCUCGGUCCAUUGUUCCGGAGAACGGAGUCUUAGUCAUCUUGCCCAUGAGGCAUGGUUCGCAAGCAUCAACUGAUUCAUAAUCAAGUGAUUCCAAAAGCCCAUCAGCAUGUAUUUUCUUCAUGCGCUUUACACCAAUAUAACCUAACCGGCAGUGCCACAAAUAAGUUGCACUAUCAUUAUUAACUUUGCAUCUUUUGGCUUCAAUAUUAUAAAAAUGUGUAUCACCACGAUCGAGAUCCAACAAACCAUUUUCAUUGGGUGUAUGACCAUAGAAGGUUUUAUUCAUGUAAACAGAACAACAAUUAUUCUCUAACUUACAUGAAUAACCGUAUUGCAAUAAACAUGAUCAAAUCAUAUUCAUGCUCAACGCAAACACCAAAUAACACUUAUUUAGGUUCAACACUAAUCCCGAAAGUAUAGGGAGUGUGCGAUGAUGAUCAUAUCAAUCUUGGAACUACUUCCAACACACAUCGUCACUUCACCCUUAACUAGUCUCUGUUCAUUCUGCAACUCCCAUUUCGAGUUACCACUCUUAGCAACUGAACCAGUAUCAAAUACCGAGGGGUUUCCAUGAACACUAGUAAUAUACACAUCAAUAAUCUGUAUAUCAAAUAUACCUUUGUUCACUUUGCCAUCCUUCUUAUCCGCCAAUUACUUGGGGUAGUUCCGCUUCCAGUGACCAGUCCCUUUGCAGUAGAAGCACUCAGUUUCAGGCUUAGGUCCAGACUUGGGUUUUUUCACUUGAGUAGUAUCUUGCUUGCUGUUCUUCUUGAAGUUCCCCUUUCUUCCCUUUGUCCCUUACUUAAAACUAGUGAUUUUGUUUACCAUCAACACUUGAUGCUUUUCUUGAUUUCUACCUUCGUCGAUUUCAGCAUCACGAAGAGCUUGGGAAUCGUUUCCGUUAUCCCUUGCAUAUUAUAGUUCAUCACGAAGUUCUACUAACUUGGUGAUGGUGACUAGAGAAUUCUGUCAAUCACUAUUUUAUCUGGAAGAUUAACUCCCACUUGAUUCAAGUGAUUGUAGUACCCAGAAAAUUUGAGCACAUGCUCACUGCUUGAGCUAUUCUCCUCCAUCUUUUAGCUAUAGAACUUGUUGGAGACUUCAUAUCUCUCAACUCGGGUAUUUACUUGAAAUAUUAACUUCAACUCCUGGAACAUCUCAUAUGGUCCAUGACGUUCAAAACGUCUUUGAAAUCCCGAUUCUAAGCUGUUAAGCAUGGUGCACUAAACUAUCAAGUAGUCAUCAUAUUGAGCUAGCCAAAUGUUCAUAACGUCUGCAUCUGCUCCUGCAAUAGGUCAGUCACCUAGCGGUGAAUUAAAGACAUAAUUCUUCUGUGCAGCAAUGAGGAUAAACCUCAGAUCACGGACCCAGUCUGCAUCAUUGCUACUAUCAUCUUUCAACUUAGUUUUCUCUAGGAACACAUAUAAAACACAGGGAAGCAAUAACGCGAGCUAUUGAUCUACAACAUAGAUAUGCAAAUACUAUCAGGACUAAGUUCAUGAUAAAUUAAAGUUCAAUUAAUCAUAUUACUUAAGAACUCCCACUUAGAAAGACAUCCCUCUAAUCUUCUAAGUGAUCACGUGAUCCAAAUCAACUAAACCAUAACCGAUCAUCACGUGAAAUGGAGUAGUUUUCAAUGGUGAACAUCACUAUGUUGAUCAUAUCUACUAUAUGAUUCAUGCUCGACCUUUCGGUCUCAGUGUUUCGAGGCCAUAUCUGCAUAUGCUAGGCUCGUCAAGUUUAACCUGAGUAUUCUGCGUGUGCAAAACUGGCUUGCACCCGUUGUAGAUGGACGUAGAGCUUAUCACACCCGAUCAUCACGUGGUGUCUGGGCACGACAAACUUUGGCAAUGGUGCAUACUUAGGGAGAACACUUUUAUCUUGAAAUUUAGUGAGAGAUCAUCUUAUAAUGCUACCGUCAAUCAAAGCAAGAUAAGAUGCAUAAAAGAUAAACAUCACAUGCAAUCAAUAUAAGUGAUAUGAUAUGGCCAUCAUCAUCUUGUGCUUGUGAUCUCCAUCUCCGAAGCACCAUCAUGAUCACCAUCGUCACUGGCGCGACACCUUGAUCUCCAUCGUAACAUCAUUGUCGUCUCGCCAAUCUUAUGCUUCCACGACUAUCGCUACUGCUUAGUGAUAAAGUAAAGCAUUACAACGCAAUUGCAUUGCAUACAAUAAAGCGACAACCAUAUGGCUCCUGCCAGUUGCCGAUAACUCGGUUACAAAACAUGAUCAUCUCAUACAAUAAAAUUUAGCAUCAUGUCUUAACCAUAUCACAUCACAACAUGCCCUGCAAAAACAAGUUAGACGUCCUCUACUUUGUUGUUGCAAGUUUUACGUGGCUGCUACGGGCUUAGCAAGAACCAUUCUUACCUACGCAUCAAAACCACAACGAUAGUUUGUCAAGUUGGUGCUGUUUUAACCUUCGCAAGGACGGGGCGUAGCCACACUUGGUUCAACUAAAGUUGGAGAAACUGACACCCGCCAGCCACCUGUGUGCAAAGCACGUCGGUAGAACCAGUCUCACGUAAGCGUACGCGUAAUGUCGGUCCGGGUCGCUUCAUCCAACAAUACCGCUGAACCAAAGUAUGACAUGCUGGUAAGCAGUAUGACUUAUAUCGCCCACAACUCACUUGUGUUCUACUCGUGAACAACAUCAACGCAUAAAACCUAGGCUCGGAUGCCACUAUUGGGGAACGUAGCAAUUUCAAAAAAUUUCCUACGCACAGGCAAGAUCAUGGUGAUGCAUAGCAACGAGAGGGGAGAGUGUUGUCUACGUACCCUCGUAGACCGAAAGCGGAAGCAUUAGCACAACGCGGUUGAUGUAGUCGUACGUCUUCACGGCCCGACCGAUCAAGCACCGAAACUACAACACCUCCGAGUUCUAGCACACGUUCAGCUCGAUGACGAUCCCUAGACUCCGAUCCAGCAGAAUGUCGGGGAAGAGUUCCGCCAGCACGACGGUGUGGUGACGAUCUUGAUGUUCUACUAUCGCAGGGCUUCACCUAAGCACCACUACAAUAUUAUCGAGGACUAUGGUGGAGGGGGCACCGCAUACGGCUAAGAGAUCAAUGAUCAACUGUUGUGUCUCUGGGGUGCCCCCUGCCCCCGUAUAUAAAGGAGCAAGGGAGGGAGGCGGCCGACCUAGGAGGAGGGCGCACCAAGGGGGGAGUCCUACUCCCAUCGGGAGUAGGACUCCUCCUUCCCUUGUUGGAGUAGGAGAGAAGGAAAGAGGGGGAGAUGAACAAGGAAAAGUGGGCUGCACGCCUUAUCCAAUUCGGACCAGAGGGGGGGGGGGCGCCUCCUUCCUUUUGGCCUCUCUCCUCUAUUCCCGUAUGGCCCAAUAAGGCCCAUAUACUCCCCGGCGAAUUCCCGUAACUCUCCGGUACUUCGAAAAAUACCCGAAUCACUCGGAACCUUUUCGAUGUCCGAAUAUAGUCAUCUAAUAUAUCGAUCUUUACGUCUCGACCAUUUCGAGACUCCUCGUCAUGUCCCCGAUCUCAUCCGGUACUCCUAACUCCUUCGGUACAUCAAAACUCAUAAACUCAUAAUAUAACUGUCAUCGAAACCUUAAGCGUGAGGACCCUACGGGUUCGAGAGCUAUGUAGACAUGACCGAGACACGUCUCCGGUCAAUAACCAAUAGCGGAACCUGGAUGCUCAUAUUGGCUCCCACAUAUUCUACGAAGAUCUUUAUCGGUCAGACCGCAUAACAACAUACGUUGUUUCCUUUGUCAUCGGUAUGUUACUUGCCCGAGAUUCGAUCGUCGGUAUCUCAAUACCUAGUUCAAUCUCGUUACUGGCAUGUCUCUUUUACUCGUUCCGUAAUACAUCAUCCCGCAACUAACUUAUUUGUUGUAAUGCUUGCAAGGCUUAAGUGAUGUGCAUUACUGAGAGGGCCCAGAGAUACCUCUCCGACAAUCGGAGUGACAAAUCCUAAUCUUGAAAUACGCCAACCCAACAAGUACCUUCGGAGACACCUGUAGAGCACCUUUAUAAUCACCCAGUUACGUUGUGACGUUUGGUAGCACACAAAGUGUUCCUUCGGUAAACGGGAGUUGCAUAAUCUCAUAGUCAUAGGAGCAUGUAUAAGUUAUGAAGAAAGCAAUAGCAACAAACUAAACGAUCAAGUGCUAAGCUAAUGGAAUGGGUCAAGUCAAUCACAUCAUUCUCCUAAUGAUGUGAUCCCGUUAAUCAAAUGACAACUCAUGUCUAUGGCUAGGAAACAUAACCAUCUUCGAUCAAUGAGCUAGUCAAGUAGAGGCAUAUUAGUGACACUCUGUUUGUCUAUGUAUUCACACAUGUAUUAUGUUUCCGGUUAAUACAAUUCUAGCAUGAAUAAUAAACAUUUAUCAUGAAAUAAGGAAAUAAAUAAUAACUUUAUUAUUGCCUCUAGGGCAUAUUUCCUUCAGGUGACGUGUUGUUUCAUUCUAUACAAUGUAUUAUAGUCAGCAACGGAUAAAAGCCAUGCUAAGAUCUAGAUUCAAGGUUCACCCAUUACAUUUCUCACUCCACCAUUAAUGCUACAUUCCUUGCGGUAGUUUCAUCCCAUCUCUUACCCGCUAAGAGUCAUAUUAUUGUAAAUAUCCAGAGACAAUCAUCCUGUCAGCACAACAUGAAAAUUAGACGCUCCAAUAUAGAAUCACUCUUAUAUACUCUUAAGGGGGUUUCACUUAAAAACUACCAGACACUUUUGAGCCAUGUCAUGGCAACAUGAUGUAGUCUAGUCUCAGGAGGCGCUUAUUAUCAGUCAUGAUAUACAUUCUAAGUAACUUCUCAUCACAAAGAUCGAUAGACACCACUCAUGGGUUCUUGGUCAAACAAAUCGCCAUAUCAUCGUUGAUGGUGACGUGUUUUUUCAUUCUAUACAAUGCAUUAUAGUUAGCAACGGAGAAAAGCCAUGCUAAGAGCUAGAUUCAAGGUGCACCCAUUACAUUUCUCACUCCACCAUUAAUGCUACAUUCCUUGCGGUAGUUUCAUCCCAUCUCUUACCCGCUAAGAGCCAUAUUAUUGUAAACAGAAGCACUGGAUUGUAAAAAGCACAAAACAUCAAUUAUCUAUUCAUGAAUUUCUUGGUUACCUACUAAUGGCAUCAUCAACUAGAUUGUAAAUGCACUAGGAUCCAAGUUGCUUAAUUUGGACUUUUGAGCCAAAUAUGGCAUUAUAGUAAAUCAGUUCAAAGGGAAUUAAAGUAGCAAUAUGGUUAAUUAGUUAAGUGAAUAGAUGAAUUGUUUGAGUGACGCCCUUGUGGAAAUAGCUAAUGAUGGAGAUUGAAAGACAUCACUAAGGUGUACAAAAAUGCCAACAACAAAUUGUUCAUCGCUAAUUCACUCUCUCAUUUUGCACCAGAUGCUCUCACAGAUCCACUCUCUCCUAACCGAGAGAUAACACAUGCACAUACGCAAAAGGUCUCCAUCUAUUAGCAUUCAAGACCGGGAAGGAUGCUAUGGACACUUUUAGCAUUCCACAUCUUAAAUAUUUUUAGGUUGUUCACAUAUACAUUGAAUGCCCAUCUGAUUCCCUUGAAAGACCUUAUCUGGCUCACAGUCACCACCAACUUGUGGUGAAAUAAUCCCUGGUGCCUCUCAAGCCUACACAACUCAUUUUGGUAUCAUCCUCACUUGUUGAACAUAUAUCGAUCAUCUUCAUUCAACAUCCAUAGAGGAGCAUGAGCUAAGAGUCUUGUCAAUAUUUAUUCAUCAAGAAUUGUUGAUGUGAUGGUGCUUCAAUAGCUCACUGCAAUGCAUUGAUCAGCUUGUGCGCUUGCAGUUGUCUUCAAUUUUCGCACAUGCGCUACUUAUCUUCUAGACAGUUCGAUUUGCUAUCUCCAUCUUUAUGGUAUAACCACAUCUUACUAUGUCACAUGCUCACAUGCCACUGAUAUAAUCUUACACAUAUCAACCAUGAAUAUUAAAUCUAAUGGACCAUAUCUUUACGGCUUCACAUGCUAACAUGUUGGUAUUUGUCGUGGACUUAACACAACAGAUGCCCUAGCAAAAGGACUUAGGUGUGGAGCCAUUGCAACUAGGUUAGCUCAAAGGGGUUGAACGAGACAAAGGACAUAGAGAGUUUUACCUAGGUUCGGCCCCUCUCAAUGAGGUAAAUGAAGGAAAUAUGCCCUAGAGGCAAUAAUAAAGUUGUUAUUUAUAUUUCCUUAUAUCAUGAUAAAUGUUUAUUAUUCAAGCUAGAAUUGUAUUAACCGAAAACUUGAUACAUGUGUGACUACAUAGACAAAAUAAAGUGUCCCUAGUAUGCCUCUACUUGACUAGCUCGUUAAUCAAAGAUGGUUAAGUUUCCUAACCAUAGACAUGUGUUGUCAUUUGAUGAAUGGGAUCACAUCAUUAGGAGAAUGAUGUGAUGGACAAGACCCAUCUGUUAGCUUAGCAUAAUGAUCAUUAAGUUUUAUUGCUAUUGCUUUCUUCAUGACUUAUACAUAUUCCUCUGACUAUGAGAUUAUGCAACUCCCGAAUACCGGAGGAACACCUUGUGUGCUAUCAAAUGUCACAACGUAACUGGUUGAUUAUAAAGAUGCUCUACAGGUGUCUCCGAAGGUGUUUGUUGGGUUGGCAUAGAUCAAGAUUAGGAUUUGUCACUCUGAGUAUCGAAGAGGUAUCUCUGGGCCCUCUCGGUAAUGCACAUCACUAUAAGCCUUGCAAGCAAUGUGACUAAUAAGUUAGUUAUGGGAUGAUGCAUUACGAAACAAGUAAAGAGACUUGCAGUUAACGAGAUUGAACAAGGUAUGAUGAUACCGAUGAUCGAAUCUUGGGCAAGUAACAUACCGAUGACAAAGGGAAUAAUGUAUGUUGUUAUUGUGGUUUGACCGAUAAAGAUCUUUGUAGAAUAUGUAGGAACCAAUAUGAGCAUCCAGGUUCCGCUAUUGGUUAUUGACCGGAUAUGUGUCUUGGUCAUGUCUACAUAGUUCUCGAACCCGUAGGGUCCACACGCUUAACGUUCGAUUACGAUUUGUAUUAUGAGUUAUGUGUUUUGGUGACCGAAGUUUGUUCGGAGUCCCGGAUAAGAUCACGGACAUGACGAGGAGUAUCGAAAUGGUCGAGAGAUAAAGAUUGAUAUAUUGAAAGGUAGUAUUCGGACACCAGAAGGGUUCCGCAGUGUAUCGGGUACAUACCGGAGUACCAGAGGGGUUACCGGAACCCCCCGAGGAAAGAUAUGGGCCAUAUGGGCCAUAGGAGGGAGGCUAACCAGCCCACAAGGGGCUGGUGUGCCCCCCACAAGGGAUGAGGCCUAAUUGGACUAGGGAAGGGGGCGCCACCCCCUUUUCUUUUCCUACUCCCUCUCCUUUCCCCCUUUCCCCCUCCAUGAGAAGGAUAAGAAGGGAGGGGGCGAAUCUUACUAGGAUUGGGAGUCCUAGUAGCACUCCCCCCUUAUGGCGCGGCCCCUAGGGCCGACCUCCUCCCUCUCCCUCCUUUAUAUACGUGGGCAGGGCACCCCUUGGAGACACAACAACUGUUCCAAGCCAUGUGCGGCGUCACUCUCCACAGUUUACUCCUCUAGUCAUAGCGUUGUAAGUGCUUAGGCGAAGCCCUGCGCGGAUCACAUCACUAUCACCGUCACCAUGCCAUCGUGUUGAUGAAACUCUCCCUCGACCCUCUGCUGGAUCAAAAGUUUGAGGGACGUCAUCGAGCUGAACGUGUGCUGAACUCGGAGGUGUCGUACGUUCGGUACUUAAUCGUGAAGACAUUCGACUACAUCAACCGCGUUAACCUAACGCUUCCGCUUUCGGUCUACGAGGGUACGUGGACACACUCUCCCCCUCUCAUUGCUAUGCAUCUCCUAGAUAGAUCUUGUGUGAUCGUAGGAUUUUUUUUGAAAUUGCAUGCCACGUUCCCCAACAGUAAAAGCCUACUCCUGCUUUCAGUUGUACUGCUUGGGUUUCGAUUACCAGGGAGCGAAUACGCUUGACCUAGUUCUCGAUUGACUAUUUCUUGAGUUAACCCGCUGCCGGGUCACCCUUUUAUAUACAGGUUGAUGCCCGGCAGCUUACAGAGUCCCGGCCGGCUCACACAAACGUGACUGCUACCUCUUGAGCACUGCGUUGGUUUCCCUUGAAGAGGAAAGGGUGAUGCAGCAAAGCAGCGCAAGUAUUUCCCUUAGUUUUUGAGAACCAAGGUAUCAAUCCAGUAGGAGACCAUGCACGAGUCACCUCGUACCUACACAAACAAAUAAGAACAUCACAACCAACGCGAUAAAGGGGUUGUCAAUCCCUUCACGACCACUUGCAAGAGUGAGAUUUGAUAGAGAUAAUGAUAAUAAGAUAAAUAUUUUUUGGUAUUUUUAUGAUAUAGAUUGAAAGUAAAGAUUGCAAAAUAAAAUAGAUUGGAAACUUAUAUGAUGGAAAAUAGACCCGAGGGCCAUAGGUUUCACUAGUUGCUUCUCUCAAGAUAGCAUAAGUAUUACGGUGGGUGAACAAAUUACUGUCGAGCAAUUGAUAGAAAAGUGCAUAUUUAUGAGAAUAUCUUGGCAUGAUCAUGUAUAUAGGCAUCACGUACGUGACAAGUAGACCGACUCCUGCCUGCAUCUACUACUAUUACUCCACACAUCGACCGCUAUCUAGCAUGCAUCUACAGUAUUAAGUUCAUAAGAACGGAGUAACGCAUUAGGUAAGAUGACAUGAUGUAGAGGGAUAAACUCAAGCAAUAUGAUAUAAAACCCAUAUUUUUAUCCUCGAUGGCAACAAUACAAUACGUGUCGUUUCCCUUUCUGUCACUGGGAUCGAGCACCGCAAGAUUGAACCCAAAGCUAAGCACUUCUCCCAUUGCAAGAAAGAUCAAUCUAGUAGGCCAAACCAAACUGAUAAUUCGAAGAGACUUGCAAAGAUAACCAAUCAUACAUAAAAGAAUUCAGAGAAGAUUCAAAUAUUGUUCAUAGGUAAUCUAGAUCAUAAACCCACAAUUCAUCGGAUCUCGACAAACACACUGCAAAAAGAGUUACAUCGAAUAGAUCUCCAAGAGAAUCGAGGAGAACUUUGUAUUGAGAUCCAAAGAGAGAGAAGAAGCACUAAAAAAUAGACUUCCGUGAUGAUACGUGUUUGUCACAGUAGGUCGUCUUUUUGUCAUGCAUGUACAUCCAUGACAAAUUUAUGACAGAAUCAAGAUAGUCAUACCUGUGCUAUCGUAGAAGUGUUCCAUGACAUUACCAAAAUUAUCAUCACGGAAGUGUCCACUUCCAUGACAAUAAAUCACGCGUCACAGAAGUGCUUUCGUCAAGGGUGACCGACACGUGGCAUCCACCGUAACGGAAUGCCGUUAAGCUAUCGGGUCGGGUUUUGGAUCCGAUAACCCGUUAACAGCCCCGACCAAUGGGGAUUUUCCACGUGUAAAAUCAUCAUUGGCUGGAGGAGACACGUGUCAACUCAUCCAAUGGGUGAGACGCGCCUAUGAUAUGUUAACACGUGGAUCGACCCAUCAAGUUUAAAUGGGCUGGCCCAACUGAAGGCCCACAAGAUUUUGCGGACCAUAAUGGGCCGGCCCAGCUAAAGGCCGACGAGAUUUUGCGGACCAUAAUGGGCUGGCCCAGCUAAAGGCCCACAAGAUUUUGCGGGCCAUAAUGGGCCGGCCCAGGUAAAGGCCCACAAGAUUUUUUUGUGCCAUAAUGGGCCGGCCCAAGUAAAGCCCACAAGAUUCUUGCGGAUCAUAAUGGGCCAGCACAGCUAAAGGCCCACGAGAUUUCGCCGACAUUAAUGGGCCGGGCCAGCUGUAGGCCCACAAGAUUUUGUGGACCCUAGUAGGCCGGCCCAUUAACUGCCUGCCAUGUUUUGGGCCAAAUGCUGGCCCAUAUUUGAUCCAGUCCAUUAAUGGCCUGCCAUGCUCCAGGCCUAAUAGUGGCCCAUAUGAGAUCCGGCCCAUUAAAGGCCUACCAUGUUCUGGGCCAAAUUACGGCCCAGAUCAGGUCCGGCCCUUUAAGAGGCUUUGGGCUCAAUUAUGGCCCGUAGCAGAUUUGGCCCGUCAACUGGAAACUAUGCUUUUGGGCCCACUUGCUAAAGGCCCACUUAGUAAUUCGACCUGAUAUUAGUUUUGGCCUGUUAAGGGCCAGUUUAACAUUUCGGCCCUAUGUUAAUUUUAGCCUGUUAAAAGCCCGUCAUAUAGUUGGGCCUAACUACGGCCCGGUUUGCAUCCGGCCUGCUCGCAGCCGAUAUCUGAUUGGGCCAAACAAGGACCGAGACAAUUUUUCGGCCUGUUAAAAACCCGUGAUUUGAUUCACACAAUGAUGGACCGGGGUUCAUUUCGGGCCGCUGCCGGCCCGUGAGCUGAUCGACAUGUUUCAGGCCCAACCUACAUCGUGAUUGCAUGACGGCCCGAUUAUGUACCGUAAUUUUACAGUUUGGCCGGUUUACUGCAAAGAUAGGAUAUAUAUACAGUAAAAUAACUGCAACAUCCUGAAUAAGAAAAAACCUAUACUAUACAAUAAAGAAAUUACGGCAUAUUACAUCCACUGGGCAUCAAAGUUUGCCACUAUGAUAAUAAAGCACGAGCAGACAACAGAUUACAUACACUGGGCAUCAAAGAUCGCCACUAGUGCAAAUAAACACGCCGACAAAAUAAUAUACAAAACCGACAACACUUAAAUGGAGUUCAAGAAAGGUUAGCCCUGCUGGGGAGCUGCAGCGCAAGUAGCUGAGCAAGAUGAUGAGACUGCGCUUGUUCAACACUUAUAUCUUCCUCACUCUGAAAGAUAAACAAGCAGACAGAUGAUAGGUUUUGCACAUAAAAGUAUCAGUGCUAACAAUUCAUCACAUUUCUUACUGACGAAUAAAGUGACACAGUUUAAAUUUGCAUUAACACAAUAUGGUAUUGUUCAGGUCAAGACAUGGCAGGAAAUGACAUUGUGAAGGAGUUGGCAGCUUCACGACACCACUGGAUUACAGAUCAAGAACUCAUAAGUAUCAAUGGUUAGUGUGCUGUCAAUUUAUACCAUUUCAGAUUGGCAAAUAAAGAGAUGGUUUAAAUAAUAGUAGAAUGAUAUGACAUUGUUCAUAGUUAAGACAUUGCAGAAUAUGACAUUAUGCUGUAGUGGGUAGGUUCACCACACCACUGGAUUACAGAUGAAGAAUAGAAGCAUACAUGCAGUGCAAAAGAAGAUCACUUGCUCUGUAUAGUUUAAUUUACAUGGUAUGGGAACUUGGUUGUACAACUGAAAACUUAAAUUGAGAAAUGACGAACUUUUGUUUAUGAACUACAUAUAAUAAACUUUAAACAAGCAAUUUGAUGCAAACACCAAAAACAAACAGCUGUUGCAGUCAUGCCUAACCAAAUAUAUACAACAAAGUUUGAAGGCUUGAGAUGGACAAACUUACAUUAUUGGUGAAGACAGGCUCUAUAAAGGCCUUGUCCAUGCUGAUGGGGGGCAAUUCAAGAAGUUUACCACAUAAUCUUCUUCAAAAGCAUUGCCUUUAUUCUACAUUUUGUUAAGAGUAAAUAUAGAUGUGAUAAUAUACGAAAAAAUGGAGAAUAUUUAAGAUAAGAUGAAGAGUGAUGCUACAUAGCCAAGUAGCUAUAAAUGUAAGUGCAGCGAUACAGGCAAAAGGUACAUCCAAGAGCAAUGCACAACUAAACUUCUUCAGUACCAACCUUAUGGUAAGAGUAAAUAUAGAUCUGAUGUGUAGAAAAUGGAGGGCAAAGGAAAAUAAGCUGCAGAGUGAUGGUACAUGAGCACCUACCUGUCAUUAUAAGUACACUGAUAAAGGACAACAUGUACUUACAAGAACAAUGCAGAGCUAAAAAAACAUUGGCAUUGGAUAUAUUCUACACUAAUGUAACCAUUCAUACAGAUCAGAUAAUUUGGAGCGAACAAUUGAUAAAAACAUUGGCAUUGGAUAUAUUCUACACUAAUGUAAGCAUUUGAGUGGAAAAACAUGGUAUGAUGACAGAUGGAAUAUGUAUUGAUAAUGGAUGGGCAUGGCAUCUCGACAUAUAUGAUGAGUAAACUAAGCAGAUGGCGGUGCAACAAAGUAUAAGAAAUGCAAGACAACAUAUGCAAGAUACGCGCAAUCAAUAAAACCUUGCCAAAUUAGAACAGGCACCUUGAUGGGUGAACAUGACAUGCCAUCUGCCUUUGACUCCUCGAGGUUAGAAUAGUCAUUAGGAUGAUAUUCUGAACAAGAAUCAGCAGGUGGGGAGCGUACGAGUUUCAUUGCUUCCAGAAUGGCACUCAAUGCCUUGGUGCCAAUUUUGUAAGUCAUUGCACUGUUCCACAAUAUUCUUCUGAUGCGCGGAUUCUGAUAUUCAUUGUAAUUGCGUACGAUAUCUGAGAACCAUGAAAACAUAAAUAGUUGUGAGAUUAUCUUUGUAAUGCAGAUGAUAUUCUAAUAUAGGGGCGCCCCUGUAAACACUUGUGUGCUAUCACUGGAUUCUGAUGAGAGAGCUCAUGUGUGCUGUAAUAUGGUGCGUGCAUUUAUAUAAUCUGGCACAAGUACACAAAAAAAUAGGCUCCAGAAGUAAGGAUAGCUGGCAUAUGAUAGGUUCAUAAUAUAUUGUAUAGAGAGUUUAUUGCCAAACCAUGAUAACAAGAGCACACAGCAACUAGGCAGAUCAUAGUGUACAUAACAGGGGUACACCAUAACCAGGAUAUAUAAAUCGGGAAAGUGGAACUGGCUGGAAAUUACGGUGUUGUACUGCCGCUAGUAAUUGAAAGCCUAUCGAUCACAUACAGGCCAGCUCUAUCAGCUCUUAGACUGCAGAUGUCCCUGCUCCCCUUCCUAACAAGGAACAUACUGUGCUUCCCAUACAGAACACUGCCCGGGCCGCGGGCCAAACCACCGGCCCCAUCGCCUGUGUUCCUCCGCCACCCCCACCCCCACCCCCACCCCCACCCGUGUCGAGUUUUCUUUGUUCGACAAGGCCCCACCACCGCCCCAAAACCACCGUCCCAACCCAAGCCCCUUCGAUCGCACCGGCGAACUCCGGCGAGCUCUGAAAAAUCGACUGACCCAAUUUUGAAAUUUAGUCUACUGUGAUUUAACUAGUGUGGAAUAUAAAAGGGGAAAACCAUGAGCAUUGCGAGUAUGGUGUUGAGCGUGCCAUGGCGGAUCUGAAGGUGCAAACCAGACAAAGGCAACCUCGCAACCAAGACAAGAAAUCGGAGUAAAGCAGUGGCGAUCUAUUUUCUUGCUGCGAUAAAUAAGUUGAGCAGAUACGAAAGAGUAUUGCCUCUGGUGCGGCGCCGUUGUCGGUGUCAAAACCGGCGGAUCUCGGGUAGGGGGUCCCAAACUGUGCGUCUAGGCUGGAUGGUAACAGGAGGCAAGGGACAUGAAGUUUUACCCAGGUUCGGGCCCUCUCGAUGGAGGUAAAACCCUACGUCCUGCUUGAUUAAUAUUGAUGAUAUGGGUAGUACGAGAGUAGAUCUACCACGAGAUCGGAGAGGCUAAACCCUACAAGCUAGCCUAUGGUAUGAUUGUUGUCUAUGUUGUCCUACGGACUAAACCCCCCCGGUUUAUAUAGACACCAAAGAGGGUUAGGGUUACACAAAGUCGGUUACAAUGGUAGGCGAUCUGUAUAUCCGUAUCGCCAAGCUUGCCUUCCACGCCAAGGAAAGUCCUUUCCGGACACGGGACGAAGUCUUCAAUCUUGUAUCUUCAUAGUCCAGGAGUCCGGCUGAAGGUAUAGUCCGGCCAUCCGGACACCCCCUAAUCCAGGACUCCCUCAGUAGCCCCUGAACCAGGCUUCAAUGACGACGAGUCCGGCGCGCAGUUUGUCUUCGGCAUUGCAAGGUGGGUUCCUCCUCCAAGUACUUCACAAAGAUAGUGUCCGGCUCUCAGCGCGUUAUGUGAGGCGGUUUCCUUGGCACGUUUUGUCAAAGCAGAGAUCAUGUCCCCUUAUUCCGGGAUUCUCAUCAAUACGGGCGUGGGUAACCCAACCGUGCCAUUGAUUACGUCGCUUGGAGAUAAGCGAGUUUUACCAGGCUGGUGGGGACAUGUAGUUGCGUCCACCCAUAUAAGGGGAUAAGGAUCCACCUUUCCACCUACGCCUUCCUCCUCCUUUGCCUAUCCAUUCUUGCGCACUCGAGCUCCAGCGCCCAAGUCCGCACUCCCACCUCAACCUUCUCCAGCCAUGUCCGGAGCAGGAGGCAAGUGGAUGGUCUCCUCCGUCAUGGAGGGACAUAUCAAAAAGCUGAGGAAGGCCGGAUACCUGUCUAACAACAUCGCGUACCGGCUUCCCGAAAAGGGGCAGCUCAUCCCCACCCCUAGGACCCAUGAGAGGGUGGUGUUCCUCCCCCAUUUCCUCCGUGAACUGGGCUUCCCUCUUCACCCAUUUGUCUGGGGGCUCAUGUUCUACUACGGCCUGGAUUUCCACGAUCUGGCCCCGAACUUCGUCCUCAACAUCUCGGCGUUUAUCGUCGUGUGCGAGGCUUUCCUCCGCAUCUGCCCCCAUUUCGGCCUAUGGCUCAAGACUUUCAAUGUCAAGCCGAAGGUGGUGCGCGGCAACCAGGCGGAGUGCGGAGGCGCCAUGGUUGGCAAGAUGGCCAACGUAUUAUGGCUCGAGGGCUCCUUUGUGGAGACCUUGAAGGGGUGGAAAUCGGGGUGGUUUUACAUCACCGAGCCGCGCGACCCCGAAUGGGUCGCACCCCCCGAGUUUUGAUCCGGACCCCCUACGCGGCUCACCUCCUGGAAGGAGAUAGGCCUGUCGUGGGGUAAGAAAGGAGAGCUGACCGGACUCCAAACAUGCAUCCAAACCCUGGUGGACAAGAAGCUUAAACUUGUCAACGUAAUCCAGGUUAUGCUCGUCUGCCUGAUCCUCCCAUGUCAACAACGGGCUUUCACCCUGUGGGAGUUCGACCCGGCGUGGCACCAAACUCUGAGCAGGCUCUUCGACACGACGUACGAAGAUUCCUGGAAGGUGCUUUUCAAGGGCGCCGAGGCCCCCGCGUCCGCUACUAAGGAUCGCGGAUUUAGUACACAGCGUCACGCUCAUGCGGUAAGUUGUUUUUUCCUUUUAUAGGGUAUCCGUUUUUCAUAGUUUGACUCCAUGUGGGAUCUAAGCUCUCUUACCUUUGACAGGAUUGGCAGGUGACGUCCAGACAGAUCAACUGUCCGGCUCCUUUGCCCGAAGGCCCAGCGGACGCUCGCUUGGCGAAGCUGCUGGUUCCGGCACCCUAUGUGGUGCCGGAGAAGAAGGCCGCGAAAAAGGCCACGGGGGCUCGAAAGAGUGCCCGGCGCUAGGAGGUGUUGGAUCCAUCAUCCGGCGGUUCUGAGGCGCAUUCCUCUCGUGAAGACGAGGAGGAAGAAGAAGAGACCUCUCCCCCUCCAGCGGGAGGAGAGAAGAAAAGGAAGGCCGCCCUCUCUGGGGAGGCCGGAGGGUCCAAGAAGGGGAAAACCCUUCCUCCGGACUACUCCACCGACACCGACGAUGGUGGAGAGGAGUGGCAGCCCAGGGCCAAGCCCCUGGCAAAAUCGUAAGUAUCCGGAUACCGGAGUAAUUCAUAGUAUUCAUUUAUUGCACAACUUUCCCUUACACCGAAUAUGUUUAUGCAGCCCACCCAAAGACCGGCUCGACGCGUCGUCGAGCGGCUCACUGGAUUCGUCGGAUGUGAACUCGCUUCCGACGGCUUCCUCCCCCCGCCCUACGGAUGACACUGAAGUGUUGUCCCAACAGGUGCGAAGCCAGGAGGAGGUGGUCCUGGAGGCGCCGCAAGGCGACCUCCCGGACUCCAGGAGUAAAGGGGAUGAAACCCCCCAGGGCUCAAAGUCCGGCUCUAGGCUGGACACCGCUCCGGAACCUUCAAAGGUUCCAGGGUCCGGCGGGGGACCUCCUUCCAAGAGGAGCAAGCCCACUGCGUCGGUGACCCCCGUCCAACUGGAGGCACCGGACAAUAUGUUGGAGGCGCUCCAAGGCGCCUCCAUCGACGAGGAGGACCGCACUAUUAUGAGUGCGGUGGUCCAGAAGGUUCAGUCCGCCAAGAGCGGACUAACUGAAGCUUGUACUAGCCUUUUAACAGGCUUUGAGGUAAGUAAAGAAUGUGUAAAUAAUAUUACCGCAUAGACAGUAGCCCCUGAUGCUCUGUUUGGCGUUCAGGAAGAAAAGCCGAAUAGAGGAUCAAAUAAAAUUCGCAGGAGUCUAACAAAAAGGAGUCAAUAUGCGUAUGCAGGCUUCUCUGCUUGCGUCCGCCGUACUAACUGCGGAAGUGGACACGCUAAAGCAGAACCUCGAGCGGUCCGAGCAAGAGCUCAGGCGUGUCAAGAAGCAGCUCGAGGACAAUGAAGGUAAGAGAUACCUUGUUUAAAUAUAUAUAAAAAGGUGCAAUUGCAAAAAAUGACAGGACUAUCGUGGCUAUUGUAGGGGCCACGUCUUAGGUGGCGACCCUUAAGCAGGCGCUGGGCGAGGCCGAGAAGAGGGUGGCCACGGAGCGCACCGAGCGGGAGAAGUAUGAGGUCGAGGUUGGCAAGGUACGACAAGAGCUCCAGGCUCUCAUGAAAAAGCAUGAGAGUUUGGAGCUUGACUCAAAGACGCAAGCGUCCGAGCUCGCGGCGGCUAUUGAAAAUGCCAAGUAUGCCAAGGCCGAAUCCCAAAAGACCCUCCAGGAGUUGGAUGAGGUGAAGAAGAUAGCAGCGGGUAAGGUAUUCUUUAUGCAAAGCAAACACAUAAACGUGAGUUACUUGUUACUUACCCGAAUCCGGAGCUCUCCAGGAGCGUUCAUAGAUCUUCCCCGGAGUGUAUCCGAUGCCGCCGCAUUCUAUCGAGCCGAGGAGGGCAGCUCGACAGAGAAGGUGUUCUGGUCUCAGUAUGCUGAGGCCGGACACCCCGUACCCCUGAGCGACCAGCUGAAGCAGCUGGUCGAGCUCCACAAGGCGGCUGAACAGGCCAUGAAGGGCCUCUUGGUUCGGCUGUGGCCUGGAGAGGCUCCGCUUGGGAGCUAUUUCGGGCUGGUGCGGCGGCUGGUGGAGGCCUGUCCAAGGCUCGAAGUCAUCAAGCGCUCCGUCUGCAUUGAAGGUGCCCAUAGGGCCCUUGCCCGUGCUAAGGUGCACUGGGGCAAGCUGGAUGCCGAGAAGCUUGUGAAGGACGGGCCACCACCGGGGAAAGAGCAUCACAAGCCCGAGAAUUACUAUAAGGAUGUUCUGAAGGAUGCCUGCCUUGUGGCGGAUGAAUGUUCUAGGGAUGUAAUUUUUGAGUGAAACUUGCUCAUUUUGUCCUGUGCGCUGGAAACUUGUUCAUAUGCGCUAAGCAAUGCUGUUUGUAAUUUAAAAUAUUACCUUCUGUGCGGCUAUUUAUCAAUUCUGAGAGAUGGCAAGUCGUCGGCUUCUGCCCCCGUGCCGCUAGUGCUGGGGUGUUCGGGGAUAAACCUGAGCGCUCUUUUUCCCAUUUUUGGGUCCUUCGAGGGAGGCGCUCAGCCCAACGAACAAGGCAAUCGGACUAUAAUGCGAACACUCUCACUUAGCCAUAUAAUUCUAUAAUUUUAAAUUUCGGCGAAGCCCCUGGUAUUCAAAAGACCGAGUUCGGGGCGCUAUCCACGCCUUGGCCGGACAGAGCCGGCUCCUCGCCCUAAGCGGUAUAAGUCUUUAGGGACUCGAAAGACCUCUCGAACAGCGACCAGCUCUCGCCUCAUCAUGACAGUCAGUUUUAGCUUUCUCCACUGAGGUGCUCGACCCAGCUCAACUGGGGCACAAUCGCAGUGGUUCUCCUAGUGCUACCUUAGCCGAUAUAGCGGAACAUAAGGCACCAAAACAUAGGAGCCGGGCAAACCCAACUAUUGACCCAAGACAUGAUUCAGAGCCGAUGCAUAUAAUGCUAUAAGUUUGGGGUGCCGCACUUGUUAAAGUGUUCGGACUUCUCACACCAUAUUGAGGGGUACUAAAGCCCCUGGCGUAUUUUGGCCGUACCAACGUGUACGGGUGCAAUAUGUCGUUAAGGAACACACACACACACACACACACACACACACACACACAUAUAUAUAUAUAUAUAUAUAUAGAAAAAGGUAAUGCAAAAAUAGACAAAAGCUAUGUAUUGUUUAUUAAAAAGGGGUUGCGGUCAAAGCAGAACGAUACAAAUAAUGCGAUAAGUGGAAGGUUGGACUAUUUAACAUGUUCGUUCCACGGGCAAGCUGCGGAAUAGUAUGCGGAACAGGUAUACUGCUCGUGAUAGAGACCACCUGGGAGUUCCGUGAUGCGGCGUGGCUUGUCUUCUUCCUUGGUUCUUGCAUCGUUUGUGCGGCAAUUGAACUGCCGAACAGGCCUUCCGAAGGAUGGAGUCCUGUAAGUAAGAGAAAAUUAAAAAAAUCGGCAGCCCCUGGUACGGUUUAAGCCGCGUUUCGGGCGUGCCGUGAUUGUGCCCCUCCCCUGUACCCAUGGUAUCUCUAGAGCGUAGUUAUGUACGCGAAGUACUGGCGUCGCCUUUUUGCGAGGGUUGGGGUUGGGGCCGCAUUGCUAUGCCUGCUCGGUUCGUGCCAGGCGGUCUUGUUGUAGGUUACUCCGGGCGCGCUUGACGGUGUCCGGUCGUUUAAUGGCCGGACUGGAGAACUGCCUGGAGAGGCUGCUUUGUACUUCCGCUGCAAGGGCCGCCGUGUGCUCCUCCGUUCGGAGGGAGCGUUCGGUGUUUCCAUUGACCGUAAUUACUCCUCGAGGGCCUGGCAUCUUGAGCUUAAGGUAUGCGUAGUGCGGUACCGCAUUGAACUUGGUGAAUGCGGUUCGCCUGAGCAGUGCGUGAUAACCACUGCGGAACAGGACUAUGUCGAAGAUUAACUCCUCGCUUCGGAAAUUAUCCGGAGAUCCGAAGACCACUUCAAGUGUGACUGAGCCUGUACAGUUGGCCUCUAGACCUGGUAUUACACCUUUAAAGGUCGUUUUGGUGGGCUUAAUCCUCGAGGGAUCUAUGCCCAUUUUCUGCACUGUAUCCUGGUAAAGCAGGUUCAGGCUGCUGCCGCCGUCCAUAAGGACUCUAGUGAGAUGAAAUCCGUCAAUAAUUGGGUCUAGAACCAAUGCGGCAAAUCCGCCAUGACGGAUGCUAGUGGGAUGGUCCCUUCGAUCAAAGGUGAUCGGGCAGGAGGACCAUGGGUUGAACUUUGGGGCGACUGGCUCUACCGCGUAUACGUCCCUUAGCGCGCGCUUCCGUUCCCUUUUGGGGACGUGGGUUGCGUAUAUCAUGUUCACCGUCCGCACUUGUGGGGGAAAACCCUUCUGUCCACUGUUGUUCAGCGGCCGGGGCUCCUCGUCGUCAUCGCUAUGCGGCCCCUUGUCUUCAUUUUCGGCAUUUAACUUGCCUGCCUGCUUGAACACCCAACAAUCCCUUUUGGUGUAAUUGGCCGGUUUUUCGGGGGUGCCAUGUAUCUGGCACAAGCGGUCGAGUAUUCGGUCCAAACUGGACGGGCCCCUAGGAUUCCUUUUGAAUGGCUUUUUCCGUUGACCGGAUUUAGAGCCUCUGAAUCCGGCAUUAACUGCCAUAUCCUCAGCAUUGUCGCCGUUAAUGCGGCGCUUCUGCUUGUUGCGAUGCGACCUGCCACUGCUGUCCCUGGUGUCCGAAUUACCAGGGUUCUUGGUCAUGUUGUUGCUACGAGCAAGCCAGCUGUCUUCUCCCGCGCAAAAGCGGGUCAUGAGUGUCGUGAGUGCUGCCAUAGAUUUCGGCUUUUCCUGUCCAAGGUGCCGGGCCAGCCACUCGUCACGGAUAUUGUGCUUGAAGGCUGCUAGGGCCUCCGCGUCCGGACAGUCGACUAUUUGAUUUUUCUUUGUUAGGAACCGUGUCCAGAAUUGCCUAGCCGAUUCCUCUGGCUGCUGAAUUACGUGACUUAGGUCAUCGGCUUCUGGGGGUCGCACAUAAGUGCCCUGGAAAUUGUCGAGGAAUGCGGCUUCCAGGUCCUCCCAACAACUGAUUGAUCCCGUUGGCAAGCUGUUAAGCCAAUGCCGAGCUGGUCCUUUAAGCUUGAGUGGGAGGUAUUUGAUGGCGUGGAAAUCAUCGCCGCGGGCCAUGUGGAUAUGAAGGAGAUAAUCCUCGAUCCAUACCGCAGGAUCUGUUGUGCCAUCAUAUGAUUCGAUGUUUACGGGUUUGAAACCCUCAGGGAUUUUAUGAUCCAUUAUUUCGUCUGUGAAGCAUAGUGGGUGUGCGGCGCCUCUGUACUAGGCUAUAUCAUGACGUAGCUCCAAUGAGCUUUGUCUACUGUGUUCGACCCUACCGAAUUUGUGGCCGGCGUGACGGUUAUCGUCUCGAGCCGUGGGGCGCCCACGCGAUCUGUAGAUUGAUCUUGUUUGCCUUUCCUUGUCCUCCAACAUAUCUCGUAAGUCCGGCACAUAUUCCCGUGCCUUGGUAUGGGGUGCGGCUUGAGUGGAGGGCCGAGAGGCCUCUCUGUCACGGCCACGAGGUGGCCGGUCGGCCGCAUCAAGUGCUUCCUCCUCUAAUCGGGGUAGCCACCUGCGCUUUGGGUAGCUCUUGGAGGGGCGUUCGAGUUUAUGCUCUUCGGCCGCAAGGACUUCAGUCCAUCUGUCGACUAGCAAAUCUUGAUCAGCUCUAAGCUGUUCCUGCUUUUUCUUGAGGCUUCUUGCCGUGGCCAUAAGCCUGCGUUGAAAAUGCUCUUGCUCGAUGGGAUCCUCUGGCACGACGAAUUCGUCGUCAUCGAGGCUUGCCUCGUCUUCGGAGGGAGGCAUAUAAUUAUCGUCCUCGACCUCUAUGUCAGCCACUUUCUCAUGAGGGCUGGUUUCUCCAUCCUACUGUGCUAAAUCUCGCUGGAGGGCGUUUUCUUUGGCGCUUUCCGGAGUAGUAUUAUCUCCCGUGCUGGAAUCACCGCAUUUGUUUUGGCGGGAUUUUGAGCGGCGGCGCUGACGCCGGCGCUUAGGCUGUUUCUUGGAGGGGUCAUCCUCCGCUGUUCCGUCGCCAUCUCCUUCUUCUAGGGUGUCCACUGUAUAUAUGUCAUAUGACGAGGUGGCUUUCCAGGGCCUAGUAGGCGCUGGUUCUUCAUUAUGUCCUUCAUCGGCGUCCAUACCGUCGAUGUAUUCGGAGUCGAAGUCGAGCAUGUCGGUUAAAUCAUCGAUAGUGGUUAAAAAGUGGGUGGUGGGUGGGCUUUGAAUUUCUUCAUCGUCCGUACCCCAACCUUGUUGACCGUAGUCCGGCCAGGGCUCUCCUGAUAAAGAGAGAGACUCCAGUGUCUUUAGAAUAUCGCCGAAAGGCAAGUGCUGAAAGAUGUCCGUAGCAGUAAACUCCAUGAUCGGCGCCCAAUCAGAUUCGAUCGGCGGGGGCGCGGAGGGUUCGGAGUCCGGAGAGGAGUCCGGCUCCUUGGAGUCACGAGUCUCGCGGAGUGCAGGGCUGGUGUUCGGCUCAAUCACUGUUGGGAUCACAGCCCCCGAGGCGGCGUCCAACCGCCCAUCCUCGAUCGGCACAGUUGGCUCCGAAUUAAGGGUCGAAGCCGAUGCGGGUGCGGCCUCCAGGGCACUGUUCGGCGGCAGAGCUAGAUCAUGCUCGUCGGGACAAUGCGGCGCGCUCGGCAGUGGCUCGAAUCCGUCCAAGAUCAAGUCCCUGCGGAUGUCAGCCGUGUAGUUUAAACUUCCAAAUCUGACCUAACGGCCAAGGGCAUAGCUUUCGAUCUGCUCCAGAUGGCCAAGUGAAUUGGCCCGCAGUGCGAAGCCGCCGAAGACGAAGAUCUGUCUGGGGAGGAAGGUCUCACCCUGGACUGCAUCGCUAUUGACGAUCAUAGGAGCCAUCGAGCCUGGCGACGACGACACAGAGGAACUCUCAAUGAAAGCACCAAUGUCGGUGUCAAAACCAGCGGAUCUCGGGUAGGGGGUCCCGAACUGUGCGUCUAGGCCGGAUGGUAACAGGAGGCAAGGGACACGAAGUUUUACCCAGAUUCGGGCCCUCUCGAUGGAGGUAAAACCCUACGUCCUGCUUGAUUAAUAUUGAUGAUAUGGGUGUACGAGAGUAGAUCUACCACGAGAUCAGAGAGGCUAAACCCUAGAAGCUAGCCUAUGGUAUGAUUGUUGUCUAUGUUGUCCUACGGACUAAAACCCCCCGGUUUAUAUAGACACCGGAGAGGGUUAGGGUUACACAAAGUCGGUUACAAUGGUAGGAGAUCUGUAUAUCCGUAUCGCCAAGCUUGCCUUCCACGCCAAGGAAAGUCCUUUCCGGACACGGGACAAAGUCUUCAAUCUUGUAUCUUCAUAGUCCAGGAGUCCGGCUGAAGGUAUAGUCCGGCCAUCCUGACACCCCCUAAUCCAGGACUCCCUCAGUCGUGUACGCAUCUUUUGAGAAUUUGACGGUGCUGCGGUAGCGAUGGUUGUCGACGGUAUGGAAGUAGAUCUAGGAGGGUAGAUGGUGGCGGCGGGGCGCGGUGGACGAGACGGUCGUAGGAGCGGCGCCGGCAAGGUGGAUGACAACGGGGAUGAGGCGAGAGGACGGGAUGCAAGGAUCCCAGUCCGAAGCCGUGGAUGAGUGAGGUCGAUCUCUUGUAAUGGACGGAGGCAUCGGGGUAUCAGCUCCGGCAUGGUGGAGGAGGACGGCGGUGGAUGGGGUGGCGGACGGCAGCGGCGGACAGAGGAGGGUGGGGUGGAGAGGGUGUUUUGGCGCCCACGGAGUACGAAUGGGGAAAAGGGAGGUAGAGAGGAAGGGGGAACCAUGUAUUCAGGGCGCGCUUGUCUCAAAUGCGAGGAAAUUUACAAACUUAGCCCCCGUUUCAAAUUUCUACUACAUCACAGCAACACUAGUCGGUUGGGGAUAGGACGGUAAUCUUGCAUACACCGAAUAUUUGCCGACGAGAGUUUGUUUUUGGCGCCCAUCGUGUAUGAAUAUGAAUCGGGGAGGGAGUCGAUUUCGGCCGAGGACACACUGUGUUUUGGCGCCCACCGUGUAUGAAUACGGGUGAGAGGCGGUUACGUCGCAUUUUGGUGAAAUUACAAACCUACCCCUAUCGAAACCUAUAGAAAUCUAGCAUAUAGGCUUUGCGUGGCAGGGAUAGGCAGUAGUGAUUUCCAUCUCGCAGAUUUUGGUUUCGGGCGGUUACUGCGACUUUCCCUGCUUCGUUCAAAUUUUGCAGAGUGCACGUUUACCGCGCCAACUCAAUUCGAAUCCCGUUUGUAUUCUAUUUUUUUUGGGCGGGAUCCAUUUUCAAUUGGAAUUACAUUCUAAUAUACAUCAUUUUUUAUAUAUACUUUCAAAAGCACAACACCAUUUAUACAUAAAUAUGGUUUACAAAUGGCAUGAUCUCAGAUUCAUAAGGUUGUAUCCAUCAAUUUGGAUUUUCAAAUAUUUGAAACCACUUUAUGUUGAAAUCCAAUGUAUGCAUUCCUCGCUAACUGUCUCCAAUUAAUGUGUGUUUCAUGCGGUUUUUUUUAGUUCUCAAACAUGUAUAAUGUGUUUCACACAUGCAACAUAUAGUGUAAUCCCGUUUAGACAUUAAUUGCAUAUAAACCAUGCAUUGUUUGUAAUUGAAGAAUCUACGGAUCACCAAUAUUGAUAAACUAUAUAACAUUACACGUGUGCCCAAAUUCAAAUGAAUAUGCAUGUUUGAUACACCAAUUUGCGUUAUGAUAUUAUCGAUGUCGUGAUCUCUAGUUUAAAUAUUUGUAUCCCCUUUAAUCUAGAUAUUCGUCUCAUAUAGCUAUCACUCAUGCUUAUAUAGGACUAUCUCUCUGGACCUAUACGCGUUCAUCGUCUCUCAGGUAUCUCUCGUGCUACCUGUAUGUCGACAAUGAUCUUUUAUCUUCGUAACACACUAACGGUACUCUCUCCCUCGACCUUCAUCACUCUAUCUCUCUCUAAGUAUAUCUCUCUCCCUACUAUGUGUCUCUAACUAUGAUUCUUCAUGUGGAAUCUCUUUCUCUCACACAAACACAAAACUUUGUCUCCCGGGGUCUCAUUUCUCUCUACUAUUCCCAUGUGUGCCACUCGCACACCCCUCAUACAGAGAUGUCUUUCUCUCCUUAGAUAUGAGAACCUAUGAAUCUUCCUCUUCAAUAUCUCUUUCUCACACACAAACACAAACUCUGUCUCCCAGGGUCUCAUAUUUCUCCAUUGUUCUCUUGUAUGUCGCUCACACACACCCUCUCUCCCUAGAGAUAUCUUGCGUUCCCUCAUAUGUCUCUCUAGCUAUCACUCUCGUUGUUAAAUAUCUUUCUCUCUCACAGACACAAAACUCCGCUCUGGAUCUCAUUUCUCUCUGAUAUCUGUUUGUAUGUGACUCACAUGCACCCUCUCUCUAUCUCUCUCACACCUACACACAUAACCCAGCCUUCUGAUCCACUAUACUCCUAUCUCUAACACUCACUAGCUAGCAUCUUUAUCUUUCUAUUUAUCUGUUUCUCCAUCAACCUUCUUUCUCGCCCUCACUCUUGAUUCCUAUCACGCACACUACAUAUGUUUCUCUCUACAUGCAGUCAAGUGCCUCUCACACACAUAUAUAACUUCACCCUUUGAACCACCCGACGGUCAUCUCCAACACCCAAACUAGCGGAUGUCCCUCUAGCUAGCAUCUCCAUCUCUGUAUCUAUCUGUAGUUUCUCCGUCAACAUUUCUUUCUCGCACGGAGUCUUGCUUCCUAUCACCCACACUAUAUAUGUCUCUCCAUACAUAUGCAUUUAUAGGUUGGUCUCUUUUGCACAAUCGUUGCGCCUCACUCCCUCUGCUCGCCAUAGAUGCAUGCUCCAGCCCACGCCACUAUCUCUUAAAGACAAAAACACAUGCUCAAUUGUCGGGACUUCUUCCAUGCAUUCUCACAUGCAUGCAUAUUGUCAUACCGAUCCGUCUCUCCCAUGUCGUUGAUCUUAUGACUUAUGUCUUCUUUCUUUUAUCUCGAUCAUGCGCGCGCGCGCACACACACACAUCCCACGUAUACAUGUAUACCUCUCACACAUGCACGUUCAAGGUCUCUAUGGCUCCAUACAUAGUUAAUUACCCUCAAUCCUAACGCCACAUUGAAUCGUUCUCCUCUUUUGUGCAUAUAACUUCCGCCUGGAUGGGUAAAACACACACUCACACUUAACAAUCUCCUUCUAGCUACCCCCUGCCUCUCACUCUUCCCCUAUAUCCCUGAAACCAAUAAGACCAUCCAUUAGUUUAAUUCCCGCCUACAUGCACCAUUGAUAUAUAGUAGUCUUCCUCGGUGUCUCUCGAACAAACACGUUCUCUCGAAGUCGACUCCUCUCACGCGCACACACCUUCUCUUCCCUCUCUACGGGCAUUUUCUCUCUCGCACCCUAUCGUUGGUGGCCUCUGCCAUACACAUCACCUCUCUAUGAUGAAAGCCAUGGACACUUAAAUUACGUCCGCCACAGAGGACCCCGCGACACACACACACACACGCGCGCACGCACCCCCAACACACACACUAAGACAACUCUCUCUCUCUCUCACACACACACAAACACACACGCACACGCAAGCACGCCCCCCCACACUAAGACUCCAUCUCUCCCCCUCUCUCUCUCACACACAAACUAAGACUCCAUAUCUCUCUCUCUCACACACACACACCCCACACACACACUAAGACUCCAUCUCACACACACAUGCUCUAGGCGGAGCAUUUGUUCCUACCACCCUUCAUCCAACCUUACCCGUAUGAUGAACAAUCAGCUUUAUUUACUUGCAUAACAUGGACAAAUUCCACUUUACUUUAGUAGUCAGCAAACUUAUCAUCUGUACCCUUAUAAAAAAACGAGUUGGUGGUGAUGGUGUGCCUGCCAUCUUGUAAUACAGACCGUAUGAUCUAUAUCUGAGGAUAGAAAGCAAACUAUGAUAAUUUUACAAAAGGUACCCGCACCUCUCUCCACAUCAUUAUCUCCCGCAACCUCAUUGCUCAGCAAUUAAAAAAGGAAUAAGUCUCUGGAACAAUCUAGCAUGCAUGGUGGCCGCUGCCGCCUGCUGGCGCCAUCCAUCCCCAUGCCUCCGCCCAUUCCGACUACCAGUCACUACCACGCUCCACUCCUCCUCGCCUUAUCUCUCAUCUUUCAUUUUUUCGAUGACAUUCUCGAGAUACCAGUUUUCCGAUAAAAUUCUCGAGAUAUUAUUAGUUUUUACACAUGGGAUUACUCCUGCAUGGGUCAAUCACAACAGGUGUUCUUUAAAAAAAUGCAUAUUGAUGUUGCAUGCAAUGCACGAGAAUCUUGCUUGUAAUUAUAUAACACAAAUCACGAGCAGGAAGUGACAUUUUUUUGACACAACCACGUUAACAUGGCCACGUAAAUCACUAGCUAAAGUAAAUACCAUUAUAAUUAUAUCCCGAUGCAAAAGGUUGAGUACAUGUCCGAAGAGUAGAGUCGCACACACGCACUCUGUCUCUCAGAAUCUCUCUCACACACACACCAGUUACGUGACGCCCACUUAAGCAGACACGUAUGUUACAAUUUGUGCACCCGCGGGUACACGUGAUGCUGCGCAUUUAUUUAAGUCGGAAGGCGAACCCAAACAGUAGCUGCAUUCAUUCCCCUCCCUCCGCCUCUUCUCUGGUCGCCGUCGCCCGGUAGCCAUGGGCCGGCCAAAGGUAACAACAUACGCCAUACUCCCGCCGGAGCGGCGCUUUAAUAUGGAAAUUUUAGUGGCCAUGCAUGCAUCUUUUUGUGCUAGCACUCCUAUAUAAGGGUUGACCGGUCGCUUCCCGCGGACGUGCGCGGGUGGUGGAAGAGGAAGGAGAAGGGAAGCGGGCUGUGGAGUAACGUUUUUUACCACAAUUUCCUAGGAAACCGAGUGCAAUAAUUGAGUAGUUUUGCAAACUACCAGUACUAGACCUGAAACGGUUCAAAACCUAUACUCCCUUGCCAGCAUGCGCUUCCCGCAUGAAACGGUCAGCAUCGCCCUGGAGCGUUAGUGCCGCAUUAAUGCCCGGCCAGAGCGGAGGCGACGUCUCACUGGCGCCGGCUUUGAAGUGGCGCGACGGCCGAGAGAGCGCCGCUUCCCGGUGCACGCGACUACUCCGCGUCGAGACUGGCCAUAGGCCCUGUUUGGAUCCAUGGGUUAGAGUUAGUUUGAGCUAGUUGGGGCUCAAAUAGCCCUAACUAUCCAAGCAUGAGGGUUUAAAUUGGAGCAAGUUGCACUGAACCCUCCAAAAAAACACUAUCCCACCCAUGAGGGUUUAAACUGGAGAUAGUUCUCAUUGGGACCACUGAAAAAUCACUUUUCUCUCUCCAUGAAGUGCAUUUAUUGUCAAUCUAACCCUGUCACCCAAACACCUCUUUGGCUACAGUUAGUUCAGGAUUAGUCAUGAGUUAGUCUAACCCCUAGCUAAGUUAGAGUAUCAAACAGGAGCAGUAUAGGACAUGCAAGUUGCUCAAAGCAUACAGGCAAAUUCGUACGUGAAAGGAUUUUUUUUCUUUUUGAAAACGGAACGUGAAAGGAAUUUUUUUAGAAUGCUCUUGGCAUGUCGCUAACAUGUGAUAGUUAACCGACCUCAAUAGACGGCAGAAACGCCAGCCCGCCGCACUUUGAUAGAGACGGGGAGGGAGAAGCGAUACAGGCUGCUGGAUUACUAGAGAUAGGUGUCGCAGGGAAGCCAAGAAAUAUGGUGAUAGCGUGGGUUAGACAUGUACUAGUAUGAUGUAACUACACUUGGCUGCCGUGUUUCGUACUCUUCUAGUUCACUGUGGAGAUGAUUGGUUAAUUUUAUAUCGCUGAAUAAUAUUAAAUAUUAUGAGUGCAGACGCUCCACCACGAGGUUCCUUGCUCCUUCUUGGUCGUCCGGAAUCUAUGUUCUUCCACUCUAUUUUUUUACGUGAGCUUUGUUCAUCCUUUUGCCAACACGCGAGACAUCUAGCAUCAAGGUGCACGUGUUAUGCAAGGAUCGUUCCAUCUAUAUGAAGAACACGUGGGACUGGAACUACGAGACGAACAUGUACCCAGGAGUGGACAUACGAACCUGAGUAAUGUAGCGCAGUAAGUGAAGUAGAAAGGCACAAAUCGUAUGAACAUGCGUGGCAUAUAGGGUGUGUUUGGUUGCGUUCUCGUCUCAGCAUAGUUGUUCCCUCUUCAGGCAUGCUCAACUCAACACCCAUCUUCAUGCAUGCUCUCUUCAUGCAUGCUUCUAGUGUAUUUGUGCUAAACUAGUAUGGACUCAUGCACCCUCCAUACACUCUACCAAACACCCAAAAGUAGGUCGAGAAGGGAACUCUUGGGCGGCAUUUGUCUCUUACUACAUACUACCACUAAAUGUUGUACGUGCAAUGCACGGUGAUGUUAUGGAGUACGUGCCUAAGUACUCUACUACUACUAUAUUAGUUGGAGGCACAUAUUAACUUUUAUAUUUGUUUACGUGUAUGCCCCAAGACCUUCCAACUAGACGUGUCUUUGUCUCCAUUUUUUUUUGCGAAAAACGUGUCUUUGUCUCCAGGUCGCACUUUGUAUCGUUCAUACCACUAAGUACUACUACGUGUGGUCUCCGACCCAAAAGUGGAAGAAGUGGAGACGCUCUACCAUGCUGUUUUUUAUGCUGGGCUCUACCACGCUGUUCAUGUCCCACUCCUUUCGCUGACGUGUGGGACAUCCAGCACGUGCCGUGUUUGGCACCCUUCGUCGUAAGAGUUGAAGCGCUAGCAUUCAUCAAAAAAAAUUAAUUAUAAAUCGGCAGUGAUACUAUUUUUUUGCGAACCAAUUAGCAGUGAUACUAUACCUCGAUAUCGGAAAGAAUACUACUCCGUUCGCCAACAUGUGGGACGUCGACCAUCCUGGUCCACUUGCCAUGCACGCAGAACUCCAAGGGAGUCACCCAGGUCGUCGCGCCGCAGUAAAAAUGACUAAUGAGCCAUCAAAUCACAGGCCCACUUCCCACUUUGAAGUUGCUUGGACGAAGGAACCAUCAUGACUUUGUUGAAUUCCGCUUCUUGAAGAAAACUACUGUACCAACAGUACUGCUAGCUAUAGUAGUUACUACAACAGAGGCAUCCUUUCGUUCAUAGGAUAGGAAUAUGAAAAUCAUAGGAAGUGAGAUGACAUGCAUCUCAAUUCCUAUAGAGAAAGAGAUGCCAUUUGAUGCUUAGGAUAGGAAUUUUUCCAUUUAGUCUAGGCUAAUGUACUGGUAAUUUGCUCUAAAAACUACAGUAGUAACUAGUAGUACUGGUACAUGCUCGUACUCAGACACACACACACACACACUAACUACUAGUACUACUACUUCUCACAUGCUGGCCAGACGCUGUCGUUCUCCUUCCCGGCUUUGUCGGCGACACCCCACCGUGCUUGGAUCUCCGCCGACCUCUCCGCAGUAGCGCGUGCGUCCUUUUCUUUCUUGCGGCGGCGGGCCUCUCUUUUCUUGAGUGCUUUCUGACUUUUCCGCUCCCUCUGUGCGGCUUUGGCCGCCUCUUGCUCUACCGCCCAUUCGGCCUUGGCAUCUUCAAAUUCCUCCCACAUAGUUGUGAGGUCACGAGCGGCGAUGAACUCGGCACGGCGGGAUGCCAUCGCUUCCCUACCAUUUUGUGUGCGGUCGUGGGCGGCGAGGAACUCAGCGCGGCGGGAUGCUAUCGCUGCCUUACCGGUUAGUGUGCGGCGCGGUGGCAUGAACGACGCUUGGUGAGAGCUCUAGGGUGGAGUGGCCGGACAACCGUAUAGUGCAUUGGUUUGUCAAGAGCUCAAGGACCAAAGACGAAGCAAAUUUGGAUUCCCCUUCAAUCCUGGUCAUUUAUUACCGAGUAAAAUGCAUUGGCGGUCAUCGAACUUGUCUUGGUAGCUCACUUUGAUCAUUGUAUACGAUAUAUGGUGAUUAUACGGUCACUGGCUCAGCGUAUAGCUCCGUAUUUGUCUGGUUGACCUGUCAAACACUCCGCAUGUGCCUCAUCAACUCGUCCUUUUUAUCUAUCUACAUGGGCCUACCUGUCAAUGGAGAAAGAAAUACUAUAAAAACCAAAAUUAUGCUAGAUUCCGGACCGCUUCCGGAGCCCGCUCUCACCCUCCUGGCCCCUCAAGACGCCAUCUGCCCGCCGCAUGCAUGCAUAGCAAGUAGUACCCCUUAUGUGGAGGAGAGAGAGGCAUUGACAAAGUCAAGGAGUGGGCUCUGCAAGAGCCCGUCUCUACACGUGCUCCUAGGUAUAAAAAAAUAAUUCUAAAAAAGGCAUAAAAACAAUUGUGUCUUAAAAAAAGAAAGGUAAAAAACAUUUGAGAGGAAAUAGAUAGAAAGAAAGUGAGAAAAAGCUGUAACCUGGGCAUUACAUGAGGAAGGAGGGAGUGGUGCACAUGCCAAGUUCACUGGGCUGCCGUGUUUCACACUCCUCCGUCGUAACAGUGGAGACAAUAGCUUUCAUAAAAAAUAAACAAUGAAUACUCGUUGCUCGUCCUCUAUAUCGGAAAGAAUACUUUCAUUCGCCGACAUGUGGGACGUCGACCAUCCUGGUCCACCUGCCAUGCACAAAAUUAUCCUGGUCUACCCCGGUCGUAUCGCAGGCCCAACCUGUCCCACUGUAAGUUGUUCGGACGAAGGAACCAUCAUGACUUCGUUGAAUUACGCUUCUUCAAGAAAACUUACUGUACCCGCAAUACUGCUACCACACGCGAAGGCUGGACGGCACUUUACCACGUCAUAUCACUGAAACCCACUAGGCCAAACUAGCCCGCCUAGGUCAUCUAUUUUGGAACGGAGGGAGUACGUCUCUGCACUGCUAUGAUUUUGUGUUGCACGUCAUAUCAUUGAAACCCACUAGGCCAAACUAGCCUGCCUAGGUCAUCGAUCGCUAAGCCUACAAUUUUAGGAGCUAGGGCUAUUGGUCGAUCGACGAGGGAUAAGUAUAAGCGUACCACGAGCUCAUCAGCCCCAACGUUUCUCUUCGGUGAGUGUUUUGCAAGUACUAUAGCUUGCACAAUAGCUAGCCUACUAACACCAAGAAUCAUCAAACAAGCCCUGCUGAUAUGAUAAACAGUUCAAACUUACAUCUAAUCAUGCCAUAUAUUACAUCAAAACUGGUGAGGAUACAUCUGUUUCCAUAACUCGGAGAGGGUUCGCAUGAUUCACUAUCAAACAAAGUAGCAAGAUCCGCCCACACAAGAUAGUGCACUAGCCCUAAGAUGGUUUGAUAACACGCAUCGUUCUGGUAAUUAAACACAGGGCAAUGCAAACUACCCUGAAGGAUUAGCGCGACCAACUAUUUCUUGUCAUCGAUCUCUCGGGCAAUGACCACAACACGGACAGUGGCAUGGGAAUCGAUUUCUGGGGCAAUGUCCGCAGGACUGAUCGCGACAUCGGAAUCAAUCUCUGGGGCGAUGUCCACAGGAUGGACAGCGGCAUCGAAAUCGAUCUAUGGGGCGAUGCCAACAGGACGGGCCACGACAUCGGAAUCAUCAAGGACGUCCACCGGCACCUGCACAACCCUAACAUAUUAGCAAGCACAUUGCAAAUAAUCAAAAAUCACAACUAUGGUAAUAAGCCAUUAUUUUUUACCUUGUGCAGCUCACCGAGGGAUCUCAUCCCUCCGGGGGCCAUCUCCUCGUCCUCGAUGGGGGCCAUCACCUUGCCAGGGGAAUACUGCUUCUCAACGGCGACUAUCUCCUCAAACUCGGUCUUGAGCCUCACAUAGGUGACAAUCAGAGUUCCCGGGUAGGCACGGUGGGGCCAUUGCUGUUCUCCCAACUUUCUUUGAGGAGUUCGUCCGCCAACGUCCUCAGCUCUUGGGCCAGUGCUUGUUUCUUGGAGUUCUUCGUCUCCAUGGGUUGGCCCGCCAACAUGGUCAACUCAUUGGUCGGUGCUCGCUUCCUGGAGAUUGCUGUCUCCAGUGGGUUGUCCGCCAGCAAAUCUUUGCCUUGUGCUCCAGGAUCCAUCAAUGAAUUGACAAACAAAAAGCAAUCGAAAGGAAACCACAAUCACAAUGAAAACAGGAAAAGAAUAGGAUGUGAGAAUUGGUCGGUGCUUCGCAGAAAGAAGAUUCUUGGAAUGAAAAUAUAGUAGCAUAACUGAUUCUCCCACCUUUCCUUCGUUGGUACAGAAGAAAAAUGGUAGAAAUGAGUAGCCUGGAGUGAGGUUUUCUUCAAGAAAGGGAAGAAAGGGCUUGAACGAGCAUUCCAGUGAAAUGAUGGUUGCUUCGUCCAGUCCAACUUGGAGGCCACCUUACCACUGCUGGUAAAGGUGUGCGUUUUGUGAUAUGACGGGUCAUGACGGCCACACCGGGGUGACAGGUGAGUCUCGACUGUAGCACCUCGCUGUGAUUUGGUGGAUGGCACGCGGGCCCGGAUGCUUUGAAAUGCCCCGCAUGUAGAUAGAGCAGCUAGUCAUAUACUCCCUCCUUUCUGGUUUAUAGGGCUCAAUUAAAAAAUUUCACCAACCAAGGUAGAUGGUGAGUGGUGGAAUCCUUUUUGUAAUUUGCAAAAGCACCCAAUUAAUGCUAUUGUUUUCUUCAAAAAUGUAUGUUUACCAAUGUAUUAAUUGCAAUGCAUGCAUGCAUAAAGUACAUGCAUUGGUCAAUUUUCUCUUAAUACAUGCAUGCAAUUAUUUAAUGCACCUUGGAAUCUGAACUUGUGAUGGGGAACAACCAAAUUGAGCCUUAUAAAAUGAAAAAACUAAGAUUUUGAGAUAAGCCCUAUAAACCGAAAAGGAGGGAGUAGGAGUGCUCAAUAUUGUGCACCGCGACGAAGGCGGAGAGGAAAACGAGAGAACUACGUAAUUAAUGCAUGAGUUUAAUUAGGGUAGUUUUGUAAAGUACGAGAUACAUUUCUCCAAUCGCAAAAUGACUUGGUUCAUGAGAUUUGAGAUUUGAGCCCUAUAAACCGGAAGGGAGGGAGUACUGCACACGGUGUAGUCUAGUCACUUGUUGAAAUCUCUAGAAAGGCAAAUACUCCUUUACGGUUUACAGGGCUAUACUACUCCCUCCGUCUAGGUGUGUAAGUCAUCUUAUGAAAACCAAAUACGUAGUCCCAAAACACUUAGGCGUGGUGCAUUAACUUCUACCUUGUUUCUUGUUUCUUGACAUAUCAACCAAUAAGAGAUGAGAGGUGUGCAUGCUUUUAAUAACUUGCAAUGGCUAGUUCAUUGCAUGCAAUGCUAUUAAUUAGCAAAUAAACAUUGGUGACCCCAGGAGGAAACGGUGCUAAGUGCGUGGACCUAUGUAGAAUGAGUAUCAACCAAUGGAUAAUGGAGUUUAAUUGUUAAACAAUAGCAAUUUUGUCUCAUGCAAGAGCCUGGCUAGUACUCCAAGGAACCGCACCAUGCGAGUGUUCGCAACUGCCACGUUCGGGUUGCGCUUGGCUCUUCGCCUCUUCGAGAAGACGAACAAUGAUGUUACUCCUACUUCUACAGUAUCGAAUCCACUGCUGCAUGUCCGUCCACCUCGUGCGGGAGGGAUAGCGUGUAGCGAAAGCUUCUACUUACUGCUCCUGCCUUUGCGUCUAUGACAGGUGGGCCCAACAGGUGGUUGGCCCUCCUGUCAUGCAACCAAAGGCAGGUGCAGUUAAGGCACCGGAGCUCAGUCCGCGAGGGAGAGGGCGUUAUAGUAAUCAAAUUUCUCGGUCUUGUACGAGUUGAUGAAGAUAGGGGUUGCUUGCGUUCUAGGGUUGCUUGCUAGGGUUUCUCACUACGUAUAUAUAGGCCGGAGCCUCCGCGCUUGCUUGCUAGGGUUGCUCUAUUCACACACUCUCAUCCUCUCUAGAUCUAAACAAGAUAGGGGUACUAACACUGUCUUUCUCCCUUCAAAAAUCACUGGCUUUCUAUCCUCACCGCUGGUUACAGAUCCGGACGUAUCCCCCUCCGCCGGUGAAGGGGAGGAGGGGCAGUGUUUAGGUCGUCAUCGACAGCGAGGGAGGAGACCCACUGCCGGGCGCACCUUUAUCUCUGGCCGAGCGCCGGCGCGGGAGGUCCUCCGAUCCCUUCGUCGUUGCCUGUGGGCGGAUCCGGCCUCCCGUCGCCCACCUAUCCACAUCCCGAUGACCUUCAAGUAUAUCUUUGUUCGAAACCGCCUUAGCUCUACUUCCCCAGCUUGCUACGUCACUGCAUGUGCAUCAUUUUCUACCUCUCAGCCCCUCUCGAUCGGAUGGUCCAACGUCACAUAUUUUUUUCUUCUUCUAUUGUUAGAGGUAAAGCUACUUCAUGGAGUCGAAUCUUGUACUACUUGGUUCAAACAAGAAAUAAAGUGGGGGUGGGGGAAUUUAGUAUGUACAUUGGACUUGGUACAAACAGGAAGGAAAGGGGGUGAAAGUAGUACAGACUGGUCAGCCAACCGGUCUCUUGGUCGAAAAGGGAAAUACAGGGGUAACGCUGUACACAGUGGUAUGACCAGGACUAGAUUUGCUAUCCACACAUAGGAGUAGGUGGCUAGAGUGAACAAAAAUGGGACCAACCCAGAUAUGUUUCUUGGAUGUUUGUUUCUCGGGGCAACAAACUAUGAAUCACCACUUUAUGCCCCUGUUUACGUACAUGGUGCUGGACUGCUAGUGCACCCACUGUCCCAUGCCCUUAUACCAAAUAUUUAGGCUCUGUUCGGAAUAAAGGGGCAGAAAACAUAGGUCUUGAUGAAAAUAGAGGAAUAGGAAAGGAAUGUAGGUAUAAAACUAUGGAACAGCGAACCGGAGGAAACUCUCAAGAGAAUGUGUUCGGAUGGACUACGAAAUGUACAGAUUUGUUUUUUUAGAGUAGCAUGCUUGGCAGUAUGAGAUGCUAUUUGUUUAUUCAGCUUCAUAGUGACUACUCUUGCCCUCACCUCACGUACCACACAUAGGUUAAUUUUUUUAUUCCAGCAACACAGCAUAGCAACCUGUCUAACGCAUGGUAGCGAGCGCCUGCCUCGGGCUUCCUCCCAAAAAAUGAGCAGCGCGUGGAUGUUUCUAAUCCUAUGGAAUCAGUACUACCAGACCAGCUUUCCUAUGAAACACUAUUCACCUUUCCCGUGUUCCGAACGGUUGGAAGGGAAAGAAUACCGUAGGAAUAUGUUCCUACGAAAAUCCUGCACCAAACCUGUGAACCGAACGCAGCCUUAGCUGUUCUUAAUCUAAUGUCCCUGGUAAAAAUGAAGCCAUGCCACUGUUAUAAGCCAUGACAAGUUUAGCCAAAUAUUUUUGCCUACAAUUGUUUGAGACUCUGACUGUUUCCUCUGUGCCUUUUUGUGCAAACAUGGAUAUCCAAUUCACCUGGUUGCUGUUGUGACCUUUUGGUGCACUGCACAAAACUCUUCUUAAAAGAAGUGACUUUUGUGUUGUUUAACUGGAAUGUCAGAAUGGAAUAGUUGGUUCAUUUUGGUGGAACUGCACAAAGGGAGAUCUAUGUUCCAAUCCUCAUCAUCCAUAUUGGCGCCAUAACCUUCCUUUAGGUAAGAAUGAUAUUUAAUGCAUGUGUUCAUCUCUAUUUUCCGACUGCCAUGAGAAAAUAAUGCUGUUUUUUGCUAGUACACUUGUACUCCCUCACUGACAAAACCAAUUCUGAAUUAGAAGGCCAAUCAUGUACUUGGUUUCACCAACUAGUGAGGAGAAAGAGAAACAGAGCAUGAAGAGGAAGAAGAAGAAGAAGAAUAAACAGUGCCAAGGCGAUCUUGAUGAAGCCAGAGGCCUCAAGUCGAGGCCAUUCAAGGGCUCCGGCAACGACUACCUUACAUGUGAGACGAUCCUCCAGGAAGCCCUUCCACUUCUGCUGUCUCAAUUAAUUAGGAGUACUUAAGUACCACUAAUUUAUUACUGCCUAAUUUUCCUGUUGGAGUUAUACAAAUCUUUAGUAGGACCCUAUGCUGAAUCAUGUACGUGUGUAUGUUUGUCUAUGGAGGUGAAUCAUGUGGUGGAGCAGGGAGGGAAUAUUAUUAGUGUCAUGACAUAAUAGUGCAAUUGUUUUGCAUGUCAAUUUAUUGCCAUUGGUUCAAUGAGGCAAUGUUUUGCGUAUUGUCCAUCAUGAAUUUGAUGCUACUGGUUGAGUAAUAUGCUAAUGUCUUCCUAUCCUUUCUCACUAAGCUAAUGAAGGUUUCACCUUGUUCCUACUUGUGCAAACAGGGAUCAUGUUGUGCCAAUCAUACAUUAAAUGGAACUACACAAGACAAUACAAUGAACUGUAUCCCAGCCAGUGCUUUAACUCUGCUGGAAGUUCUUGAUAUUCUUUCGGUAUAAUCUCAGCACGGGUAAACAAGAGUGAUUUCAACCAUACAUUUGAAGUGCACAAAAAUAUAUACUAUUGUGUGAAUCCAGUGAGUGCUUUAUCAUCUCUUAUGGGACUACAUGAAUAAGCUUUUUUUCUUAGCUUGGUACGGGCCUAAGGCCUUCAUCCAUAUUAGUUUGCUGUCAUCUCUAUUUGUAUCGUGCUACUGUCAUGAGAAACUCCUUUAUCUUUGCACGUUAAAGUUUUGCAACCUAUGAUAAAUGGCAAUGCUUUGAGUAUUGAGUUGAGCUAAUUGGCACUGAUUAAAUAAACUAAUACCUCUCUUUAAGCAAGACUACUAUGUUGCUAACUUUACCCAUUAAGAUAAUGAGGGUGCUUCUAUUUGUUAGUGUAUGUUUCAUAAACUAGUCCCACUAUUACAGUAUUCUCACUCUCUCAAUAUAUGUGCCAACAGGGACGCUCGAUUUUGGUGGAACUGCACAAAAACUUUGGGUGCUUCAUUGCCUCGACAGCUUCCGUCCUUUCCUAUUAGUCGCUAAACUCCGCAUGCUUUCUUCCUUUGCUGUCAGUCACUUGGCUUAUCUCGGCUUCCAGUCAAAGGAAAUAGUAAUUGAUAUGCUACCUCACACAGGUUGGUACUGGUCUUUAUCCUGAUUAUUGUGCCUGUCAUAUGUAUUGGUAAUUUGGAAUUGUUCUACUAUUUGCCGAUUUCAUAAAGGAGUAAUUUGGAGCCUGAACUCGCAGGCAAAUCAUUACAUCGGGUGAUUUUAGUAGAACUGCACAAAAUGAUCAUAUGUUGACAAGAAGUGCCUAUAUUCAUUCGAGUAUCAACCAACAUCAACCAAUUGUCAAACUCCAAGUGUUAGGAGAGUGAACGCCAAAACUAUUGCUUGGUGCAUAGCCCAGAAAAACGCAGUCCAAUCUUUGGUCCCAACUUGUGCCUUUUGGUUAUCGGCACAUAUGGUAGCGAACUAUAUGGCAUGGAGUCUAAAGAUUCUAGACAAGUUGGUUGACGCUUAUAUUCAUCUGGCACUUAAUAAGUCUGCACGCCAAGGAUGCUCCAAUUCAGUUGAACUGCACAAAAAAUUUGGGUGGUUCAUUUUCUCAACCGCCUCCUUUCUCGUCUGUAAUGUAGAAUUUUGGCGAGAUACAUGACCAAGAUGAGCCAGUAAACUGGUUGGAUGAAAGUAGUGGCCAAGUUGCUCAAACCUCCCUCGGCAUGAGGCCACUAUUUGAGGAUAAACCUACAAGCAAAGUUCAGAUUGUCUAUGCUGCCUCUUAUGUACUCGAAAGUUUACUCGUACAAGAACUAAUUUUAGCAAGAAGUACCUCCGAUUGAACACCAUUUACCAGUCCGUACCCUAGGUAAUUAAAGUUCGUCCAUGGAUCAUACUGGCUGUGAUCUCAAUCAUUUGGAUGCAUAAACAUACUGAACAUGUGUAUAUCUGAAUCUUUUUGUAAAUUAUGUAUGAAUAUUGUCGUGUGAUCUAUCAAUCAUUUGGAUGCAUAGAUAUGCUGAGCUUGUGUAUAUAUGAAUCUUUUGAGUUGUUGAUUGUGAAUGUUGGCUAUGGAUAUGAACGUGUCCUGUGAACUUGAGUUUGAUAUGAAUCUUUACCUUUUCUAUUGUAUUUGUGUGUGAACUUGUUAGUAUGCCUACUGUGGGGUAUAAAACGCAGGUCUCUUAUAAAAGUAAUGCCGUGUCCAAUUUAUGUUUUCCCUUCUAACCACAUUAUAUAUAUUUAUAUUAUUAAUAUUAUCGUAUAUUUUAUAGAGACUUAUAUAUACAUUAUAAAAACAUCCCAACUUAUAAAAGUAAAUGUUUAAUGGAAGUUGGCAAGGAAAAUCCUGGUUGUUUUUGACUCACAAGCAAGGAAAAUCCUGGUUGUUUUUGACUCACAGGCAAGGAAAAUCCUUGUUGUUUUUGACUCACACGCAAGGAAAAUCCUGGUGAUUGUGAAGAUUUUAAGGACCAAUUUAAUAAUAAUGCGCUCAUUUUUAUUUUGAGCAAUAACUCGCUAAUUUCUUAAUUAUAUAUAUAUAUAAUGUGCCUCUCCGGUUUAUUCUUUGAUAUUAAUUGCUCCUUCUAACAUAACAUUAUACGUAUAUAUAACGAGCCCACCUAAUACGUGUAUUUCAAGGAAGUGCAAAUGGGCUGGGAUUUCUUAGAAAAUAUAAAUGGGCCUGAUUGACGCGAAAUUAUUUGUUCACCCAGCCCAGCAAAUGGACUGUACAUUCUAGAAAACAUGGGUUAAAUAUAUGCCACAUUUUUGCAGGCUGACAUGUGGGCCAAUAGGUCGAAGCCUAUGCAGGGCGUUGUCAACUUGGUCAACAAAUGAUUGUGUCAUCCACAGCCAUUGGAUUUAUAUCCAACGGCCGACAUGCACCUUCAAUCUCUUGUCUUCUUCCUCCAGCGUCGCCAGGACCGCCUGGUCCGGCCUCCGGCGGCUAGCGGCUCUGCUUAGCACGCAUCGCUGCAAAGCGCUACCCCACCGCCGUCCGGGCUAUCCCUCCACCCCUCGACACCUCCUGUUAUUCUCCACAGACUACAACCCCACGCCAAAACAGAACCAGUUAUAACCCUUCUCCUCCUCUCAAUCUGCGACUCCACUGCCGCGUUUUCCCAUCUCUGAGUCGUUCCCGUUCGGGGCCUCGCUGUCGUCCACCGCCUCGCUACGUUCGGUGCGGCCUGGUCAACAAACGAUAGUCAUCGGAAGAGGACUUUACGUGGAGAUCCUGACGGCUGGGACCCACGAGGUCCAUGGUCGCACGCAAGGAAAGUUCCUCCUUAUUAAGCUGAAAAAAUGUUUCCUCCACCUGACAGCUGGGACUCACCGGCUGUAUCGUCGCACGGAAGGAAGUGCCUCCUUGUUUUGCGAAAAAAAUUAUUCAUCCCCUUGACAGCUGGGACCCGUCAGAUUUGGUGACUGACUUGUGGGCCUACUAAGCAGACGUGUACAAUCAGUAGUAUAUUUCAUUUGUUUGCUGCUGCUGUUGUUUUCAAUGUACAAUCAGUAGUAUAUUUUGUCUGUUGGUUGAAUAAAUGUGUUGUUAGAACGACAAACACAAUGUUUUGGAAGUCGUUGCACGAUUCGAUCCUUCAGUGCCCCGUACCAUACGCAGCGCAUACUAUUUAUCGUAUGGAACACUUUUUUUUUUG